rnacentral:lncRNA from 1 species
CCGAGCAUCCUCAAGCGUGCUCACGAAGAAAUGGAUCAAGUGAUUGGAAGGAGCCGGCGGCUCGUGGAGUCUGACUUGCCAAAACUUCCAUACCUACAAGCCAUAUGCAAGGAAAGCUUCCGGAAGCACCCAUCCACCCCGUUGAACCUUCCUCGUGUCUCAACCCAAGCAUGUGAAGUGAACGGCUACUACAUCCCAGAGAACACUAGACUUAGCGUGAACAUAUGGGCAAUUGGGCGAGACCCUAAUGUCUGGGAAAGCCCGGAAGAAUUCAGGCCAGAAAGGUUUUUAAGUGGAAGAAAUGAAAAAAUUGACCCUCGUGGAAAUGAUUUUGAGUUGAUCCCGUUUGGGGCUGGACGAAGGAUUUGCGCUGGCACUAGAAUGGGAAUAGUGCUGGUUGAGUACAUUUUAGGGACGUUGGUACAUUCAUUUGACUGGAAAAUGCCGGAUGGAGUUGAGAUCAACAUGGACGAAGCUUUCGGGCUUGCACUGCAGAAGGCAGUUUCUCUUUCGGCCAUGGUGACACCAAGGCUUCACCAGAGUGCGUAUGCAGUCUGAGCUCAAACCGCUCAGACCAAAACCCAGGCCUCGCUGCUAUAUGGCAUGGAUGCAGUUAAGUAGAAAAUAUUUUGGGAUGCCUGUGGCUUAGUAUAAGAUGUAUUAGCUCAAAGAUGGUCGUUUCAUUCUACCACCAAGCCAUAUGCAUCUAUGCAUAAUCUAUUGAUUUAGGCUCGAUUUGGUUAUAGUUUUUGUUUUUUUGUCUUCCAAAUCAGUAAAUAGUAGGGGUAUUUUUGUCCUAUGUAGUGAUUCUUUUUGUUUGAUUGAUUAUAUUUGGAUCCUUCAAAAAUAUAUGGUCAGAGCCAUCUCCAUCUUUUCACUUCUUGUGCUGCAGAAUGGGAUUGGCUUAGAUCGUUAGUCUAAUGUUAACCCCCUUCAAAUCUAAUUAUUCAUACCCAAUUUUGACACGAAAGAGCCAUUGUCAUGAAAGGGGGACCAGGGACCUCAGCACCCUUGGUUCAUCAUUUUGGUACGAUGCCAACUCUACCACAUAACCACCAUUUAGAUAUCUAUCCUUUUAUUUUUGGCAUGUGAACUUAUAGUGGGUGGCUGACCUUGAAUCCAGUAGUUAUCAUGAUAUAUAUGGCUGUGUUGAAACUAACCACCAUUUAGAUAUCUAUCCUUUUAUUUUUGGCAUGUGAACUUAUAGUAAGUCCGAUUUAUGUCCAAGGGUCAAAUUUAAAUCUCUCUUCAAUCUAAUGGCUAAGAACUUCCCAACUUUAUUUAAUACUUAAUGUAUCCAAUAAUUGUAAUCGAGUAAUCCAAUGACAAGUACCUUCAAUGAUUAUUUUGGCAAAAGAAAUAAUAUAAGUUUGUUAUUUUAUGAUAUAAUAAAUUUAUUAAUACUUUCCUUUUUCAAAAUAUGUAAUUAGUUGUAAUUUCAUUAUAUAAUAUAUAAAUUAAGUUAUUUGCAAUUUUAAAAUAUGCUCAUUUUGUAUUUUUUUAAGUGUUAUUUAAAAAUUACACAAUUUUGUUUUAUAAAAAGUAUUUAGUACUUUUAAUUUUAUAAUUUACAAACAUUAAUUUAUACUAUUUUCUUAAAAUAUUUAGUUUAGUAUGCAUAUUAUUAGUUGUUUUCUCAGAUCUCAAGUUCCAAUCAAAAAAAUAUUUAUGAUUUGUUUUUGUUAAUUUGUGUCUUGUUUUCAAUUUAAUUAAUGAAAUUUUAUUUGAUCAAAAAGUUCAUUAUAAACCAAUUUUAAAAAUCUAAUCCUUUAUUAUAUUUUGAUAUGGUUUUGAUAAAAAUGUCUUUAUUAUUAUUAUUUUUUAUAAAAAUAAUUAUUAUUUUUGAAAUAUAUUGUAAAUAUUUAAAAUAAUUAAAAAUAUUUAGAUCAAAAAUCGAUUAUUUUUCAAACAAAAAUAUGAAAGUGAUAAAUUUGCAAAUAUGGGGAAUAUUUAAUCCUUUUAAUCGAUUAUUUCAUUACUGAAGUGGGUAUAAUGAUGAACGCAGACUUGGUUUUGCUAGGGCAUGCAGAGGUUUUGCAAGAGAGAGAGAUCAUUUCUCGACUCUGAGAAAUCAAUCUCCUUUUGGCCCGGUGGUGGACUCCAAGUAAAGCCUUGAAGGAGCCUUGCUAACAUCCCUGCACACCCACGCCUUCCAGUACUGAAGGAAAUGAAGCGAAGGGUUGGCUCGUUCAACUCCACUGCUUGAACUGUACUAGCAUUCUGAUGCCGCUCUGGAUUGAAAUUUAGCGGUUCUUCCCAGAUUCUAGGGUUCCGGCCCAGCCCCAGACGGCUCAGAAGGACAUGACUGCCUUUGGGGAUAAAGUACCUAGCAACACUAGUCGGAUUCCUGAACUCGUCUAUCCUUUCCAACCACUCCAUCAAUUUCUUCACUGCUUUGCUCAAAAUCCCUGGUUGCUUGAUCAUUGCCUACCCAAUUGCAUUUGAUGGACUAUCGACGCCUGCAAGCAUCAACUCCUGCAAAUUAUGGAAGGAUCAUAAUCUGAUGAUUGAUCAAGUUAUUUGCUGGCUAGGAAAUGAUCAUCAUGCAAUGUAGAUCAAAAGGUAAGCACAACGCUACUACAAAAAUAAUUUAUGGUGUCAUUUUUUAAAUAAUGACACCAUAGGGUUUAUAAUUAAUAAAGGUGAUACAUCGUAUAAAAUUUUUUCAAUUGAGGUAGUUAGAUUAUGUUAGUUUUAUAUUUAUAGUGUCAUUUUUUGGGAAGUAACAUCAUAUAAAAUAAAUUUUUUUAAGUAUUAUAACUUAAUGAGCCCACUUGAGCCCACUUUUAUAAUUAAUAAUGGGGGAUAAUGUAUAAAAAGCCCAUUGUUUCCACAUGCCACCCACAAUCCAAAAAAUCUCAGCAUACAAACCUUAUAUAUAAAACCAUAAUCUUCUUCUACCUUUUCUCUUACCUAUAGUCAACACACUUACAACCAACAUUUUCUACUUUGUGGACUCCUGGGUAAUCCAAAUUCUCUUAGAUCUAUCAUAUUUUUUUUUUCCUUUUAUUAAUAUAAUUAUAUUGAUUGUUUCAGCAUCUUUGUAUUAUGGUUUUUGUAAACUGCGUUUUCUUGAGUUGUAGGGAAGAAAAACUUAGGUUUAAACUUCUAGCAUAGACGAAGAAACUUGUAGAUUAAUUGAUUUUUUAAUAUGAACCAAACACAUGACUGACUUCUUAAAAACAAGAAAAAAUGAAUGAUUUUUAAUAUGUAUUUAUGUGAGAAUGACAGGUACAAAAUUUUGUUGAGAUAUACUGCCACAUAAUCUUCAUCCCUUCCCUAAAACAAGAGAGAGAGAAAAAAAAAAAGGAAUGAUUUUUUUUGUGUGUAUCUAAGUGGGAAUGAGAUAUAUAGAAUUUCGUUGAGAUGCCACAUGAUCUUUAUCCUCCAUUAAACCCAACAUAUUAAAUCCACUAACUCUCCCCAAAAACGAGUAAAAAAAAAGGGAAAAAAGUAUGAGUUAAAAAACAAAAACGGAAAAUAUGAUUUUUUUUUUUUUUUAAUGUGUUUCUAAGGAAAAUGAGAGACAAAUUUUUGUUAAGAUGCAUUGCCACGUGUUCUUCAUCCUCUCCAUUAAGCCUAACAUAUUAAACCUAAUAGCUCUCUCUUUUAACUUUCCAGUGAAGUGCCUACAGUAUCCAACUCAAAAUAAGACAACUUAAGCCCCAUUAGCCAACAACCCAUAUUUUGUGUACAUCUUGAUGAGAUUAUUUUGUGAGAAAAUGUCAUGAAACAAUCCCAAUUUGAUAAUCUAGGCAUGUAUUUGAGUUAAAAAUAAAUUUCUAUUCUAUAGAUCAAAUAAUAAAAUCAUGUUUGAAAAUUAUUUUUAAAAACUUAUUUAGAGCAAAAAUAGUUUUCUAACAUAAAAAUAAUUUUUUAACUGAGAAAAUAUAUUUGAAAUUAUUUGAUAGAAAAUUGGGCAUGUAUUUGACUUAAAAACAAAUUUCUAUUCUAUAGCUCAAAUAAUAAAAUCAUGUUUGAAAAUUAUUCUUAAAAGCUUAUUUAGAGCAAAAAUGGUUUUCUAACAUUAAAAUAAUUUUUUAAUUUAGAAAAUAUAUUUGGAAACAUUUGAUAGAAAACUGGGCAUGUAUUUGACUUAAAAAUAAAUUAUUAUUCUAUAGAUCAAAGGAUAAAAUCAUGUUUGAAAAAUAUUCUUAAAAACUUAUUUAGAGUAAAAACAGUUUUCUAACAUAAAAAUAAAUUUUUAACUUAGAAAAUAUAUUUGAAAACAUUUGAUAGAAAACUUUUUUUUUUUUAAUGUCAAUAAGUUGUCUUUUGUUAAUUUAAUUGUAAUCAAUUUGCUUAUACGCAUUUAAAAGUAUAUAUUAUCAUAUUUAGUAAUAUUUUGAUUGUUAGGCAAAUUAUCAUUUUUGAGAGGAAUUUUUGUAGCUCUCAUAAUUAUAAUUGUAUUUUAAUAACCAUUUCCAAUAAAAAAAAAGAAAAAAAAAGUUAGACAAUUAUCAAAAUCUGAUUUUUAGGAUUUAAAAAAAAUCUACAAGCCAAAACUAUCUAUAAUUUUGAUCAUGUGAGAACACUUCUUUUUUAAUACUUUGAAUUAUUUUGUUUUUUUUUUCUUAGUAUCUGAAAGUAUAAAAGAAUUUCUCUUAUUAUAUUAUUAUAUUAUAUAUGUGCAUGUGUGUUCUCAUGGUUGUUUAUGUCAUGUGUUAUUAAAGAAUAAAGUGAAAUUUCCUUUGAGUGGAAGGUUUUAGUCCACGCUAGUGAGUGGACACAGUAUGAAUAGUUUGGGUGGGUUGUAUCUAUGGUAAAAAAAAUAAUAAAAGACACCUUUUGCAAGUCUCCAAGUUGGUUGAGAUACAUGGUAUCAUGUUGACUAAACCUUGACUUUUGCAAGUCUCCUAGUUUCCAACUUUUUUUUUCUUUUUUUUUUAAUAUUAAGGUGUGGGGCCAUGAACUCCUUUCUUUCCUUUUUAAAUAACAAAAAGGAAGACAAUUUUAUUGUGAGAAGGCUAUUGCUAUCAAUUGUGUUCACGUCGAGAUUUUUUUAAUUUAUGGAGGCCAUAUAUAUAUUUAUGUCUAAUUUAGGAUGGUAAUUUGGGUUUGUUUAAUCUAUUCCAUUUAAUCAUACUAUACAAUCAUUUUUUUAUUUGGAUUAUUUUUGUAUUAAAUUUCUUCAACCCAAAUUUUGUUGAAAAGUUACAAUGUAUUAUUAAAAAUAUGACUUGGUAGUUGAUUAUGGAUAUGUGUCAUUUUUAGUAAAAAAAAAAAUCUAUAACAUUUUAUAUUGAUAAUAUAUUAUUCUUGUAACAGGUUCGAAUAGUAAGCAAGUCAUUAUCAAAGAAGUUAUUGAAAGUGUAAGGGUAUGUUUAUUUAUUGCAUGCUCUUAUAUAGUAUCAAUUGUAAGGAAGAUAAAAUUACCUUGUAAAGGUAAUUAAAUCUUUCUAUAUUUUAAAAACUUUUUUCCUAUAUACUAUGCUUUUGAAGCUUGUUUAAUUAAACAUAUUAGUUAUUUGACAAACUUUUCACAAAUGUUUUGCAUGUAUACUUAUGUGUUCUAUUUUGUUCCAUAGUUUUAUUGCAUAAUACUAAUGUAUAUUUUUUCACAAACUUUUUACAACUAUUUUGUGUACUAAUGCAUAUUAAGUUUUGUUCUUGCCUAUAUAAGCUACAUUUAGUUAUUUAAAUAUAUCCAAUAUUAUGUUGAAGAAAGAUGUACUUACUUAACUUUUUUUAUUCUAAAUAUUAACAAGUUUUUCAGUUCUCUUGUCUCGAGAUUGAAUGUCAAAAGAUAGAAGGUCAGUUGAGUAUGAUGAAAGAGUUGAAAACUUUAUCAAUUUUGCAUUAGCACAUUCAAUCAACCAUUCCCCUAUAAAAUGCCCAUGCUUACGUUGUGCAAAUCUGUUAUGUCAAACUCUUCAAGUCAUUACAGAGCAUUUGUUCUUUAAUGGAAUAGAUCUCAGUUAUCGAGUAUGGUAUUGGCAUGGAGAAAAUGGACCCAGUGGAGGAUUUUCAAAUGUCUCACAACAACAUUAUGACAAAUGCAAGUAUAAUGAUGUUGUUGACACAAUAGAUAUGGUUAAUGCUGCACAAGUUAAUUGUAUGAAUGAUCCCUAAGUGUUUGGAAGGUUACUUGAAGACGCAGAAAAACCUUUAUAUCUUGGAUGCAUGAAAUACACAAAGUUGUCAGCAUUGGUAAAACUUUACGACUUAAAAGCACAUUAUGGUUGGUCUAACAAAGGAUUCUCAAAAUUGCUUCAGUUGCUUGGAGAUAUGUUGCCAUUGAAUAAUGAGAUGUCAUUGUCCAUGUAUGAAGCUAAAAAGACUUUCAGUGCACUUGGGGAUGAAUAUAAAAAAAUUCAUGCAUGUUCUAAUGAUUGUAUUUGGUAUAGAAACCAGUAUAAGGAUGCUAUUGCAUGCCUAACUUGUGGAAAGUCAAGGUGGAAGAUAAACAAUGAGGGGAAAAAGAUUAAGAAGGGGCUUCCUUCAAAGGUUUUGUGGUAUUUCCCACCAAUCCCUAGAUUCAAAAGGAUGUUCCAAUCCUCAAAAACCGCUAAACAUCUUAUGUGGCAUGCCAAGGAUAAAGAAUAUGAUGGUAAACUAUGCCACCCAUCAGACUCCUCAGCGUGGAAACUAGUUGACCAUAUGUGGCUUGAUUUUGCUUCUAAACCGAGAACCUUAGACUAGCACUCUCAACAGAUGGUACAAAUCUUCAUAAGUCUAUAAGCAAUAGACAUAGUUGUUGGACUGUUAUACUGAUCAUAUACAACCUUCCUCCUUGGUUGUGCAUGAAAAAGAAGUUUAUGAUGCUAUCAUUAGUGAUCUCAGGACCACGACAACCUAGUAAAAAUAUAGAUGUUUACUUGAGUCCAUUGGUAGAUGACCUUAAAACUUUGUGGGAAAAAAACGUUAAGACUUAUGAUGCACACUUGCUUGAGGUUUUUACUUUAAAGGUCAUCAUUUUAUGGACAAUCAAUUAUUUCCCUACAUAUGGAAACUUGGCCAAUUGCACCGUGAAAGGAUAUUAUGCAUGUCCAAUAUGUGGAGAAGGAACAUAUUCCCAAAGAUUAAAGUAUGGUAGGAAGAACUUGUAUAUGGGUCACCGAUGAUUUCUUCCACGUAACCAUCCCUAUUGGAGACAAAAAAAGGCAUUCAAUGGUGAACAAGAUUUUAGAAUUCCUCCUAAAAUUUUGAGUGGAGAAGAAAUACUUGAAAAAGUUGAUCUCAUUCCUAUUUCUUGGGGAAAAAUGAAGAUAAAAUCUCUUGAACUGAUGUGAACACAAAUUGUUGGAAAAAAAAGUCCAUAUUUUUUGAGUUAGAAUAUUGGAAAUAUCUUCAUAUCCUUCACAACUUGGCAGUUAUGCACAUUGAAAAGAAUGUUUGUGAGAGUAUUAUUGGUACUUUGUUUAACAUCCCAGGAAAAAAAAAAGAUGGACUUAAUGCUCAACUUGACCUAGUUGAAAUGGGUUUAAGGUCUGAACUUUUCCCAAGAGUUGACUUGAAGUGGACCUAUCUUCGUCCUGCAUGUUAUUCACUAUCCAAACAUAUAUGACAAAAAAUUAUUUUGUCAAACAUUGUCUAAUUUGAAGGUCCCUGAGGGGUAUUGCUCAAAUUUUAGAAAUCUUGUCUUCUUAGAGGAAUUGAAGUUAUUUGGUUUAAGAUCCCAUGACUACCAUGCACUUAUGCAACAACUAUUGCUAGUGGCAUUACGUUUUGUUUUGCUAAAGCAUGUGAAAUAUACUAUAUCAAGAUUGUGUAUCUUCUUCAAUCAAUUAUGUACAAAAAUGGUUGAUGUGCCAAAAUUGGAUGAAGUACACAAUGAGUUAGUGGUCACGUUGUGCUUACUUGAAAAGUAUUUUUCACCUUCAUUUUUUGAUAUUAUGCUUCAUCUAGUAGUGCAUUUGAUAAGGGAGGUGUGACUAUGUGGUUCAGUUUACUUUAGGUGGAUCUACCCAUUUGGGAGGUAUAUGAAAGUUCUUAAAGAAUUGUUCGCAAUCAUAAUUGGCCUGAAGGAUGCAUUACUAAGUGCUAUUUAGCAGAAAAAGCUAUCGUAUUUUGUACUGAAUAUUUAUUAGGGACUCAUGCAAUUGGAAUUCCAAAAGCAACAAUUAUGACAACAAAUUUGGUAGACCUAUAAUUGGUGGUCGUUCUACCAUCAUUGAUCGUAAAUCGUGGUUACAAGCACAUCAUUAUCUAUUAGAGAAUACAACUAUCGUCCAACCAUACACUGAGUAAGAAAAACAUACCUUUAUCUUUUUAUAAUUUCAUAACAUAAUGAUGAAAUCCUAAGUUUGCAUUCCUUGUCUUUAACGUCAUAGGGAACACAUGAAUUGGUUGAGGUCUCAAUACCCUCGAAAAUCUAAUAGACAAAUUUGGUUGCAAGAAGAACAUAUGAGUUGUUUUACAUAUUGGCUUAAAGAAAAGGUAAUCUCUUAGUUUUUAGAAAAUUUUUCAAUAUGUUGAAAACAUCACAAGUUUCCAAUAUGUUUUGAUUAUACAUAUGUUGAAGAGGCUAUCCAUAAUGGGCAAGAUAUUCCCGACACACUUAGGUGGUUAGCACAUGGCCCUACUCUCCAAGUAGUCAAAUAUCCUGGAUAUAUCGUUAAUAAGUGUCGUUACCAUAUUAAGAAACGCGAUAUGACAUGCAUCACCCAAAAUAGUGGUGUUAGCAUUUUAGCAAGGACUAUGCAAAUUGCCAGUUCUAAGGAUAAGAACCUAGUUUGUGGUGAACUUUGCUUUUAUGGGGUCAUUAAUGAGAUAUGAAAUCUUGAUUACAACAUGUUCACAAUUCUAAUUUUCAAGUGUGAUUAGGUUGACAACAAGAAUAGUAUAAAAGUUGAUGAACUCAGGUUCACAUUAGUUGACUUCUCCAAAAUAGGUCACAAAUUGGAUCCAUUUAUUUUAGCAUCACAAGCCAAGCAAAUCUUCUAUGUUGAAGAUCAACUUGAUCCUAAAUGGUCAAUAGUUCUCUCAAUUCCUCCAAAAGAUUUCAAGAACAUAGAAGGACUAGAUGACUUCACCGAUAAUUGCAUGGAACAUCACCCCUUUAUAAGUUCAAUGCCAGAAUUUGAAUCAUUUGAUGCUAUGGAUGAAUCAUAGGCAAUACACAUGAGAGAAAACUGUGAGGGCAUAUGGAUUGAAAAUAAUUAAAUAACAUAUUGUACCCUUGAAUGAGAUAUAAUAAGGCAUUUCACUUAUUAGUUUUCAUGAGUUGCACAUUAACUUAGCUUCUAUAUAUUGCUCAUGAUAUAUCUAUAUAUAUUAAUCAUCCUAAAUUUCUUUCAUGCAUCAUAAACAUAUGUUAUUCAAAGGUACCACUUCAAUCUUCAUUCAACUAUCUUUUUGUUGUCCAUAGAACUAGAUUUAUAUUAUUUUUUAUUAUCAUGUUUUGAUUUUAUGCUCACAUAACUUGAAACUCUCUUUCGUAAAUUUCUUUUUCAUUAAAACUAUAAAUCAUAAUUGAAACUAUGCACUAAUUUAUUUUAUUAUUAUCCUCACAAAUAAAUUCUUCAUUAUUGAUAAGAAAUCAAAAAACAAGACAAACUUUGAAAGAAAAUUUCAAAAAAUAUAUUUGUGAAUGACCAAUUUAAUUAUAGAAAAUAUAUGCAAGGCUAUACUAAUCUUGCUUUUGAGUCAUUUUACAGGUUUGUUGGUGAAGUACUAGUUUGCACAUUGACUUGAUAUCUUCCACACAAAUAUGGAUCUAGAAGAAGGGGAAAUGCCAAAAAUAAAGCAUAGAGGUAGUGCAUUGAAACCAAAGAUUGCAAAAAAUCGAAGUAAAGGGAUAAAACUCAAGAUUGAAUACAAUAGCCUUGGUAGUCACAUUGAGGAAAAUUCAGUUAAACUAAGUAGUUAUCUUAGUACAAUAACAAAAACCCAUGUGCCAAUAAUUAUUGAGAGUUGGAGGAAAGUCCCUAAAGAGACUAAGGAGAAGUUGUGGGAUUUGAUCACGGUAAGCCUAUCUAUAGCUUUAAUAUAUAAUUAUUGUAUACAUUCAUUAACAUGAGCUAACAUGGGUUGCUAUUUUGUAGACAAGCUUUAAUGUGAAUAAAAAAUCCAAGAGGAAUUGUUUCAUACUAAUGGGCAUCAGGUUUCGAACCUUUAAGUACAAGUUGACAAAGAAAUAUAUAUUGUCUUUCAAGAAUGACCAAAAAAGCUGAAAAAGUCACCUCCUAUUUGCCCAUUCAUACAAGAGGAUCAUUGGAGACAGUUUGUUAAAGAUAGACUUUUUGAACAUUUUAACGUUAAGCAUUAUUUUUAUUACAUCUUCAAUUUUCACAUUUACGUAGUUUCAUUAUGUACUAAUUUUGUGUCUAUAUUUUGUAGGAAUAUCGCAAAGUUCAGAAAUCAAGAAGAGAUAAACACAUUUACAAUCAUUAUCUUGGAAGAAAAUGAUAUGCACGUUUUGAGCAAGAUAUAGUAAGUUAUCAAUAUCCAUAAAAAAAAAUGGAGUAUAUAUUUUGUUUAUAGGAAAAUGAUUCUAGUUUUUAAAUAUCAUUUAUUAACUUGAUCAUGUUGAACUAAUGAGUUUUAUUGUUAAAAUUUUUAUAGCUACAAGCAGAAGGGGCUAUUGGUAGGGUUGAUAGAAGUGUUUAUGAAAGAAAACACGUGAGAAGAAAGGAAAGUUUAAUAAGAUUACAAAGCCAAUGAUUAACUAAGUUAGCAUAUUUAUGCCUUUUAGAGCCUAUAGUGUUAGUAUGUCUAUGUGAUUAUGGUUUGGGAUGAUAUCGUUAGGUGUUAAUAGGGAAGAGGCUUAAUGCUAUCAUUUUUAUGAGUAGUCAUGUUAUAUUAGUGCAAAUAUAGUAGCCUAAUUUGAAAAUUAAUUUUGAAACAAUAUACAUUAAUUUAUCUAUUAUCAUUUUUAUUAAAACAAUUCAUUUUCUAGCUACCUUGAAUUGGUCCUCUUGAAUUGGUUGUCUUUGAUUGAUAUGUUAAUCAUCAUCUUCAUCAAAUUAUUACUAAUAUAUGUUUUGUUGUAGGAUGAAUUACUAGAAAAGGCAAGGAGACUAGACUACCUCCACCUGGUCCAAAUGACAUAUUAUGUUAGGCAUUGGGUAAGCUUGAUCAUCUAGGACGUGUGGUAGGUCAAGACCGCUUGGUUAGGCCGAACUCAUACUUUCAUCAACCAUUUGAUGACAUGAAAAAAAAAAUCAAAGAAGAAAUAUGGGAAAUGGUGUGAAAGGGGAUGCAAGAUGCUGUAACAAGACAAACUAUGUCUCCUCCCACACCCCAUUCUGAUAUAGGUAGUAAUAACAUGAGACAACAACUUGUUUUACAACUAGUUGUAGCAAAAAAACCAAUGUUUAAAAUGAUGGAAGAGCCCCAACCACCAUAACCACCACUGAAACGUAAGGUAUACAUUUACUUACUAAUAAUACAAGAUUAAUAUAAGUGAUAUAUAGCCUAUGUAAAUGAUAUUAUUUGUUGUAUUAAAGGUGAUUAAAUAUAAAUUAGCAGUGGAAUGAAAAUGAAAUGUUGUUGCAACCGGUACAUUAAUAGAAGAAAAUUGAUCAAAUGGGUUGGUCGUAAUAAAUGUUGCACACAAGCUAGAUGCUAGACUCCCAUUUCCAAAUCCAUAUGAGAUUAUCAAUGUUGGGGAUGCUAUUGGCCUUAAGCUUGACUGGCCAACAAGCCUUGUCAUACUUGAAACUAAACAUCCUCGGGUAUGUCAUUUUAUACUUGUAGUAAAUUUGAUUGUAACUUGGUAUUUUAUUGUUAGGAGUAUAUAUUACUAACAUUCCUUCAUUUUUCAUAGGUGUUGGAUAAAGGAAAGAAGUAGAUAGUGAAUGCACCAAUUAUUCGAAAAUCUAAGCCUCAAAAUUAUUCGGUCAUUAAAAAUUUCCAGAAAUUUAUGGAUGGUUGUCUUAGUAAUGAGAAGACAUACCCAAUACAGCUCCCCAUUUCACUAUUUGGUGUCGAAUUCCGAACAUAUAUAUCUAGAGAGGAUUGUGAAUACAUUAUUUCAUCUUCAGAAGUGUCAUCAAAAUGCAUCUCCUUCCAUUUAUGGUGUGCACCUUUUAUUUUCAUUUGUUUUUAUUUUUUUUAAUAUGAGUUGCCCAUGUUGAACAAGAUUGGAUAUGACUAAUGAUAAUUUUCUUUUGGUGUUUUGAUAAUAUAAUAGGUACAUGCAUGAUCAACUACAUAUUGCCAAAAAGGAAUCACAAUUUAUAUUUGUUAAUCCUUUUACAAUAUCAUGAGCAGGCUUUAGUAAUCCUCAAACAGAGAAAAGAACACAAUUGUUGUCAAAACACUUAAUAGAGUGCCAAGAUGUCGGAUAUGUUUUCAUGCCCUACAACCUCGAGUAAGUGACGAAUAUUAUACUUUAAUUUGAGGUUUUAUGAUUGAUUUAUAUUUCUAAUUAGAUGCUACUUUUGUUUUUAAUGUUUUAGCUUUCAUUGGGUCUUGGUAGUGAUUGAGCCAAGGAAAAUGAUAGUCCACUAUCUUGACCCUGUGCAUCACAAACCAUGUGAGGACUUAAAGGAUAUCGUAAACAUGUAAGUUCUUCCUAUUAUUUUUCAUAGUAUUAUUUAAAAAAAAAUUACAUUCACCUCAAACACAUUUUUUAUUGUUAUUUCUAUAUAUUAAAGAGAUAAUUUUUUAUCCUACAAUGAUUGCUUCAAAGGUAUUACUUAUUUAAUGAAUUGUACAUAUUUUUAGGCUUUCAAAUGUUAUGCAUUUUAAUGUUAUUUUCUUAUUUGAUUUCAGUUUGGUGAUAAAAAAACAUAUUCUCAAGUAGAAUUCAAUGAAAUUAGAGGAGAAUUGACUACUUUUGUGCUACAACUAAUCAUGAAUCAUGUUGAUGCAUCAUGAUCACCAUGCAUGGUGAGUUCCUUAGCUACUACAUGAAUUUUUCCAUAGAUAUUGUAUAGUAUUGCUUUUCUUUGAACAAUGUUUUUAUUUGAAAAAAAGAAAAAAAAAAGUUCUUAGAUUUGUUCAUUUAUGAUAACAUCGAUCCAUAUUUAUUUUCUUCAAUGAAAUAUAUAAAACUCAUUAAACUAUGAAAUGCAGGUAUACACUCUUAGGAGGGUGGAAUAGAGAAUAAAAAGAACAAAGAAGGCAACAAGAUUUUAGGUUUUUAAAUACAGCUCGUAUGUCAUACGUUGUAGGACAUAAACAUUACUUUAAUUGGUAGUGAGAAUUUUAGAUUUUUAGAUGCUACUUUUAUGUCAUUUUAUAGUUAGUCGAUUUUAUGCUUAUGAAAUGAAGGUAUACAUGAAUCUUGGGAUGCUUCACAUUUCUAAAUCAUGUUUUGGUAUGUAUUCCCUCUUCUUUUUUAGUUUUGGUGGGUUUGAUAUGUUGGAUGUACUAUCUUUUUGUGAACAUUUGAUAUACAAAUAUUAUUAGAUGAUCAAUGUAUUACGAGUUAUUCCAUAAGCAUUACCGAAAAAUGAGUUAAAUGUAAUAUGAUUGUUAUAUUUAUGGAAAAAAUAUACACAGGUUAAUCCUAUUUGUUAAUUCAUAAGCAUUACAAAAAUCUACAACUAAAAGCAAUCAUAUCUUCCACGAUAAUUUACAAUGAUGUGACACCAUAACUCAAAGGUGAUGCAUUUAAUGUGACAUCAUAACUCAAAGAUCAUGCAUUUAAUGCGAUAUCCUAUCAUCACUAGAAAUAUAUGAUGUCACUUUCGAAUGCGUCACCAUUUAUCUACUUUGGUGUCACUUACAAAUACGUCACCAAUUGGUACCCUCUAUGGUGUCAGUGGAGAAGGUGACACUAUGUUGUAGUGACACCCUAUGUUUAUGGUGACUCGUUAUAAAUGUCACCAUAUAUUUUUUUUCUUGUAGUGCAAAUUACUUAUCUUACUAUGCAUUGGGCUUUGAUAUUAGCCAGAGACAGUAGUGGCUCCUAAUUUUUAUCCUUAACUGAAAUGAAAACGUCAAGCAGGUCCCCAACCUCUUUUUCUCCAUUCUUCCACUAUUAUACUAUUUGGUCCAUGAUUGGAUCAUGGUACUUGUUAAUGGUGUUCAUAGCCUCCCUUAUAGUCUUUUCAUGGCCAUCUAAAUUUAGCACUCUCUGCCAUGGGAAGUAAUCAGAUAAAGAGAAUACAUAUAGAUGAGCAAGUAUAGUAAAGAAGGAUUCAACAUGUUGCUCCACUUCAACUCCAGGGCCUCCAUCUUUCUUUCGUUGGCCAAAGUAUCUUGUGUUGAGGAUCAUCUUUCAGAUGACAUUCCCGUUGUAUUGACGGACUUUAUUUCUGUCACACCCCAAAUACUAGGCAACCCAGAACUUGACUCGUGGCCCUAGGUCAAAGGUUUGACCCUAAGAGUUACUCUUAUCCAUGUUGGCAAUCAAUCAAAACACCCUAGAUUUUUUUUCUUUUCAAUAAAGCGUUUAAUCCUAAAUAAAUUUAUUAAGCUAAGAUUUACUAUAACAUAUCAUUUUAUUUUUCCAAAACUAACCAUCACAUUAUCUCAUGUUCACAAGUAUUAAAAAAAUAAAAUUCCACCAAUCAUUUUCCUACCCAAAAGCUCAAAUAUUUACAAUAAACUCUAAGUCAAAAAGAAUAUUUCCAAAAUUUUUUUACAAACUAAUAAAAUAUAAUUUAACUUAAAAAAGUCCAUAUAACUCAAAUUAGUAGAUGUCAAAAAGGUAAUUAAAAAAAAACAACAACCAUUAUUAUAGUUUUUUUGCUUUUUAGAACACUUCAUGAUCUUCUUAUGGUCCCUUAGAAACUAUAUCUGCAUCUAAAAAUUUUAGAAAAAAAAGGGAUGCACAUUUCCACGUUACUCUUUAGACCUAAAUGGGUUAGAAAUUCUAGGUCAAUAAAACACAACCAUAUGCCAAAAUAUAAUAUUACAUUUACAUUAUACACACUAAAAGAAACCUCAACCAUACAAAUUUAAAUCAAUCAAAAUUAUCAUUCUCCUGAUUUAAUCAUAUGUUUAGCAUAUCAAUAAUUUUAAAUUUACAAAAUAAAUAAGUCACUUUAGUCUUGAAUAAUAUAUUCAAACAUACACUUGAUAAAUAAUACAAAUCAUUUUUCCAAAUGCAACCAUGAUACAAAUGCUUACACACAAUCACGCAAUGCAAUAUCGUUCUCGGGCUUUCACCGAAGGAUAUGCAUUUAUACCCAAAUAGACUCCCCAUUCGGAUUCUUCCUGGGAUAAAAUUUUGAGUCUUUCACCCUAAGGAUCUCACUCCCUUCUUAACUCACCAUCUCUAGGGUCUUUCAAUUUCUUAUUUUUCUUUUCUUUUCAUUUUUGCCAUUUUUUGGGUCUUUUCAUUCUCAUUUCCAUUUCACACAACCAUUUCUUUAAUUUUUCUUUUUCUUCACACAAUCAUGAUGCAUAUGAAAUGCAACUGAAUCAUAUUUUAACAUCCAUAAUUUUCCAAGACAUAAUUUUAUUUACUCCCAUUAUGUUUCAUAAUUUCCAAUAAUCCACACAACGAUUUUUCUUCACUUUAAUUGUCACAAACAUAAAAGAAAAUUCACAAUUAAUUUGUAUAGCAUCAAAACAUAGUUUUAAACAUUGACCACAUAAAUUCUAUUUAUUCCCGACAUGCUUAAUAAUUUCCAAAUCCAAUAUAACCAUUUUUUUUCAAUUAAAUAAUCACACAUAUCCAAGAAAAUUCUCGCUAAUACAAAUAUCAAUGAAAAUGUAAUUUAUGUCAUAAUUUAUUUGUCUCUAAUAAUUUCAAAAAUUUUGACACCCAUAUGAAAAAUUUCCACAAUUAAGCCACCCCAACAUUUGGGAAAAUUUUUCUAAUCAUUCAAAUAUCAACAAAAACCCAAUUUAUAUCAUCAUUUUUAUUUAUUUUUAAAAGCAUUAAUAAUUUUAAUAAUCAAUACAACACUUUUCCACAAUUAAGCCACCACAACAUUCUGGGAAAAUUUUCCAAUAAUUCAAAUAUUAACAAAACACAAUUAUACCUUAAUUUUUCUUAUCUCCAACAACAUCAAUAAUUCUUAGUACUCAAUACAACUAUUUUUAUUUUUUCAUAUUUAAUCUUCUCAAACAUUACCAAAAUUCCAAGAAAAAUCUAUAAAUCACGAAAUAAAAGUAUUCACAAUAAUAAUCACACUUCAAAUACUACAAAUAACAUCUAUUAUAUUUCAACAACACAAUAUAUAAAUUUUUUUGAAAGAAAAUAUUAAAUCAAAGUUUUAGGGUUAAAUCACCCUACCUUAAAUUUGAAAAAUUUAACCAUUAAAACUAAAACGGGACACCGUAGGAGUAUUCCUCGCAUUGAAUAGAAUAUCCUUCCAAAAUUUCAUGCGAAAUGGACGUCAUUUGGUAGGUCCAUCAACAUCCUAAAGCUAGCGACCCAUUUUUCCCACUCUUUGCCGACGACUCCCCUACAUCUCUCACUCGAUUUCCUUUCUUCAUUUUCUUUUCUUCUUCUUCUUUUAAACUCCCACGCCAAUUUCACUUUAUAUAUAUAUAUGUAUAUAUAUAUAUAUAUAUAUAUAUAUAUAUAUAUAUAUAUAUAUAUAUAUAUAUAUAUAUAUAUAUAUAUAUAUAUAUAUAUAUAUGUAUGUAUGUAUUAUUAAAACAAAUCCUAAAAUACCACGCACAUCCAUUUCUCAAUAAAUUAAAACCAUUAUUCUUAAAUUCACCUUCCAUAAUUAUGAAUUAUACCAAACUUAUGAUUUUCCAUUUCACGAAAAAUACCACUGUAUUCGUAAUUUAAUUUACUACAAGUCUACUCUUCAAAAAGUAUAAUUUGAUUAUAAUUACAUGAAACAUUGUUUUUUUACUCUAAAAUUCAUUCAAAACAUGAUAUAAUUAACUAUUAACAAAAUUCAAUUCCAUAAAAUAUGAAAAACAUAAAAUAAUUUUUUGGCAAUCAAGAAGUUGAAAUUUGUAAUAACCCUUAACCUGUUAAUUUUACCUAUAUUUAUUUACCAACAAAAAUUUAAAUAAUAUUCUAAAAUUUAAUUCCAUAAAUUAAUUAGUCAUUAAAUUUAUAAAAAUCAAAUUCUCUACCCUUUGGUAUAACUUUCAUUUAAUUUACUUCAUUUUUCAAAUUAUUCAAUCGCAUCAAAAUUUCAAAAGUUAAAUUCACUAAAUUCACAUUUAAUUAAUUUAUCCUUUUCUAUUUUUUUUUUCUAAAUUCGCAUAUCAUAAUUUAAUCUUAAUUUAAUUUUGAUUCAAUUUUGUUUUAUGUUUUCUAAUUUUAUGAGGUUUAAUUUCAAUUAUAAAAAUUAAAUUAAAUUUCUUUUUAAUUAUCCAUUAUCACAAUUUGAUAUAAUAUAAUUUUUUAUCAAGUUUUUCUUACUACGAUUUUUCUUAUAAUUAUCCAAUAAUAAUUAAAUUAAUUCUCGUAACAUAUUUAAUAUUCAAAUUUUAAAAACUUAAUCUCAAUUAUUGGAUGGUUAAUUUUUUUCUCAAAAUCUAAAUUUAAUUUAUGAAAUUCUCACUUCUUACAUCUGACGUGGCAAAAUUUUCAAACUAUUGACUUUUGACCAACUUUUCCUAAAUUUAUCCUAAUUAAAUACUAACACAUGGAUUUUCACCACUCUUUUUGACCUUUUGACCCACAAAUUUAUGAAAGACUUUAUGCUUGGAGAAUCUACAAAAACCUGGGUAUUACAAUUUCUCAGGUUGAUAACUGUCGUGGUUACGAAGCCACCACUUGAAUACUCAAUUGCCAUUGUAAUGGGCCUGGAUGCAAAUAGUACAUCAUGUUUCUUCAAAAGUUCUCUGCUAAUCUCUGGGAAAGUCGUAGGGACGAGAUGAAAUAUUUCCCAAUUGAAUACAUGCAAUUUCAGUGUUCAUUUCUUUCAUAAAGCCAAUGUAUCCACCAGAAAGUUGGCUUUUUGUUGAGUAAAUGAGGUAGAUAUUGCACUAGUGGCCCUGGAGCUAAUCCUGGAGGAAGUUGUAUCGGUUUGCUUUUGGUACUUGUUUUGGAUUUUAAUUUAGUGAAGAUGAGAAAGAUUAAUGUGAUAAAAAGCAGUAAGAGGAAGUUGAGAUGAGACAACACAUCGUCUGUGGUAGUAGAAGAAAACAAGGUUGAGUUACUGCUAUUACUCCCUGCAACAAAACCAUUUACAUGUCUUUUAUAGCAAAACCAUGUUUGUCCUAUCUUGGGUCUGGAUGCACAUUUUUAAUAUUGGGGAAAUCAUGCAACCAAAUGUCACACACAAAGAGAGAGAAAAAAAUACGUUUUUUAGAACUUGGAAAGGUAAAGUGGGACAAAAAAUAUUAUCCAUUCUUGAACUCUAAAAGUAAAGUUAUAAAAAGCUUAGUUUUUUUUUUUUUUUGUUAUGUAUGAUUGCAUGAUUUCCCCCUUUUAAGAUUUUAUCUCAUAAAAUUUUUUUCUAGAAAGUUCAAAUAAGUUUGAUGAAUAUUGUUUAUUUUAGUAAUUUUAAUUUUAUGGGGUACUUAAAACAUUAGAAGUUCACAAAAAGCAACAUUUAUCAGCUACCUAUCUAAAAAGCUUGGCCUAAUCAUUGAAAUCCAAAAUAUAAAGUGACAACACACUUUUUAAAGCAAUUUUCAAAAUAGUUUUUAAAAACACAUUUAUUUAUGAUAUUUUUAAAAUAAAAAUCUCAAAAAUAACUUGUUUAUAUAGCGUUUUAUUAGACAAAUACUUGAUCUUUAUAAGAUCACCCUAAUUAUAGAUUUAUGAACAUGUAACACAACAAUUAUCUAUAUAUAUACUUAGAAUUAUUAUAUUUUAAGUUUUUAACUACAUAGGACAUCAUGAGUUUUUCCACCAUUUAUCUUAUAAUAAGUUUAUUUAAAUAUGAUAAAGGAUAUAUUAUCUCAUUUCUUAUUAUAUCCGAUGCUAUAUAUAUAUAUAUAUAUGUAUGUAACAAAUCAAAUACAAUUUAAAGAUUUUAAUUAACCAUCUAUUAGCAACAAAGCAAUCUCUUAAUCUCAUUCAUAAUAUUAGGAUAAUUUAGUAUUUCCUUUUAUAAAACACUAGCAUAUAAAUCAACACAAAUCAUAUUAAGGGUGUAUUUGGUGUUGAUUUUAGGAAGCAUUUUUAGUAUUUCUAAUACUUGAAAGAUAAAAAUUUUCAAGUUUUAGAAAGAUCAAAAGCGCUUUUUAGAAUGACUAUCAAAUACAUGCUAAAUAUUACUUUUGGAUACUUAUAUUUUUAAAUAACUCUUAAAACUUUUAAGGCAAGUCUCUACUAUUUAUAUAAAUCCCCUAUUAUUUUUAAUUUUUAGAAACAAAAAAUAAAGAAUAGAAACUCCAUUUAAACAUCACCUUAUUAUUUCCUAUUAUAAAAUAACACAAAUCAAAUGAAUUAUUUAAAAAUAAAUAAAUAAAAAAUCAAAGUUGAAGAGAAAAAACUCUUGUGCAUUAAAAAAACAUCAAAAUAAAUAAAUAAAUAAAACAUCAUCAAAUAAAUGUAAAAAUAAAUUAAUGUUAUGGAAAAAUGAGAAUAGGCAACAAGAAAAUAAGAACACAGAUUUACAUGAAAAAUGCUAGACGGGAAAAACCAUGGAUAGAGGAGAAGAAAAUCCACUAUAUUAAAAAUUUGGUAUAAAAUGUGAGAGAAUCAAGCGAGUAUUGUAUAGGCAUAAUCACUAUGACCCUAAAUCCUAUACAUCAUUGCAUAUGUAUGGUGUAUGCGAUAAUAAAAAUAUUGUCACAUAAAAUAACUAUGGGAUGUAAUAUUUGUAAUAAUAUUUUUUACAAAAAAAUAUUUUUUCUUUGCUUUAUUCACUUUGAUCACAACUUGAAAUAAGACAAUAAAAAUAUUUUCUUAAUUUUUGAAAAUUAAUUGAGGACUUAGAGCUACUUGUUACUGAGUGAAUUUGCUGAAUGGUGAAGAAUGCGUGUAUAGUAGUUUUGCAAUUUUUCAAACUUAUAGACAUAUUUUGUGAAGUCUUUUUCUCUUUGUAAAGCCCCAUUUUCUAUGUGAAGUUAUUUUUUCAAUAUUCUCUUUGGAAGGAAUUUACCAUUAGUUAUAUAGGUAAGAUUAAGGAAUUAAAUUUGGAAUUCUUAACAUUUGAUUGCUUAAUUCAAAGAAUUUGGUUCAAGGGAAAUUUGCCAACAAAAUAAUAUUUAUUUUUAAUUCUAUGAUGACUUUAAUUAUUUGAUAUAAUUUUAUUUUGAAAGACUUGAUGUGGGGGACUCAUCACUUAUUGAGUCCAAAUUUUGUUGCACCCAAAUUUUUAUGAGCUAAGAAACCAUAAUUUUAAAGACCAAUUCAGUGGUAAGUGAAUCUGCUAAAAUCUUCUAUGUACAAAUGACCUCACUUCAAGGUGCAACACAUACAUGUAUUAUUAUGUGUAUGGGAUGAGUCUUGAAGUUAGUCUUCAUUCUUCUUUGAUUUUUUUCUUCAAAUAAAUAAAUAAAACAUCAUCAAAUAAAUGUAAAAAUAAAAUAUGUAUCGGUUAAUUGGAGAGGAGAGCUUUAAGGGCAUUUCUUCUAUGAAAUUCUAUGCUCCACGUACCAUAAAUUUGUACUCAACCAACAAAAUUACAGAAUGGGUCCAUGCACAAACAAAAUAACCCAAAUGUAAAUAUCUAAAAAUGUAUAAAGUUCACAAUAGAUAUUCAAGCCCAAAUUUAAAUUUCAAAUUAGUCCAACAGAUUUCAUCAAUCAAAAUGGGUCCAAAUUAGCAAAUAUAACCCAACAAAAAUAUCUCAUAUGUCAUAGGCCCUAAUUUAAAAUUUUCAAAUUAAUAGCCAAAAUAUAAGUUCAAUUAAUCAAACCCAAAACAUGAUAAAUUAAAAUAAAUCUCAUUAGGCCUAAACUUAAUAUCCUAUAAUUCAAGCCUAAUUUAAUAUAUAAACCUAAAUCCACAAUCAAAAUCAACCCAAUUUAUGCUAAUCCCGAUUUACAAUCAAAAUCAAACAUAAUUUAAUAAGUAAAUAACUAAAUAAAUUAAGCAAACUCAAAACACCCAAACCACUACAACAUAAAUCAAACAAUAAUAAAUAUAAUGACAAUAAUAAUAAUAAAAAAUAAAAUAAAAUAAAAUAAAAUAAAAAUAAAAAAUUUAACUCAUGUCGGAGCCAGUUUGAAUGUCUUGGGAAAGAAAGAAAAUGAGAGAAAAGUGAGAGAUGAUUGACAACUGACAGUGGCUCAUUGGCGGCGACUGGCUAGUGGUCCUACCGAUGGUAGUGAGGAUUGAUUGGUUUUUGGGAAAAAAAAUAAAAUGAAGAAAAGAAAAUGAGGAGUAAUAAAAAAAAUGGAGAAAUGAGAGGAAGGUGGGAGAAGAAUGGAGAGAGAGAACGUAGAAAAUGAGUGAAAAGAAAUGAGGCUAGUUGGAGGAGGAAGUGAUAGUGUGUGAGCUAAAGUGAAGAAGAAUAGAAGAAGAAAAUGGAGAAGAAUGGGGAAAAAAAAAUCCGCCUCCCUAAAUGAAGAGAGGUGGGUAGCCUAAAGAAGAAGAAAAAAUAAAAUAAAAUAAAAUGGGGAGAAAAUGAGAGGGGGUCAGUGGUCUUGCGAAUGAGGUGGUAUGCGUUAGAGAGAGAGAGUGGGUGGGGUUGUUGGGGAAGGUAUGAGAGAGAGAGGAGAGAGAAAAGAAAAAAGAUAAUAUAAAAUAAUAAUAAUAAUAAUAAUAAUAAUAAUAAUAAUAAUAAUAAUAAAAUAAUAUACAAAAUAAUAAAAACUAAUAAUUAAAUAGUGAGUGGGCAAAAAAUAUCAUAUGAAAUCGGGAUUUAAUUUUAAGAGUAAAAUUGGGUUAAAAAUUAAUGUAAAAUAAAAUUGGGACAAAUUUUGGGGUAUACAAUAAUGCGCGCCUCUUCGAUAGAGUCCACGACUAAAGCAAGUGUAUAUGUGAGCAAAACAAAGUGGGCUCUACUGAAAAACAAGAAAGACCACCAAAUUUGUCUUAAUAUGACAUGAACUCUCCCAAAAAAAAAAAAAAAAAAAAAAAUCUAAAACCCUACAAAAAUGGCUAAAACGGAAAUUCCUAAGGUGCCUCUAAAGUUAUACUAUGGAUCUAGACUCCCUUAGAAAAGCCUCCAAAAAUGGCCCAAAAAUCGGUGUCAAAAUCGAGUAGCAAUCAGACCACUAAGGAGCACAUGAACGAAUGCAUACAAAGGGAAAAAAAACCAUACGUGUACCAUACGAUGACAAAAGGCAUAAGGUAUCCAACAAUAUGACUGAUUCACGUGUUACGAGCUCAAAAAACUUUGUCAUGCACCAUGGAGGAAGGGAAACUCUAGAAUAAUGUGAUGAGGAAGUUAUUAGCACAAUGUAACAGAGUGAGGAAAAAAGUGAUGAGUGCAAAGCUGUGAGGACAAGGUGCACAAUGCUAAUGAAUAUGAAAUGAAUAGCACUAGGCUACAAUGCAAUCAAUAGCUCAGGGUUGUACCAUAAUGAACAAGUCAAGGAUGUGUAAAGAUGAGGAACAACUCAAGGUUGUAAUGCAAUGAACAACUUAGGGCUGUGAAUGCAAUGAACAACUCAGCGCAAUGAAUGAAAUGAAUAGCUCAGGGCUGUGAAUGCAAUGAACAACUCGAGGUUGUGGAUGUAAUGAACAACUCAGGGUUGUGGAUGUCAUGAACAACUCAAGAAUAGGGGCACUGUACACCCAAAAUGGGAGAUCACGGCCUACGAUUCCAAGUCAAACCACUAAAGGGUGACCAAAAUGAGGGUGAUCAACUCACUAAAAAAGAUGAUAAAAAUGUCUUAAGGGAGAGGAGAUGCCCCAUAUGAAACUUAAAGGAAAUGAGUAGUGCUAAUGAAACUAAAAAAAGAAAAAAUGUCACAACUGAAAUUGAAAAAAUAGCAAACUUAGAUUAAAGUGCAAUGAACAACUUUGGGCUGUGGAUGCGAUGAAUAGUACCGUGUUGUAAUGAAAUGAAUAACUCUAAGAUAUGGGCAUUGUACGCCUAAAGAGGGAGAUCGUGGUUUACGACUCCAAGUCAAACCACUAAAGGACAACUAAAAUAAGAUGAUCAACUUACUAUAAAUGAGAAUGCAACUAUCUCGAGAAAAAGGGUAUGCCCCAAAUGACACUCAACAGUAAAAGAAUGACACAAAUGAAACUAAAACAAGAGGAUGCCACAAAUGAAAUUGAAAUGAUAACAGACUCAGUACUAAUGUGUAAUGAACAACUUUGGACUAUGGAUGCAAUGAAUAGCACUGGGUUGUAAUGAAAUGAACAACUCUAAGAUGUGGGCACUAUACCCCUAAGAAAUGAGAUCAUAGUUUACGACUCUAAGUCAAACCGCUAAAGGGCGACUAGAAUAGGAUAAUCAACUCACUAAAAAUGAGGAUGCAACUAUCUCGAGAAAGGGGGUAUGCCCUAAAUGACACUCAACAGUAUAAGAAUGACAUAAAUGAAACUAAAAUAAGAGGAUGCCACAAAUAAAACUAAAAUGAUAACAAAUUCAAAACUAAUGUGCAAUGAAUAACUCUAGGUUGUGGAUGUAAUGAACAACACUGGGCUGUAAUGAAAUGAACAACUCUAAGAUGUGGGCACUAUACGCCUAAAGAGGGAAAUCACGGUCAACGACUCCAAGUCAAACCACUAAAGGGCGAUUAGAAUAGGAUGAUCAACUCACUAAAAAUGAGAAUGCAACUAUCUCGAGAAAAGCGGGAUGCCCUAAAUGACACUCAAUAGUUAAAGAAUGACACAAAUGAAACUAAAAUGAAAUGAUACUACAAAUGAAACUGAAAUGAUAACAAACUGAUAACUAAAGUGCAAUGAACAACUCUAGGCCGUGGAUGUAAUGGACAGCUCAAGAAUAGGGGAACUGUUCGCCCAAAAUGGGAGAUCGUGGUCUACGACUCUAAGUCAAACCACUAAAGGGUGGCUAAAAUCAAAAUGAUCAACUCACUAAAAAUAAGGAUCUGAACAUCUCAAGAAAGGGGUUAUGCCCCAAAUGAAACUGACAAUAGAGGGAUGCCCUAAACAGACUGAAGAAAGGAGGAUGCCCUAAACAAACUAACGAAAAAUGGAUGCCCUAAACAAACUGAAGGAAGUGAAAUGCCCUAAAUAAACUGACCAAAGAAGAAUGCACUAAACAAACUCCGAGAAAAAAAAAAAGAAGUAUGCGAUAUAGAAUAAAAAACACCUAAAGCAAAAACAAGAAACAAAGAAUGUGGUUUACAACUAGAAACACCCAAAAGAACCUUAAAGAAGUGACUGGGAUAAUGAACUUAAUGAAAAUAGGGUAUGCCACAAUAAAAGACUCGGAAGUAUCAGCAAAUGGGUCAAAUGACCAUGAAAUCAAUAGGAGAUAUGAUGAACCCAAAAAGGGCGUAUGCCCCAACAAAAGAACACUAAAAGGGGGGUAUGCCCCGAUAUGACGACUCACAAUAAUUAAGAAAUGGAUCGAGUAAUGAGAAAAUCUGCAAAAUAUCUUAUGAACUCAAAGAUGGGGGUAUGCCCCAGUGUAAAAUAGUGACCAACAUAAGACACAGAAUGUCACCAUACAAUACACUCUGGGAUAUGCUCAAUGACAAUGUAAUGAAAACAAUAGCCUCAAUCAACAAAUGUUCAAGCAAGACCAUGCAUCACAUAAACUAAAAUAAUAGGCUAAAGAAAUGCUAACCAAGUUUCUCAAUCUGAAAUGUAAGCAAGUCAAGACAUGACAUGUCAACCAUCGACAUGAAAACAUCAUCACAAAUACAUCAACAAACUAAUAGUCCCUACUAUCAUGGAAAAUGUAGAACCUAACGUCCAAAGGCAUGUGAAAACUCAACCAGAAAGCUCAAGACUAGUUUGCAUCCUCCUCUAAUAAAAAGAAUGAGAUAAGGUCAUGUAGGAUGAUGAAAUAGGCAAGCUCAAUAUUCGUUAGGCUCUACCAAGAUGGAUGUAGGUAUAAUAGUGUCAAAGGUAGGAUGUCUAGAUGUCCAACGAAGGAAACUGGGUAUCCAAGUCAAACCAAGUAUGUUGAGGAAACUGAACCCAUAGGAUAAUAACUUUAUGAUCCAUUGAAAAUAGCAAUCAUGAAUAGAAGGUCGAGUCUCGAUGUCAAAAUCAACAAGGUGGCAUUGCCCCAGUAUGAAUACAUCUUCUCAAAAUGGGUAAACCCUCAGUGCAAGAUAAUCUCUAGAAAGUAUGUGUCUAAUAUAAACUGUCAUCUCACAAAAUCUAUCACUGAUCAGUGGGCUAUACCCCAGUGUAAGCAUUUCCAAAUCAAACAUCGAUGAGAGGAGUACAACCAAUCAUACACAAUAUGAUCAAAACAAAUCUCCACUCCUCAAAGUCAUCAUGGUAAUGUGAAGAGAGUAUCUAACCUCAUUUAAAGAAAGAUCAUGUCCCAAUGUGAAAAAUAUCAAGCAAAGUGGUAUGUCUCAACAAAAAUGCACUCUAACAUGAUCAUGCCUAGAUGUAAGAUGGUAUCUUUAAGAUUAAUCACCAAUGAAAGGGUUAUGCCCCAGUAUAGGGCAAUCUCUUAAACGACUAAAAUCCACUACAAGCUCUCACAAGUGUCUAUGUCAUGAACCAAUCAUCUCAAAAAAUAAAUAAAUAAAUAAAUAAAUCUAUCAACAAUGAUGAGAAGGUUAUGCUCGUAUAAUCACAUCAAGAAAAUCACCCGGUCAUAUCUUGUAUUCCAAUGUGAAAGGAAAAUAUGAUCACCUCCAAAGAAUGGCUAUGCCCCAAAAUACAUCAUCGAUUGAGAAAUAUGCCCCUACGUAAAGUACAUCAACUGAAAUAUGCCAAUCAUGCCUCAUGCUCCAAUGUGAAAAAUGACGUAUAAUCUUCUUUGAGGGAUGGUCAUGACUCAAAAUCCAUCAUCAGUUGAGAGAAGUAUGCCCCGACAUAAUGGUCAUCUAAAAAAUCAAUCCCCGACUAAGAAAUGUGUGCCUUGAUGUGAUGUAUCAAGCAAAAUGGCUGCAUACCCCAUAAAAAACUCUCUAAGGUGGCUAUGCUCCAAUGUUGGAUCAUACCACAACUCCUGGUCGAUCACAAUCAAAAUGCUCUCCAACCAAUCCCAAGUAUCGCCCACAUGAGAGCUAUCAAACACAAUGUGUGAUGUCAUGGCCUCAAGGUGGUCUUAAGAUUCGGGACGUAACGUAGGCUAGGGUAAUAAGGUGAAGAAAUGAAGGAAAACUAGGCUUAAUAAUCCUAAUGAUAAAACCCCAUACCCUUAUGUAUAAAAUGCAAUAUGUGCAAAGAGUCUCAUAAACCAUGGAUCUAAGGACACCCAAUAUGAAUAUAUCAGUGAGGAAGAAAGAAUCUAAGAUGAAUAUAUCAAUGAUAAAAGAGAAGAAAUGAAGAAUAUCAAACUGUUGAUGGGAUGUAUAAGAAUGAUGUGUGGAAAAUAUUGAACAUGGAAUGUAAAUUGAUAUGAACAAAGAACAAUGUAGGCAAGGCAAAUGCGAUAUCAUGAUAAGAACAAAUAAAUCGAAGAAAAAUGAAUGAACACUAAUCCACUCAAAUCAAGUCAUGGAGAAUAGUCAAAUCACCAACGUAUGUAAUGAUGGAGAAGACAAUGAUUCGAAGUCCCUAGGAAAAUGUCACUUGUUUGUCACACAUAAAAUACAUAACAAGAUAGACACAAAAAUAUGAGAGUCUUUUGAAAGUUCACGUACGAACUUUCAUAAGCAACUAACUCAAUAAAGCAACCUCAAUGACCAAUAUAUACACUCAAUAAAGGAUGACACUGUAUACAUGUGUUUAUUACUUUUUCUUUUUCAUUUUUUUCAUUUUUUUUUUCAUUUUUUUUCUUUUACUCACGCAUACUCUGAAUAUCAAUAAAUGAACUUCUCUAAGAAUACAUAAUGAAAUGGAUAUACUCUCAAACAAUGAUGUAAGCGAACUCUCUCUGACAAGAUGACCCUCUAAAUUAAGGAUUUUCGAACUAACGUCCAUGAGAUAGGAGUGGAAGGGGAUAUGACCAUCCUCCUUGCAUCGAAAUGUGAAAAAUCAUCACUCAGGGCACAAAAAAAUGUGAUGAAAAAAAAUAAAAAAUGAAACAAAAGAUAUAAACAAUGGAGUAUGAUGAAGACUGAUGUUGGGAAGACAAAAAAAUAGUGAAGAAGGUGAGCCAAUAAGUCCACAACUCAUGAAACUCUCGAAUAAAAUAUAUAUACACCAAAAGACCCUUAUCCCAGUAUAAAAUGUGAGCAAGGAUAUAAGAAAGAAAAGACUAUGGUGCUCAUGUGAGGUUCAAAGGGCUAGCAACGGUCCAAAUGUCAAUAAAGGUAAUAGGGUGUGAGCUAACCAAAAUGAAGGCCACCUAUGAUGGUCUGAAACAUCAUGCUCUUAAGCUUUCAAUGAUCAAUACUGAAAAUCGAUGUCCAUUUGAUAUAAACACGUCAACCCUUUGGAAUUGUGCGCCAAACCAUACUCCAAAUGCUCCAUAAUAAUCUCAAAGAUAAUCCUCUCAAAGCACAAUAAAUAGCGAUCUCAUAAGGCACAACUACUCAUCACAAGCCAACUCUCAUCAUGCAAGAUCAAUCUCUAUUUUCAUGGAAAAAUAAGUGACAAUCUCAUCAGGCAAUUGACGAAUCCUCACAUCGUAAACCAACCAAAGAUCAUAAGUCAUUCAUUGCCAUGCAAGAUCAAUCCCAAGCUCAAACUCCUCAUACUCUACCUGGUUGGAUUAGAGAAGAAAUGGGCAAAGCUAGAAAAACUGAAGAUGGAAAGGUCAUAUAAUGGUGUCAAGGGUGAUGUUGUGCAAAACUCACAAUGGAUGGAUGUAGGUCAAAGCAAAGUCAAUGUGUGAGAGUGAGUAAGACACCACUCUGAUCAUAAGAAGAUGAGUCACAAUCUCAAACUCCUAAGGUCAAAUCUCCGAUCCUAGGCUAAUAAGCUCAACAUCCUCCAUGAUAGGUCAACCCCCAAGAUCACAAUGUGCAAAUGAAUAGAUGCCUCAAGUCAAAAGUACAACACAUCAUAUGAUAUAUGGUCCUACGAUGACAAUCUAAAACUGGAAAUAUGUUACAAACUCUAAGGUCAUAAAGGUGUCCACUGUGAGAUGACUACAAAUGUGACUAAGGAAUCUUUAUCAAUAAUCCAAAAAAUGAAUGAGGUGUGAAAAACAACACUAUCAUGAGAUCGAUACCCCAUCAAUAACAAAAUAUCUCUAAUUCACUUUCAAUCUAAGCUCUAUAAAGAAAAACGAUAAGGUUAUAAAGGCAAACCUCUCAAAAAUGGUGUGAAUGUGAAAACAUGUCUUCACCUUUCUAUAAUGAAAAUAUCAUGUUGAAAAUAGAAAUAGGCAAAUCGACCAAAGAAUGAAGUACGGAGCCCAUGACAAGUGAAGAAUGUAAAAAGGUGAACAUGAUCAAUGAACAUAUCCCAAAACAUCAAGCAUAAAGUGGCAACAAACCGAAAGAAUGUGUCAACUUAAGAAAAGAAGACUAUCUGAAGCCCUAGGGAGAAAGUGUGCUAGACUCAAGGAGCGACAAGAAGAAACUAAAACCAUAUAGCAAGGGGUGGUCCAACUGAUACUCAAACUCGUACCAAUAUCUAAGCACUCUCGACUGGAGACCAAAAGAUGGAGUAUUGGAUCCAUAUUGUGACUAAAGUGGCCUCGAAGGCUCUAAGAUGCACCCACGUGUAGGAAAGGAAAUCCUAAUAAAAAUAUCUAAGGCUUAACCUACAAGGUCAAGGCGGCUAUAAAAAGAAAAAUUGAGUGGACUUUAAAGGAUCCCUAGCAAAAGCGAUCAUACCCUCCAAUGGUACGCAACCUCCUACACGUCUUGAAAUAUAUGGGAGUAAUUCCAUGCAAGGUGGUCAUCACCUCCACACAUGCACUAGCUCAUAUCCUAGAGGGUUUCCUAAUGAUGAAGACUCUUACAUCUCUCAACACUUAGUGGUAAUCUAAGGUGCACAGUGAACGGUGUGGGUUCAUCCAAAAAUCAUAUCAAGCUAAACAAAGAGAAAACACAUUGGUCACACAAAUAUCCUGAAAUCUAGCUCUAACCUAUACAAGUCUUCAAAGAUUGGACUCCAAUUAGCAUUAAUGUUUCGACCUUCUCCAGAAUGCUCCCAAACAUAGAUAUAGUCCAUCACUAAACCCUACUCCGAAUCACUAGCUCGGUCGAAGAGCAAACAAAGUAAUAAGUCUCAUAUCAAAUACGAGAUCAAGGGGAACACGGUCACCCGAGACUAGGGAAUUGAAGGUAAGGAGAUAGGUGUGUGUCCCACAUAGAAAAUCAACAUGCAUUACACAGAAGAAGAAUAGUCAUGCAAUAGACAACCAAGCAAAGAACAGGUAUAUCAUUCAUAUCUACACACAAGCUAAACAAGAAAUAGGUAUUUAACAAGAAUAAACAAUAUGUUGAGAUAAACAAGAUAAUAUACAAUAAAGAGAAUCAAUCACACCAAUAUGAAUGAGAUAUACAAAAAUGAGAAUAUACAUGUCAAGGAGAGCAAGAUAAUCAUACAACAAGAAGAGUCUUAUGUUAAAGCAAGCAAGAGAAUCAAUCGAUGUAGUCAACAUGUCAAUAUCGCAAAUGAACAUAACAACCAAAUAUGCAUCAUAAAGAAAAAAUGGUAAUCAUGCAGCACGUAGUCAUACAAAACAAAUAUAGACAAACAUAAGCAAAUAAAUGUAAACACACAUGAUAACAAAAAUCAAUGUAUAGUAAGGCACAUGCAAUAUAUACAUAAAAUAAUCAUCAAGUCAACACUCAUAUACCUUAAAACAUGAAAAUAUACAAUAAAGACACAAUGAGAGGGUAUUCACUGAUCGAUUAAUCAAACGCUACAUUUCCUUUAACUCGAGUUCAAGUUUGAUCCUUUAAAUAUCCCUAGUGGAGUCGCUAUUUUGUGGACCCACAUUUUUCAAAUGCGUCCUUACACAACAGCGAGACUCAUUUUUUUUAUUUGGUGAAAAUUUGAUUUUUAGAAAAAAGACUUUGAGUCGUCACUUAUUUUUGUUUUUUUUUAAGGGAAAACAAAACAAGAAAGAAAACCUUGUGUAACUCCUUAUUUGGGAAAGACAUGUAUGCAAAAACCAAAUCUGGUUUCGGGGGUCAAGUUACCUAUUGGGAAUGUACGAUGGUGAGCUGUAGCACCUCUCUAAGCUCAUAUACGUACAGUCUCUACUAAACGAAUUAAGAGAGUUGUAGUAAUUAAUUAAUUAGUCAAGGAUACCAAGAAAAAGAAUCGCACAAAUGAGUACGUACAAAUCAUGAUAAAAAAAAUCAAAUUAUAAGAAUAGACAAAAUAAAUAACAAGAGAAUUGUGCAAAGUGAUUUAUUAAACUAAAUAAAAAAGAAGAUAUUAAAAAAAUUAGUUUUCAAGAAAUUUCAAAGGAUUUUAUUAAAAUGAUUUUGAAUUAAUGAUUUUAAUUUAUUUAUUUACAAAAAAAAAAGUCAAUUUAUUUUCUUCAAGUGAUUUGAUUCAAUUUUUUUUAAAAAAAAAAGUUAUUUACACUCAUGGUUGUUAAAAGAAUUAUUAACAAAAUUUCAAGUUGACAAUAAAAAUGAUUUUUACUUGCUUUUACUCGAAAACAAUGAAUUUUUACAAUUUUAUUAACAAAAGCAUUUCAAUUUAAGAAAAGUGACUUAAACAAAUUAUUAAAAAAAUAUAACUUUAUCUACAAAAGAAUUUUUAAUUAAAAAGAAAAAAUUUAAAUCAUCUAUUUCUAAAAAUGACUUUUAAUCCCAUUUUAAUUAAGGAAAAUUGAGUUAUUUAAAAAAACAUUUUUUGGACAAUUUGAAUAAAAAUUAAUUUUUGGGACAACUUAUUUACAAAACAAUUUUUGGACAAUUAUUAUUAAAAACAAAAUUUCAAAUUCGAUUAAAAACAAUUUUUUGGAUUUUUCCAAACACAUUUUUAUGAAUUUUUAUUAAUAAAAAACUUUUUUUUAUUAAGAAGAAUAUUUUUUGAGCUAUUAUUUUAUUAAAACAUGUUUAUUGAAUUAUUCUUCUUAUUCAAACAAAAUUUUUAAUUUGUUCGAUAUCCAAUUCUGUACACAACAAGUAAAUAUAUACAAACAAAUAUUUAUAGAAAGCAAUAAAAAUAAAACCAAAUAGAAGUGAGAAAUAAAACAUGUACUUAAACAUGCUUACAACAAGCUCAAUGUCUUCUUACGAUUUUUCGAGUCUCACUUUCUUUCAUUAAAUUUUAUGCUCCACGUACCAUAAAUCCGUACUCAACCAAAAAAAUUGCAGAAUUGGCCCAUGCAAAAACAAAAAUAACACAAAUGUAAAUAUCUAAAAAUGUAUAAAGUUCACAAUAGAUAUUCAAGCCCAAAUUCAAAUUUCAAAUUAGUCCAACAAAUUUCGUCAAUCAAAAUAGGUCUAAAUUAGCAAAUAUAGCCCAACAAAAACAUUUCACAUGUCAUAGGCCUUAAUAUAAAAUUUCCAAGUUAAUAACCAAAAUAUAAGUUCAAUUAAUCAGACCCAAAACAUGAUACAUUAAAAUAAAUCUCAUUAGGCAUAAACUUAAUAUCUCAUAAUUCAAGCCUAAUUUAAUAUAUAAACCUAAAUCCACAAUCAAAAUCAACUCACUUUAUGCUAAUCCCAAUUUACAAUCAAAAUCAAACAUAAUUUAAUAAGUAAAUAACUAAAUAAAUUAAGCAAAAUCAAAACUCUCAAACCACUAUUGCACAAUAUCAAACAAUAAUAAAUAUAAUGACAACAACAAUAAUAAUAAAAUAAAAUAAAAAAAUUUAACUCACGUUGGAGCCAGUUUGAGUGUCGUGGGAAAGAAAGAAAAUGAGAGAAAAGUGGGAGAUGAUCGUUAGCUGGUAGUAGCUCGCCCGCGGCGACUGGUCGAUAGUCCUGCUGGCGGUAGUGAGGAUUGAUGAAUUUUUGGGAAAGGAAAAAAAAAGAGGAGUAAUAAAAAAAUGGAGAAAUGAGAGGAAGGUGGGAUAAGAGGGGAGAGAGAGAAUGAAGAAAAUAGGGGAAAAGAAAUGAGGCCGGCCGGAGGAGGAAGUGGUAGUGUGUGUGAGCUAAAGUGAAGAAGAAUGAAAGAAGAAGAAGGAGAAAAAUGGGAAAGAAGGGGAAAAAAAAUUCGAGCCCUCUAAAUGAAGAAAGGUGAGUAGCUUAAAGAAGAAAAUAAAAUAAAAUAAAAAAAGAAAAAAUGAGGAGAAAAUGAGAGGGCCAGUAGUCUUGGGAAUGGGGUGGUAUAGGUGAGAGAGAGUGGGCGAGGUUGUUGGGGAAGGUAUGGGAGAGAGAGGAGAGAUGAAAGAAAGAGAAAAAAAAAACAUAAUAAUAAUAAUAAUAAUAAUAAUCAUAAAUAAUAUAUAAAAUAAUAAAAAUUAAUAUUUAAAUGAUGAGUGUGUCAAAAAUAUUAUAUGUAAUUGGGAUUUAAUUUUAAGAGUAAAAUUGGACUAAAAAUUAAUGUAAAAAUAAAAUUUGAACAAAUUUUAAAAUCUACAAAUACAUUCUUUAAUCUUUCCACAACAUCAAUCUGAUCUAAAUGAAAUGCAAUAAAUUCUAAAAAUGAUACAAUCUUUAAUCAAUCCACAAUAUCAACCCGAUCAAAACUCAAUGCAAUAUUGCUUAAUGGAGAGAAUCGUAAAAUCCUUUUAUGAGAGGAAAACAAAACCCUUAACAGACCUUUAUGAGAGGAAAAUAGGAAAACAUAGAACUAAAAACCCUUAACGUAUUCAUGAGAAUAAAAAAAAUCCUUAACACCUUAAUAAGAGGAAAACAAAGAAUUUGAACAAUCCUUAAUCCAUCAAAAGCUCUUAAUAUGAACGAGGGGAAAACAUAACCUUUAUUUUUCAUAUCGCUGAAUACAGAAUCUAAAGAGAUAGAAUUUUUAGUUAUUAAGGAUUUUUUAUAGAUGUCUAUUGAAAGUUUAAGAACUUUUAUGGAUAAUUGUUAAUUAAGAGACUGAAAGGGUACUUAGGAUUUUCAACUAAAAAAGUUAUAACAAUAUGAAUAGUAAGAACUUAAAAACAUCACCCAUCCAUCAUAGGAAUAUGGAAUGAGAGGUUAUUUUUUUACUUAUACAACAAUAAACUUUUUUGGAAGAGGUUUUUCUAAGUACAAAAAGUUAUGAAUAAAAAACCAUUGUUACGAUGAGUUAACUAAAAUAGAAUUAAUUUAGAAAAUAUCAAUAAAGUUGCAUGAAUUAUUAUCAUGAGUUAACUUAAUAAGAAUAAAUAGUAAUAAAGUUAAUGAAGUGAAUUUGGAUUGGCAGAUAUAUUUGAUGAUAAGAUUUUUUUAAUAAUAAAAAAUUAUUAUGGCAGGAAAAAUAGGACAAAAUUGACCUUAUGAUAAGAUUUUUUUAAUAAUAAAAACAUUAUUAUGGUAUGAAAAAAAGGGACAAAAUUGGCCUUUCCUUAAUUGUACCGGUUAAUGGAAUAAUGGGACAUGCGGUGGUUACAAGCCACCCCAAAAGGUAGGAAGAAUCUCCAACCCCCAUUCUCGGCUCCCUUAUCUUUUCCCUUACAACCAAAAAUCAACAACUAUCUUAGAAUGUCCUUCAGUCCAUCAAAAUUCAACAACAACAAUUAUACAUUACAAUAAUGAAAACAAAAUUGAUUGAUCACCAGCUAACAUUAGGAGAUUAUAAGAUAAGGAUGUAAUUGCAAUUAUUGAAAUCACUUAAAGAGUAAAAAUUAGGAACAUGCUCACAAUAAAUAAAAUCACCUUAGAAUUAAAAAUUAGGGACAUGAUUAUGAUGAUUAAAAUCACUCGAGAACUAAAAUGUUUUAGAGAUACAAUAAUUGAAAUCAACUGAAAAAUAAAUUCGGGAUGUGAUCGCAAUUAAUGUAUAUAUAAACAACCAAAUGUUGAAAGGAAAAACUAAUGAAAUUAAUAUGAUUUUCUUUUAGAUUUCUCUUGACACCAAACAAAUGUAAGGAAGUUUAUAAAGGAAAAUUAGGUUUUGAUUCACUAAAUUAAAAUAAUAUAGAAAAAAGAUCUUCAAAUUUUAUGUAUCAGUUUUAUUUUUAUUUAUUUAAAAAUAUUUUAAAAUACAUAUAUUUUUUCAUAACUCAAAUAGUCAUUCCUCAAAUGCUAGUUUUACUUGUUAUGUUAAUAACACUAGUUAAUAAUUUUGUAUUGUGAGAACGAUUUAAGAUUAAUAAAAUAAGAAAUUUUUAAAACUAAAAAGACAUUUAAAACUUUAAAAUUAAAAAUAUAAAAAUAAAACAAUAAUUUUUCAUUUAGUAAAACACGCAGUAGAAAAUAUAGAUAUAGAGAAAGAGUUGGAAAUAAAAUAAGAGUUAAUAUUUUAUUUUUAAAAUUUUAUGUUUUUUAUUUUAAUUGUAUUUAAUUUUAUGUAUUUUAGUUGUAAUUAUAUUUUUAAUUUUUAAAUUUUUUUAUUUUAUUGUUGAUGUAAAUUUUUGUUCAAUUAUAUAUAUAUAUAUAUAUUUUAAAUUAGUGAGUAAAAACCCACUUUUUCUAAUUUAUAAUAUAUUUAUGGGAUUUUAUAAUAUAAGCAAUUUUUUUUUUUGAGAAAGAGGAAAAAUCAACUUUUCAAUUUCCCUUAAUAAUUAUUAGUAUUAUUAUCCAAUUUGGCUGAUUAUGAGAUUAGUUGGUAUCAUUACUAUAUCCAUUUGUUCUUAACCCUUCAUUAGAAUAGUAUUAGGAGUUGAACGUCAGUUGGAAUACAGGCUUAUGGAAACAAAUCUAUCCGAUUAGUAGGUUCUUAUUAUUUUCAAUAUAGGCCCCAUAAAAUAAAUAGGAGAUGGGCAGCCCGUCCCUUUGUCUGGAGGCCAUCCUCCCAACUUAUUAAAGGUGAUAUGAGAUAAGAUAGUGACAAAAUUAUCGGUUACUUCCCGACACCUGGCUCUCCACAAGCAAACCCAGUGAUCCAGAAAUUAAUUGGUACCUGGACACGUGACUACCAAACGUUCGCUCACCUACCAUACCCAUGGCCUCAUGCCCCAUAUAUUUCCACAAACCUAGCUCAAUUUUCAUAGCCACCUUCACUAUCCUACACUCACUAAGCCAUGGCCAUAGAUACAAGCCUCUUGAUUGAGCUUGCUGCAGCAACUCUACUCUUCUUCAUCACCCGCUUCUUCAUUCGUUCUCUCCUUCCCAAAUCUUCCUGGAAGCUCCCUCCUGGCCCCAAAGGGUGGCCGCUCGUCGGCGCUCUUCCUCUUCUAGGUAACAUGCCUCAUGUUGCAUUAGCAAAGAUGGCCAAAAGAUACGGGCCUGUCAUGUUCUUGAAAAUGGGCACUAACAGCAUGAUGGUGGCCUCAUAUUAAGGAAAUUAUAUGUUAGUUAUUGUAUGAUUAUCUUGACAUAAUUAGCUGAUUGUAUAGGAGCAUAAUUAGCCUUAUAUUACUGAUUCUGUAGCUAUAAUUUAGGAGAAGAUUAGAUCAAACAUGUGUAUAUAUAUACUACAUUCUAUUAAUGAGAAAAGUAUCCAAUUUGAAGCCAAUCUCUUUAUUCUUGUUAUGGUAUCAGAGCAAGAACAAAAAACCACCAUGGCUGGCAGUCAGAAGGCUUCUGGAUCAGAAAACAAGACCAUCGAUCCUUCACAUCCUCUCUAUAUUCAUCAUUCAGAUCAACCAGGCCAUGUUUUGGUGCCCAUCAAAUUAAAUGGGGUCAACUAUCAAUCAUGGAGCAAAGCAGUUAUUCAUGCCCUUACUGCCAAGAAGAAGAUCGGCUUCGUCGACGGGACAGUUGAAGAACCAUCGCAGGAAGAUGAACCCUUUAUGUUUGAACAGUGGAAUCAAUGCAACAGCAUGAUACUUUCUUGGCUAACUCAUGCUGUUGAAUCGGACAUUGCUGAAGGAAUUAUCCAUGCUAAAAUAGCACGCGAAGUGUGGGUUGAUUUGCGCGACCAGUUUUCUCAAAAGAAUGCUCCAGCGGUUUUUCAAAUAUAGAAAUCAAUCGCCACCAUGUCGCAAGGAACGAUGACAGUAGCUGCAUAUUUUACAAAGAUCAAAGCCUUAUGGGACGAGCUUGAGACAUACCGUUCCCCGCUGACCUGCAACCAACGGCAAGCACAUCUCGAGCAAAGGGAGGAAGACCGUCUUAUGCAAUUUCUAAUGGGUUUGAAUGAGUCAUAUAAGGUAGUGAGAUCCAAUAUUUUGAUGAUGUCGCCAUUGCCCAAUGUCUGUCAAGCAUACUCUUUAAUUGUCCAGGAAGAGAUGCAACGACAAGUUUCUUCUGAGCCAACCGAGAAUUUCUCAAUAGCUGCCGCAGUCCCUGGAAAAGGAGGUAAUCCAAGACAAAAAUUGUGUGACCAUUGUAACAGAUCCGGACAUACCAUAGAUGAAUGUCGGACUCUUAAAUUUCACUGUAAGUUCUGUGAUAAAAGAGGUCACACGGAGGAUAGAUGCCGACUGAAAAAUGGGAGCAAUAACAAAACGGGACAAUUCCGAGGACAAUGUCCUUUUGGUCGUGGGAAUCAGCCCUUAGCAAACGCGACAGAAUCCCAGGAAAUGUCUGAUUCGACUUCUUCUAGUACAGUCCAGGGGUUCACUACAGAACAAAUACAACAGUUGGCUCAAGCAAUUUCAUGCAUUAAAUCACAGUAAUUCCGGUAAUAUUGACGCAUAUGCAAAUGCUGCAGGUUUGAUUCCAUCAACUCUUGUGUCUGUUAAUUCUAGUAGUACAAGUUCUUGGAUUUUGGAUACAGGUGCCACGGAUCACAUCGUUUCCCACAUGUCUCUUUUCACUGAUCUCAAACCUUCUAAUGUCACAACUGUUAAUUUACCAAAUGGUGCAGCAUCACCAAUAACACACACUGGCACCGUUAUUUUUGAUUCCCAAUUGACCCUUAAAGAUGUUUUAUGUGUCCCAUCCUUUAACUUGAAUUUAAUUUCGGCUAGCAAACUCGCAAAAGAUCAGAAUUGCUGCAUCAUAUUCUUUCCUGACUAUUGUAUUUUGCAGGACUUGGUUUCGGGGAAGAUGAUUGGCUCGGGUAAACAGCGUGGUGGUCUAUACUACAUGCAUCCAUCAACAAAUAAAUCGGUUGUCUUUCAUGUUUCUCAACCGUCUGACUUAUGGCAUUUACGCCUGGGUCAUCCCUCUUUUUCUCGUUUUAAAUUAUUAUCACAUUUGCUUCCAGAUAUUCAUAAAGAAUUAGGAAAUCAUUGUCCAAUUUGCCCACAGGCUAAGCAGACACGCUUGCCCUUUCCCAAAAGUUCAAUAACUACAAAAUUUCCUUUUUCUCUUUUACAUUNNNNNNNNNNNNNNNNNNNNNNNNNNNNNNNNNNNNNNNNNNNNNNNNNNNNNNNNNNNNNNNNNNNNNNNNNNNNNNNNNNNNNNNNNNNNNNNNNNNNNNNNNNNNNNNNNNNNNNNNNNNNNNNNNNNNNNNNNNNNNNNNNNNNNNNNNNNNNNNNNNNNNNNNNNNNNNNNNNNNNNNNNNNNNNNNNNNNNNNNNNNNNNNNNNNNNNNNNNNNNNNNNNNNNNNNNNNNNNNNNNNNNNNNNNNNNNNNNNNNNNNNNNNNNNNNNNNNNNNNNNNNNNNNNNNNNNNNNNNNNNNNNNNNNNNNNNNNNNNNNNNNNNNNNNNNNNNNNNNNNNNNNNNNNNNNNNNNNNNNNNNNNNNNNNNNNNNNNNNNNNNNNNNNNNNNNNNNNNNNNNNNNNNNNNNNNNNNNNNNNNNNNNNNNNNNNNNNNNNNNNNNNNNNNNNNNNNNNNNNNNNNNNNNNNNNNNNNNNNNNNNNNNNNNNNNNNNNNNNNNNNNNNNNNNNNNNNNNNNNNNNNNNNNNNNNNNNNNNNNNNNNNNNNNNNNNNNNNNNNNNNNNNNNNNNNNNNNNNNNNNNNNNNNNNNNNNNNNNNNNNNNNNNNNNNNNNNNNNNNNNNNNNNNNNNNNNNNNNNNNNNNNNNNNNNNNNNNNNNNNNNNNNNNNNNNNNNNNNNNNNNNNNNNNNNNNNNNNNNNNNNNNNNNNNNNNNNNNNNNNNNNNNNNNNNNNNNNNNNNNNNNNNNNNNNNNNNNNNNNNNNNNNNNNNNNNNNNNNNNNNNNNNNNNNNNNNNNNNNNNNNNNNNNNNNNNNNNNNNNNNNNNNNNNNNNNNNNNNNNNNNNNNNNNNNNNNNNNNNNNNNNNNNNNNNNNNNNNNNNNNNNNNNNNNNNNNNNNNNNNNNNNNNNNNNNNNNNNNNNNNNNNNNNNNNNNNNNNNNNNNNNNNNNNNNNNNNNNNNNNNNNNNNNNNNNNNNNNNNNNNNNNNNNNNNNNNNNNNNNNNNNNNNNNNNNNNNNNNNNNNNNNNNNNNNNNNNNNNNNNNNNNNNNNNNNNNNNNNNNNNNNNNNNNNNNNNNNNNNNNNNNNNNNNNNNNNNNNNNNNNNNNNNNNNNNNNNNNNNNNNNNNNNNNNNNNNNNNNNNNNNNNNNNNNNNNNNNNNNNNNNNNNNNNNNNNNNNNNNNNNNNNNNNNNNNNNNNNNNNNNNNNNNNNNNNNNNNNNNNNNNNNNNNNNNNNNNNNNNNNNNNNNNNNNNNNNNNNNNNNNNNNNNNNNNNNNNNNNNNNNNNNNNNNNNNNNNNNNNNNNNNNNNNNNNNNNNNNNNNNNNNNNNNNNNNNNNNNNNNNNNNNNNNNNNNNNNNNNNNNNNNNNNNNNNNNNNNNNNNNNNNNNNNNNNNNNNNNNNNNNNNNNNNNNNNNNNNNNNNNNNNNNNNNNNNNNNNNNNNNNNNNNNNNNNNNNNNNNNNNNNNNNNNNNNNNNNNNNNNNNNNNNNNNNNNNNNNNNNNNNNNNNNNNNNNNNNNNNNNNNNNNNNNNNNNNNNNNNNNNNNNNNNNNNNNNNNNNNNNNNNNNNNNNNNNNNNNNNNNNNNNNNNNNNNNNNNNNNNNNNNNNNNNNNNNNNNNNNNNNNNNNNNNNNNNNNNNNNNNNNNNNNNNNNNNNNNNNNNNNNNNNNNNNNNNNNNNNNNNNNNNNNNNNNNNNNNNNNNNNNNNNNNNNNNNNNNNNNNNNNNNNNNNNNNNNNNNNNNNNNNNNNNNNNNNNNNNNNNNNNNNNNNNNNNNNNNNNNNNNNNNNNNNNNNNNNNNNNNNNNNNNNNNNNNNNNNNNNNNNNNNNNNNNNNNNNNNNNNNNNNNNNNNNNNNNNNNNNNNNNNNNNNNNNNNNNNNNNNNNNNNNNNNNNNNNNNNNNNNNNNNNNNNNNNNNNNNNNNNNNNNNNNNNNNNNNNNNNNNNNNNNNNNNNNNNNNNNNNNNNNNNNNNNNNNNNNNNNNNNNNNNNNNNNNNNNNNNNNNNNNNNNNNNNNNNNNNNNNNNNNNNNNNNNNNNNNNNNNNNNNNNNNNNNNNNNNNNNNNNNNNNNNNNNNNNNNNNNNNNNNNNNNNNNNNNNNNNNNNNNNNNNNNNNNNNNNNNNNNNNNNNNNNNNNNNNNNNNNNNNNNNNNNNNNNNNNNNNNNNNNNNNNNNNNNNNNNNNNNNNNNNNNNNNNNNNNNNNNNNNNNNNNNNNNNNNNNNNNNNNNNNNNNNNNNNNNNNNNNNNNNNNNNNNNNNNNNNNNNNNNNNNUUUUCGUUUUUCACCCCAUCACCGUGCUUUUUUAGCUCUUUUGACAGCCCAAACCGAACCUUCAUCCUUUGAACAAGCUGACUGUGAUCCACGUUGGCGCCAAGCCAUGUCCACCGAACUUCAGGCUCUAGAACGAAACAACACUUGGGAGAUGGUCCCUCUUCCUCCGGGACACAAACCCAUUGGCUGCCGCUGGGUGUACAAGAUCAAAUACCAUUCUGACGGAACCAUUGAACGCUAUAAAGCCCGUUUGGUUGCCAAGGGCUACACACAGGUCGCCGGUAUCGACUAUCAGGAAACCUUUUCUCCAACUGCCAAACUCACCACUCUUCGCUGUUUGCUGACUGUCGCAGCUUCCAGAAAUUGGUACAUCCAUCAGCUUGAUGUGCACAACGCAUUCCUUCAUGGCAAUUUACAAGAAGAGGUUUAUAUGACUCCACCUCCUGGUCUUCGCCGAUAGGGGGAGAAUCUGGUAAGUCGGCUUCGCAAAUCUAUUUACGGUUUGAAACAGGCAUCACGCAAUUGGUUCUCAACUUUUACAGCUACUGUUAAGUCUGCGGGUUACAUACAGUCCAAAGCAGAUUAUUCACUUUUUACUAAAUCCCAAGGUAACAAGUUCAUUGCUAUUCUCAUUUAUGUUGAUGAUAUCCUGUUGACUGGUAAUGAUUUGCAUGAAAUCAAGAUGCUCAAGACUCAUCUGCUCAAGCAUUUUUUUAUUAAAGACCUCGGUGAAUUGAAAUAUUUUUUGGGUAUAGAAUUCUCUCGCUCUAAAAAGGGAAUCUUUAUGUCUUAAAGAAAAUAUGCAUUAGAUAUUUUGCAAGACACAGGAUUGACAGGAGUGAAGCCCGAAAAAUUUCCGAUGGAGCAAAACUUGAAAUUGACUGAUGAAGAUGGCGAGUUACUUCAUGAUCCAAGUAGGUAUCGGAGACUGGUUGGCAGAUUAAUAUACUUGACUGUAACCAGGCCUGACAUAGUGUAUUCAGUACGUACACUAAGUCAAUUCAUGAACACACCUCGGAAGCCGCACUGGGAAGCAGCAUUACGAGUCCUCCGAUAUAUUAAAGGGUCACCAGGUCAAGGUCUUUUUCUUCCAUCUGAAAAUAAUUUAACACUCAGCGCAUUUUGCGAUUCAGAUUGGGGAGGAUGUCGUAUGUCAAGACGUUCCGUUUCUGGUUAUUGUGUUUUCCUCGGAUCAUCACUCAUCUCUUGGAAAUAAAAAAAACAAACGAAUGUUUCACGUUCGUCAGCAGAAGCAGAGUACAGAGCAAUGGCGAAUACUUGCCUGGAAUUGACUUGGUUGAGGUACAUACUUAAAGAUUUGAAGGUUGAAUUGGACAAACCAGCACCAUUGUUUUGUGAUAAUCAAGCAGCUGUAUAUAUUGCAGCUAACCCAGUUUUUCACGAAUGUACUAAACACAUUGAGAUUGAUUGUCAUAUAGUUCGAGAAAAACUUCAAGCUGGGGUAAUUCGUCCGUGUUAUGUUUCUACAAAGAUGCAGUUGGCGGACGUUUUUACAAAGGCACUUGGCAGGGAGCAGUUCGAAUUUUUGUGCACCAAGUUGGGAGUUCUUGAUUUGCACUCUCCAACUUGAGGGGGAGUAUUAAGGAAAUUAUAUGUUAGUUAUUGUAUGAUUAUCUUGACAUAAUUAGCUGAUUGUAUAGGAGCAUAAUUAGCCUUAUAUUACUGAUUCUGUAGCUAUAAUUUAGGAGAAGAUUAGAUCAAACAUGUGUAUAUAUAUACUACAUUCUGUUAAUGAGAAAAGUAUCCAAUUUGAAGCCAAUCUCUUUAUUCUUGUUACCUCAACUCCCGGGGCGGCUCGGGCUUUCCUUAAAACGCUAGACAUUAAUUUCUCUAACCGCCCGCCUAAUGCCGGUGCCUCACUCUUGGCCUAUCAUGCCCAAGACAUGGUUUUUGCGGAUUAUGGGGCAAGGUGGAAGCUACUGAGAAAGCUAAGCAACUUACACAUGCUUGGUGGGAAGGCUCUUGAGGACUGGUCUCAGGUCCGAGCUGUUGAGCUAGGCCACAUGCUUCGAGCCAUGCUUGAGUUGAGCCAGCGAGCGGAGCCGGUGGUGGUGCCGGAGAUGUUAACUUUUUCCAUGGCCAACAUGAUAGGUCAAGUGAUUCUAAGCCGCCGGGUGUUUGAAACAAAAGGGUCGGAGUCAAAUGAGUUCAAGGACAUGGUGGUGGAGCUCAUGACCACUGCUGGGUACUUCAAUAUUGGCGAUUUUAUUCCGUCCAUCGCAUGGCUGGACAUCCAAGGGAUCCAGCACGGGAUGAAGCAUUUACAUAGGAAGUUCGAUCGGUUAUUAACAAAGAUGAUGGAGGAGCACACGGCGUCAGCCCAUGAGCGGAAGGGAAACCCAGAUUUUCUGGACGUGAUCAUGGCAAACCAAGAAAAUUCUACAGGGGAGAAGCUCACUAUUACCAACAUUAAAGCACUCCUCCUGGUAUGCAUAGUUAAAGCUCGUCUUUAAUUUUGUUUUCCGAUAUUUUCUUUCCUGAAACAGCACUUUUAUUGCUUUUAGAUAUGUACGUUUUUAUCAGGUAGCCAUUUUAGGGGCACAUCACUGUUCUUUAUUUGGAUUUUUUUUGUCUUUUUCCACUUGCAUGGUUGUUUUCAUAUGCUCAGCUGCAUGGCACAGGAAAAUUGUGAAAAAUGAUUGGUUCUCUGAUCAGACCUUCUGCACCAAAACAUAAUUCUCUCUAUUUUAUAAAAUCAAGAACAUUUAUGGUUUACAUGAUUUUUCGAACUUGAACUUUUGCUAGUGCUAAUGCAUGGAUCUCAAUUUUUCAAUUGCGUUUGAUUAUAUAAAUUUCAAGUAUGUGAACAUAUUUUUGUUUCCUUGGCUAGAAUUUAUUUACUGCAGGAACAGACACUUCAUCGAGCGUAAUCGAGUGGUCUCUGGCUGAGAUGUUGAAAAACCCGAGCAUCCUCAAGCGUGCUCACGAAGAAAUGGAUCAAGUGAUUGGAAGGAGCCGGCGGCUCGUGGAGUCUGACUUGCCAAAACUUCCAUACCUACAAGCCAUAUGCAAGGAAAGCUUCCGGAAGCACCCAUCCACCCCAUUGAACCUUCCUCGUGUCUCAACCCAAGCAUGCGAAGUGAACGGCUACUACAUCCCAGAGAACACUAGACUUAGCGUGAACAUAUGGGCAAUUGGGCGAGACCCUGAUGUCUGGGAAAGCCCGGAAGAAUUCAGGCCAGAAAGGUUUUUAAGUGGAAGAAAUGAAAAAAUUGAUCCUCGUGGAAAUGAUUUUGAGUUGAUCCCGUUUGGGGCUGGACGAAGGAUUUGCGCUGGCACUAGAAUGGGAAUAGUGCUGGUUGAGUACAUUUUAGGGACGUUGGUACAUUCAUUUGACUGGAAAAUGCCGGAUGGAGUUGAGAUCAACAUGGACGAAGCUUUCGGGCUUGCACUGCAGAAGGCAGUUUCUCUUUCGGCCAUGGUGACACCAAGGCUUCACCAGAGUGCGUAUGCAGUCUGAGCUCAAACCGCUCAGACCAAAACCCAGGCCUCGCUGCUAUAUGGCAUGGAUGCAGUUAAGUAGAAAAUAUUUUGGGAUGCCUGUGGCUUAGUAUAAGAUGUAUUAGCUCAAAGAUGGUCGUUUCAUUCUACCACCAAGCCAUAUGCAUCUAUGCAUAAUCUAUUGAUUUAGGCUCGAUUUGGUUAUAGUUUUUGUUUUUUUGUCUUCCAAAUCAGUAAAUAGUAGGGGUAUUUUUGUCCUAUGUAGUGAUUCUUUUUGUUUGAUUGAUUAUAUUUGGAUCCUUCAAAUAUUCCUACACAACUAUUAACCUCCUUCAAAAAUAUAUAGUUAAGGGCCUUGGUCAGAGCCAUCUCCAUCUUUUCACUUCUUGUGCUGCAGUAUGGGAUUGGCUUAGAUGAUCGUUAGUCUAAUGUUUCCUUUUCAACAUCAUAAUUCAGCGCAAACUAAGUUGAAUAUUCAACAACAAAUAAGUACAGAAAAUAAUGGAAGAAAAAUUCCCACUUUAUCUCCGUAAAGUAAUGCCAUAUUUUUCUUCAUACUUACCUUCUAGAUUUUUGUUGGAGCUCUGAGCCCGUGAUCCAUUAGAUGAUUGCGUGUGUGCAUAUGCAUGUGGGUGAUUGCGUGUAAUACGUACGUACGUUCCAUGAUUCAUGUUCGAAGUACCCUCUCUUAUUUAUCGUUGAAGAGGCUAUCGUCACAAACUCUAUUGAUUAAUUAGUCUAGGCAAAUUAAGGCGCGAUAACGACCGAUGUAUAUCUUAAAAGUAACGAUUAAGAGAAUAUUAUAUGUACAAGGGAAAAAUCUACAUAUAAUUAUUGAUGCAACUUGCAAGUGGGAUAAAAUUUGGGAUGGGGAUUAUUAUAAAUUAAUCUCAAUCCAUAAUUGUGAUUGUGGAGUAUAAAUUAAAUGAUUCAUAAUCCAUCUACAUGAAGAUUAAAACCCAUAUUGAAAAUAGCUUUAAAAAACUAAUUUAUAAGAAUAAUUUUUGCAUCAUAUUUUGUGUGCUUGAACUCGUUUCCUAUAUUUUUAAAUAUAUAUUAAAUAUAAUUUUCUUUUAUUUAUAGUGUUUUAUUUUUAAUUAUUCUUCAUAUUUAUAUAAUUAUUUUUUAAAACAAUCAUGAUAAAAAGCAAAAAGAAGUGAAAAUAGCUUAAUAUAAUUAAAGACAAAUAUCUUAUUUUUUGUUAUCUGUUGUUAUUGUUUUUUCUUUUUGUUAACCCCCUUCAAAUCUAAUUAUUCAUACUCAAUUUUGACACGAAAGAGCCAUUGUCAUGAAAGGGGGAGGUCCAUCAUUUUGGUACGAUGCCAACUCUACCACAUAACCACCAUUUAGAUAUCUAUCCUUUUAUUUUUGGCAUGUGAACUUAUAGUGGGUGGCUGACCUUGAAUCCACUAGUUAUCAUGUUGAAAUUAACCACCAUUUAGAUAUCUAUCCUUUUAUUUUUGGCAUGUGAACUUACAGUAAGUCCGAUUUAUGUCCAAGGGUCAAAUUUAAAUCUCUCUUCAAUCUAAUGGCUAAGAACUUCCCAACUUUAUUUAAUACUUAAUGUAUCCAAUAAUUGUAAUCGAGUAAUCCAAUGACAAGUACCUUCAAUGACUAUUUUGGCAAAAGAAAAAAGAAAAAAAGAAAUAAUAUAAGUUUGUUAUUUUAUGAUAUAAUAAAUUUAUUAAUACUUUCCUUUUUCAAAAUAUGUAAUUAGUUGUAAUUUCAUUAUAUAAUAUAUAAAUUAAGUUAUUUGCAAUUUUAAAAUAUGUUCAUUUUGUUUUUUUUUAAGUGUUAAUUAAAAAUUAUACAAUUUUGUUUUAUAAAAAGUAUUUAGUACUUUUAAUUUUAUAAAUUACAAACAUUAAUUAUACUAUUUUCUUAAAAUAUUUAGUUUAGUAUGCAUAUUAUUAGUUGUUUUCUCAUAUCUCAAGUUUCAAUCAAAAAAAUAUUUAUGAUUUGUUUUUGUUAAUUUGUGUCUUGUUUUCAAUUUAAUUAAUGAAAAGUUAUUUGAUCAAAAGGUUCAUUACAAACCAAUUUUAAAAAUUUAAUCCUUUAUUAUAUUUUGAUAUUGUUUUGAUAAAAAUGUCUUUAUUAUUUUUUAAAUAUAUUGUAAAUAUUUAAAAUAAUUAAAAAUAUUUAGAUCAAAAAUCGAUUAUUUUUCAAACAAAAAUAUGAAAGUGAUAAAUUUGCAAAUGUGGGGAAUAUUUAAUCCUUUUAAUCGAUUAUUUCAUUAAUGAAGUGGGUAUAAUGAUGAACGCAGACUUGGUUUUACUAGGGCAUGCAGAGGUUUUGCAAGAGAGAGAGAUCAUUUCUCGACUCUGAGAAAUCAAUCUCCUUUUGGCCCGGUGGCGGACUCCAAGUAAAGCCUUGAAGGAGCCUUGCUAACAUCCCUGCACACCCACGCCUUCCAGUACUGAAGGAAAUGAAGCGAAGGUUUGGCUCGUUCAACUCCACUGCUUGAACUGUACUAGCAUUCAGAUGCCGCUCUGGAUUGAAAUUUAGCGGUUCUUCCCAGAUUCUAGGGUUCCGGCCCAGCCCCAGACGGCUCAGAAGGACAUGACUGCCUUUGGGGAUAGAGUACCCAGCAACACUAGUCGGAUUCCUGAACUCGUCUAUCCUUUCCAACCACUCCAUCAAUUUCUUCACUGCUUUGCUCAAAAUCCCUGGUUGCUUGAUCAUUGCCUACUCAAUUGCAUUUGAUGGACUAUCGAAGCCUGCAAGCAUCAACUCCUGCAAAUUAUGGAAGGAUCAUAAUCUCAUGAUUGAUCAAGUUAUUUGCUGGCUAGGAAAUGAUCAUCAUGCAAUGUAGAUCAAAAGGUAAGCACAACACUACUACAAAAAUAAUUUAUGGUGUCAUUUUUAAAAUAAUGACACCAUAGGGUUUAUAAUUAAUAAAGGUGAUACAUCAUAUGAAAAUUCUUCAAUUGAGGUAGUUAGAUUAUGUUAGUUUUAUAUUUAUAGUGUCAUUUUUUGGGAAGUAACAUCAUAUAAAAUAAUUUUUUUUUAAGUAUUAUAACUUAAUGAGCCCACUUUUAUAAUUAAUAAUGAGGGAUAAUGUAUAAAAAGCCCAUUGUUUCCACAUGCCACCCACAAUCCAAAAAAUCUCAGUAUACAAACCUUAUAUAUAAAACCAUAAUCUUCUUCUACCUUUUCUCUUACCUAUAGUCAACACACUUAUAACCGACAUUUUCCACUUUGUGGACUCCCAAGUUAUCCAAAUUCUCUUAGAUCUAUCCUAUUUUUUUUCUUUUAUUAAUAUCAUUAUAUUGAUUGUUUCAGCAUCUUUGUAUUAUGGUUUUUGUGAACUGCAUUUUCUUGAGUUGUAGGGAAGAAAAACUUAGGUUUAAACUUCUAGCAUAGACAAAGAAACUUGUAGAUUAAUUGAUUUUUUAAUAUGAACCAAACACAUGACCGACUUUUUCUGUGUGUAAUAAGGACAGCUAGUAUUCAUGCAUAAAAUCAGCAUCAGAAUUCGUAACUGCAUUUGAUCAGCUAGUUUAGUAAAUCUGUACAACUCAUUCUUUCCUUUAUUUUCACAUAUGUUGUUAUACGUUAGCACAAGUUUAGGAGUAAUUUUAGUUUCUCAAAUCUGUAUUUAUACCUCUUCUUCUAAUAAGAAUUGUGUGAAUCAUUUUGUCUAAACCUCUUUAUGGUAUCAGAGCACACCUCAAAACUCCAACAAGUAUUUCCUGUCUUUCUCGCUUCUGCUAUGGCCACUUCUUCCUCUGAUAGUUUUCCAAUAGCCAUCAAUGCCACCCAGCAAAUUACUGCACGUCUUACACCAACCAACUUCCCUUCAUGGCAUGCUCAAUUUGAGUCUCUCCUCCUCGGCUAUAACCUCUUUGGCUAUGUCGAUGGCACUCAUACCUGCCCACCCCUACCGAUGUCAACUAAUGCAGCUGCCACUACAGCUCAUCACCUUUGGUUCCAUCAGGACAAACUUAUUCUAAGUGCAAUUUUGACUUCAGUGUCCCUAGCUGUGAUACCACUCAUAGCAACCUCCCAAACGUCAUAUCAAACCUGGACAAAACUGACAAAACUGUAUGCUAGUCGAUCCAGGACUCGUGUCAUGCAGCUCAAAGAGGAUCUCACCCUCAUGCAAUGUGGCAAUCGCAGCAUUACAAAGUACCUACACUCUGUAAAAACCAUUGUCGAUGAGCUUGCUCUCAUCGAUGCCCCAUUAUCUCAAGAUGACAUCACCCUAUAUGUUCUUCAUGGCUUAGGAUCAAAUUUUCGUGACAUUGUUGCCCCGAUUCGAGCCCGAGAGUCUUCACUCUCAUUGUUGCAAAAUACUGUCCGAAAUUGAAACCCUCUGAAGCCACUGUGAACUGCACAACUACUACUUCCAGUCCCGACAAACGUUGGCUCAUUGAUUCUAUGGCUUCCCAUAAUAUCACUUCUCAGGUUUCAAAUUUACAAUUUCACUCUGAAUAUGAUGGUACUGAUGAAGUUAUUAUUGGAGAUGGAUCAGGUUUGCCCAUUACUCAUUCUGGUUCUCUUACUCUUUCAUUUCCAAACAGAAAAUUUCAAGUUGAAGAUACUCUAUGUGUUCCUACCAUUAACAAAAACUUGAUAUCUGUUCACCACUACACAAAGCAAAACAAUGUUAUCCUGGAAUUUCACCCAACUUAUUUUCUUGCGAAGGAUUGGAGAACGGGGGAGAUUCUUCUUCAAGGACCGUGUGAAAAUGGAGUCUACCCUCUGGCCUCAUCGCCUGCUGCUACUCCAAUUGCUUUUGUCCAUGAACGCACAUCAGCAGCUGGUUGGCAUCAUCGCCUUGGUCAUCGAUCAUUCAAAGUUGUCACUCGCCUCAUUAGUUCUUUCUCCCUUCCCACCACUUCAUGUCUUUCUGGUUCUAAUAAUUGUCAUUCGUGUUCUAUCAAUAAAGCUCAUCAGUUACCCUUUCAUAAACACGGUCUAACUAGCACAACACCAUUUGAUUUACUUUACACUGAUGUAUGGGGACCUUCUCCCACUCCUAGUCUCAAUGGCCACAGAUAUUAUGUUAUUUUUGUUGAUCACUUUACCAAAUAUGGUUGGUUCUUUCCAUUGCAUCAAAAAUCAGAUGUUAAAACCAUAUUUCCUCAUUUCUACAAAAUGAUUGAAACUCGUUUUAACAUAAAAAUUAAAGGAGUUUAUUCCGAUAAUGGGGGCGAGUUCACUGUUCUUCGACCCUUUUUCACAACCCAUGGCAUUAGUCAUUAUACGACAGCCCCUUAUACACCCCAACAAAAUGGAGUGUCUGAGCGUCGUCAUCUCCAUAUUGUGGAGACAGGUCAAACCCUUCUAAGUCAUGCCUCUCUUCCAUCAGAAUAUUAGGCUUAUGCUUUUGCAACAGCCACAUAUCUAAUCAAUCGACUUCCAUCACCUGUUCUUCAUCAUAUAUCACCUCUUCAAGCAACAACCUCGGUAUGAAAAAUUACGUUCCUUUGGAUGUCUUUGCUUUCCCUUGAUGAAGCCGUAUAACACAAACAAAUUUCAAAAGAAAUCCGUUCCUUGUAUCUUUGUUGGCUACUCUACUAGCCAAAGUGCAUAUCUAUGUCUUCAUCUACAAAGUCAGCGCAUAUACACCUCCAAACACGUAACCUUUGAUGAAUCUGUUUACCCCUUCAAACAGGUUUCCAUGCAAUCACCCACUGACUCAUCCCCAUCAGAAACCUCUUCUUUUUCAGGACCAAUUUUGCAGCUUGCUUCCAGGGAGCUUCCAACAAUCACACGGGCUCAAGGAGAUAUCCCCUCUGCUUCUUCGACUCCAAGUGAAGAUCCAGCUCUUGUGCAACCUCAAGAGGCACCACUUUCCACUUUAGAUCAGGUAACUCUUAGACCUUCUACUUCUGUUUCUCAACCAGAAAAUUCAAUGCCAUCCUCUCCACCACCAUGUCCACGAACCAUCAUCACUCGCUCCAUGAACAAUAUCUUUCGGCCAAAACAACUCCACACCACCACCAAGCACCCCUUACCUGAACCACCCGAACCAAGUUGUGUAAGUCAAGCUCUUAAAGACCCUCACUGGUGCAAGGCUAUGUCAGAAGAAGUGACAACCCUCCUUUAACAUGGGACGUGAGAACUGGUUCCUCCCACUCCUGGCCAGAAUCUUGUUGGGUGUAAAUUUGUGUUUCGGAAGAAACGAAAUCCAGAUGGAACAAUCAGUCGAUAUAAAGCUCGACUUGUCGCUAAAGGAUUUCAUCAACGGCCAGGUAUUGACUACUCUCAAACCUUCAGCCCUGUCGUAAAGCCAGUAACAAUUAGGCUUCUUUUAACCAUUGCUGUCAUGCAUGGCUAGCCCCUUCGUCAGUUAGACAUCAAUAAUGCAUUCUUGCAUGGUAAUCUUGAAGAAACAGUCUUCAUGCAUCAACCUACAGGAUUUGAAGAUCCAUCUCAACCUCAGUAUGUUUGCAAGCUAAAAUAGAGUAUCUAUGGUCUUAAACAAGCCCCAUGACAGUGGUACAAGGCCCUUCGGGAUGCACUUCUCAGCUUUGGUUUUAUUCACUCGGCCACUGACAACUCUUUGUUUAUCUAUAAGUCUCAUGAUAUCUUGUGCUACUGCCUUGUUUAUGUUGAUGACAUAAUUGUCACAAGCAACACACUCAGCUUUGUGAAUAACAUUAUAAACAAGCUUGGCUCUACAUUCUUAGUCAAAGAUAUGGGCUCCUUGCAUUAUUUCUUGGGAAUAGAAGUGAUUCCAAUGCCACAGGGGCUCUUUCUAUCUCAACAUCAGUAUAUAUGGGAUCUCCUUUCACGAACCUCCAUGGAAAAUGCUAAAGAAACACUCACUCCAAUGUCCACUACAGCCAAGCUUACGGUUCAAGAUAAUUUUGAAUGUGUUGACAGCACUGAGUAUCGCAAGAUCAUUGGAGCACUUCAGUAUUUGGGACUCACUCGUCCCGAUAUUGCCUUUGCAGUCAACAGAUUAUCUCAGUUCAUGUAGAAGCCGACAACAAACCAUUGGGCCGCAGCAAAAAGACUACUCAGCUAUCUUAAACAGACCAUGUUUCAUGGUAUCCUUCUCCAAAAUCAUGAUCAAUUCCAACUCAAGACCUAUAGUGAUGUGAAGUGGGCAUUAAAUACGGACACUCGUGUUUCAACCACUACUUUCAUCACAUUCAUUGGUCCUAAUCCAAUCUCAUGGUCUGCACGCAAGCAAAUGGCAGUCUCAAGAUCAUCUAUAGAAGCAGAGUUUCGGGCACUAGCUACUGCCACACAGAAACAGUUUGGCUUCAUUCUCUUAUCAAGGAACUUGGUCUCACUCUCAGAGAAGCACCUCAAAUGUUUUGUGAUAAUAUUGGUGCCAACCAUUUCAGUUUAAAUCCAGUCCAGCACAGACGGAUGAAACACAUUGAAAUUGAUCUCCUCUUUGUACGAGAUCUUGUCAAAAAGGGAACUAUUCGUGUUCAGCACAUCCAUACCAUUGAUCAACUAGCUAAUCUCCUUACAAAAUCACUCUCACAUCAACGCUUUCAACUAUUAAGAUCCAAGAUUGGUGUUGCAGAUGGCACCUCCAUCUUGAGGGGGCAUAUAAGGACAGCUAGUAUUCAUGCAGAAAAUCAGCAUCAGAAUUCGUAACUGCAUUUGAUCAGCUAGUUUAGGAAAUCUGUACAACUCAUUCUUUCCUUUAUUUUCACAUAUGUUGUUAUACGUUAGCACAAGUUUAGGAGUAAUUUUAGUUUCUCAAAUCUGUAUUUAUACCUCUUCUUCUAAUAAGAAUUGCGUGAAUCAUUUUGUCUAAACCUCUUUAUAUUUAUGUGAGAAUGACAGGUACAAAAUUUUGUUGAGAUAUACUGCCCCAUAAUCUUCAUCCUUUCCCUAAAAUGAGAGAGGGAAAAAAAAAAAGGAAUGAUUUUUUUUGUGUGUAUCUAAGUGGGAACAAGAGAUAUAGAAUUUCGUUGAGAUGCAGUGCUGCCACAUGAUCUUUAUCCUCCAUUAAACCCAACAUAUUAAAUCCACUAACUCUCUCCCCAAAAAUGAGUAAAAAAAAAAAAAAGGAAAAAAGUAUGAGUUAAAAAACAAAAACGGAAAAUAUGAUUUUUUUAAUGUGUUUCUAAGGAGAAUGAGAGAUACAUAUUUUUGUUAAGAUGCAUUGCCACGUGUUCUUCAUCCUCUCCAUUAAGCCUAAUAUAUUAAACCUAAUAGCUCUCUCUUUUAAGCUUUCCAAUGAAGUGCCUAUAGUAUCCAACUCAAAAUAAGACAACUUAAGCCCCAUUAGCCAACAACCCAUAUUUUGUGUACAUCUUGAUGAGAUUAUUUUGUGAGAAAAUGUCAUGAAACAAUCCCAAUUUGAUAAUCUAGGCAUGUAUUUGAGUUAAAAAUAAAUUUCUAUUCUAUAGAUCAAAGAAUAAAAUCAUGUUUGAAAAUUAUUUUUAAAAACUUAUUUAGAGCAAAAAUAGUUUUCUAACAUAAAAAUAAUUUUUUAACUGAGAAAAUAUAUUUGAAAUUAUUUGAUAGAAAAUUGGGCAUGUAUUUGACUUAAAAACAAAUUUCUAUUCUAUAGCUCCAAUAAUAAAAUCAUGUUUGAAAAUUAUUCUUAAAAACUUAUUUAGAGCAAAAAUGGUUUUCUAACAUUAAAAUAAUUUUUUAAUUUAGAAAAUAUAUUUGGAAACAGUUGAUAGAAAACUGGGCAUGUAUUUGACUUAAAAAUAAAUUAUUAUUCUAUAGAUCAAAGGAUAAAAUCAUGUUUGAAAAAUAUUCUUAAAAACUUAUUUAGAGUAAAAACAGUUUUCUAACAUAAAAAUAAAUUUUUAACUUAGAAAAUAUAUUUGAAAACAUUUGAUAGAAAACUUUUUUUUUUAAUGUCAAUAAGUUGUCUUUUUGUUAAUUUAAUUGUAAUCAAUUUUCUUAUACGCAUUUAAAAGUAUAUAUUAUCAUAUUUAGUAAUAUUUUGAUUAUUAGGCAAAUUAUCAUUUUUGAGAGGAAUUUUUGUAGCUCUCAUAAUUAUAAUUGUAUUUUAAUAACCACUUCCAAUAAAUAAAAAAAAGAAAAAAAAAGUUAGACAAUUAUCAAAAUCUGAUUUUUAGGAUUUUAAAAAAAUCUACAAGCCAAAACUAUUUAUAAUUUUGAUCAUGUGAGAACACUUCUUUUUUAAUACUUUGAGUUAUUUUGUUUUUUUUUUUUCUUAGUAUCUGAAAGUAUAAAAGAAUUUCUCAUAUAUGUGCAUGUGUGUUCUCAUGGUUGUUUAUGUCAUGUCUUAUUAAAGAAUGAAGUGAAGUUUCCUUUGAGUGGAAGGUUUUAGUCCACGCUAGUCAGUGGACACGGUAUGAAUAGUUUGGGUGGGUUGUAUCUAUGGUAAAAAAAUAAUAAAAGACAACUUUUGCAAGUCUCCAAGUUGGUUGAGAUACAUGAUGUCAUGUUGACUAGACCUUGACUUUUGCAAGUCUCCUAGUUUCCAACUUUUUUUUCUUUUUUUUUUUUAAUAUUAAGGUGUGGGGCCAUGAACUCCUUUCUUUCCUUUUUAAAUAACAAAAAGGAAGAUAAUUUUAUUGUGAGAAGGCUAUUGCUACCAAUUGUGUUCACGUCGAGAAUUUUUUAAUUUACGGAGGCCAUAUAUAUAUAUAUUUAUGUCUAAUUUAGGAGGGUAAUUUGGGUUUGUCUAAUCUAUUCCAUUUAAUCAUACUAUACAAUCAUUUUUUUUUAUUUGGAUUAUUCUUGUAUUAAAUUUCUUCAACCCAAAUUUUGUUGAAAAGUUACAAUGUAUUAUUGAAAAUAUGACUUGGUAGUUGAUUAUGGAUAUGUGUCAUUUUUAGUAUAAAAAAAAAAUAAAUCUAUAACAUUUUAUAUUGAUAAUAUAUUAUUCUUGUAACAGGUUUGAAUAAUAAGCAAGUCAUUGUCAAAGAAGUUAUUGAAAGUGUAAGUGUACAUUUAUUUAUUGCAUGCUCUUAUAUUGUAUCAAUUGUAAGGAAGAUAAAAUUACCUUGUAAAGGUAAUUAAAUCUUUCUAUAUUUUAAAAACUUUUUUCCUAUAUACUAUGCUUUUGAAGCUUGUUUAAUUAAACAUAUUAGUUAUUUGACAAACUUUUCACAAAUGUUUUGUAUACUUAUGUGUUCUAUUUUGUUCCAUAGUUUUAUUGCAUAAUACUAAUGUAUAUUUUUUCACAAACUUUUUACAACUAUUUUGUGUACUAAUGCAUAUUAAGUUUUGUUCUUGCCUAUAUAAGCUACAUUUAGUUAUUUAAAUAUAUCUAAUAUUAUGUUGAAGAAAGAUGUACUUACUUAACUUUUUUUAUUCUAAAUAUUAACAAGUUUUUCAGUUCUCUUGUCUCGAGAUUGAAUGUCAAAAGAUAGAAGGUCAGUUGAGUAUGAUGAAAGAGUUGAAAACUUUAUCAAUUUUGCAUUAGCACAUUCAAUCAACCAUUCCCCUAUAAAAUGCCCAUGCUUACGUUGUGCAAAUCUGUUAUGUCAAACUCUUCAAGUCAUUACAGAACAUUUGUUCUUUAAUGGAAUCGAUCUUAGUUAUCGAGUAUGGUAUUGGCAUGGAGAAAAUGGACCCAGUGGAGGAUUUUCAAAUGUCUCACAACAACAUUAUGACAAAUGCAAGUAUAAUGAUGUUGUUGACACAAUAGAUAUGGUUAAUGCUGCACAAGUUAAUUGUAUGAAUGAUCCCUAAGUGUUUGGAAGGUUACUUGAAGACGCAGAAAAACCUUUAUAUCUUGGAUGCAUGAAAUACACAAAGUUGUCAGCAUUGGUAAAACUUUACGACUUGAAAGCAUGUUAUGGUUGGUUUGACAAAGGAUUCUCAAAAUUGCUUCAGUUGCUUGGAGAUAUGUUGCCAUUGAAUAAUGAGAUGUCAUUGUCCAUGUAAGAAGCUAAAAAUACUUUUAGUGCACUUGGGAUGAAUAUAACAAAAUUCAUGCAUGUUCUAAUGAUUGUAUUUGGUAUAGAAACCAGUAUAAGGAUGCUAUUGCAUGCCUAACUUGUGGAAAGUCAAGGUGGAAGAUAAACAAUGAGGGGAAAAAGAUUAAGAAGGGGCUUCCUUCAAAGGUUUUAUGGUAUUUCCCACCAAUCCCUAGAUUCAAAAGGAUGUUCCAAUCCUCAAAAACCGCUAAACAUCUUAUGUGGCAUGCCAAGGAUAAAGAAUAUGACGGUAAACUAUGCCACCCAUCAGACUCCUUAGCGUGGAAACUAGUUGACCAUAUGUGGCUUGAUUUUGCUUCUGAACCGAGGACCUUAGACUAGCACUCUCAACAGAUGGUACAAAUCUUCAUAAGUCUAUAAGCAAUAGACAUAGUUGUUGGCCUGUUAUACUGAUCAUAUACAACCUUCCUCCUUGGUUGUGCAUGAAAAAGAAGUUUAUGAUGCUAUCAUUAUUGAUCUCAGGACCACGACAACCUGGUAAAAAUAUAGAUGUUUACUUGAGUCCAUUGGUAGAUGACCUUAAAACUUUGUGGGAAAAAAAAGUUAAGACUUAUGAUGCACACUUGCUUGAGGUUUUUACUUUAAAGGUCAUCAUUUUAUGGACAAUCAGUUAUUUCCCUACAUAUGAAAACUUGGCCAAUUGCACCGUGAAAGGAUAUUAUGCAUGUCCAAUAUGUGGAGAAGGAACAUAUUCCCAAAGAUUAAAGUAUGGUAGGAAGAACUUGUAUAUGGGUCACCGACGAUUUCUUCCACGUAACCAUCCCUAUUGGAGACAAAAGAAGGCACUCAAUGGUGAACAAGAUUUUAGAAUUCCUCCUAAAAUUUUGAGUGGAGAAGAAAUACUUGAAAAAGUUGAUCUCAUUCCUAUUUCUUGGGGAAAAAUGAAGAUAAAAUCUCUUGAACUGAUGUGAACACAAAUUGUUGGAAAAAAAAGUCCAUAUUUUUUUAGUUAGAAUAUUGGAAAUAUCUUCAUAUCUUUCACAACUUGGAUGUUAUGCACAUCGAAAAGAAUGUCUGUGAGAGUAUUAUUGGUCCUUUGUUUAACAUCCUAGGAAAAAAAAAAUGGACUUAAUGCUCAACUUGACCUAGUUGAAAUGGGUUUAAAGUCUGAACUUUUCCCAAGAGUUGACUUGAAGCGGACCUAUCUUCCCCCUGCAUGUUAUUCACUAUCCAAACAUAUAUGACAAAAAAUUAGUUUGUCAAACAUUGUCUAAUUUGAAGGUCCCUGAGGGGUAUUGCUCAAAUUUGAGAAAUCUUGUCUCCUUAGAGGAAUUGAAGUUAUUUGGUUUAAGAUCCCAUGACUACCAUGCACUUAUGCAACAACUAUUGCUAGUGGCAUUACGUUUUGUUUUGCUAAAGCAUGUGAGAUAUACUAUAUCAAGAUUGUGUAUCUUCUUCAAUCAAUUAUGUACAAAAAUGGUUGAUGUGCCAAAAUUGGAUGAAGUACACAAUGAGUUAGUGGUCACGCUGUGCUUACUUGAAAAGUAUUUUUCACCUUCAUUUUUUGAUAUUAUGCUUCAUCUAGUAGUGCAUUUGAUAAGGGAGGUGUGACUAUGUGGUUCAGCUUACUUUAGGUCGAUCUACCCAUUUGGGAGGUAUAUGAAAGUUCUUAAAGAAUUGUUCGCAAUCAUAAUUGGCCUGAAGGAUGCAUUACUAAGUGCUAUUUAGUAGAAAAAGCUAUCGAAUUUUGUACUGAAUAUUUAUUAGGGACUUAUGCAAUUGGAAUUCCAAAAGCAACAAUUAUGACAACAAAUUUCGUAGACCUAUUGAUUACUACUCAAAAAGUGCUAUUUGAUAGCUUGUAAUUAAUCCUUUUAAACACUUUUGAGUAGUAGUUAUUGCCUUUUAACCCAAUUAACAUGUUAAGGACCCUUGCAAUCAUUUCUUAUCAAAUUGUGUAAGUUUUGGUGUUUUUGUUAGUAAUUUGAUCACCAAAACAAUCCAAGAUUGAGGAGAGUUAUUUGGAAUCCAUGGCAAAGCAAUGAAGAGCUCAAAUUCAUGAAGAACCAAGCUUUGGAGCUCCAUAGCCCUUUGCCAAAGUCGUUCAAAGUAUGCAAGGAAAGAGCACUGGAGAGAGGAAAAACAGAGUGAAGAAAACAGAGGAAAGCUAGAUGUAGUCUUCUUUCACACUUUUGGAGCAAUUUCCGAAGUCCAUUUUCUACAUUCGAUAUACCAUUUCAAAGCUCAGGAAGUCAAGAAUCCAAUGCUUCAAACGGUGCAUGAUUCGGAGUUGAAACGAAGGAGUUACAGCCAUUGCAAGCAGAUCACUCCAAAGUGUUGCGAAAUCAGCCUUUUGUUGCGAGAAUUUCGCAGCCUUUUUGUACAGUGCUAUGGAAUUCCUCCUAAAGUUGCCCGAUAUAUGCCGCAAGCUGGAAGCUGAGAACAUCAAGGUGGAAGCCAACUUCGCAGCCCUACGAGAAUAACUUGUUGAUGCGAAAAUAUUUCGCAGCCCUCUUGAGUGUCUGCGAAAUCUCGCAGACACCAUUUUCACCUGCGAAAUGUUCCUGGAGCUUCCCGAUAUUUUUGCACCGACUCUUUUGGAUAUUUUUCUUCAGAUAUUUUUGUAUAAAUUUCCAUUCUUCUCCUUGUAAGCCACGAACCAUAAGAUUUCUUAGUUAGGAAGGUUGGAAAAACAUCUCUAUAUAUAUUCCUUUGCAUCCACUGUAAUCAUAUAUCAUAUAUAGAAUAUACAGAGCCUUGCUCUGUUUUUCCUUCUCUUUCAUUUUUCAUUUAUUUUUAUUUCUAGCCAACCAAACUUUGAGGAUUUUUCCACAGAGGAUGAGAGGCUAAGCUUUUUGUCUCUUGGAGUGAGGAAAGCCGGGUAAGUUUCCACAUGCAUAAUUUGGAAGUUUUGUUGUUUUAGUUUUUAAUGAAGAGAAAGUGUGACCCGUUAGUGAUUUCUAUGUUUUUAGUUAACUUAAAACGCCUUUAAAUCACCUGGGCCAACACUUGGUAAGGCAAGUGAUUUCCAACCAUGGAAAUGCACUAGUUUACCCCUUGCGAGCCUUUGGGAGGUGACUUGAAGGUAGGAUUUUCUAGAAUAGCCAACACUUGGUAAGCUUUUGGACUCCAAGGAGACAUCCAUUAGUUAUCUCUUGCGAGCUUUUGACGGGUAAUCCAAGGUUAAAGAUCACCUUGAAUGGCAAGUGCUAGGUGAGAGGUAUGAGUCAUUGUAAGAUGCAUCAGUGAGAGGGAUUUAGUGAUUGAACCCAUUAAUGGGAAGCAUCUGUACAACACCGGUUAGAGAAUUAACUAUAUGUUAAUUCUCUAAUGCGAGGAAAAUAAACAAGUGACCGGAACUCUCCAUUUUGUAUGAGGAACAAGCCUAGUGAUCUGAACUCCAAGAAACACUUUUCUUUGUAGUUAAAACCAGUUACUAUUUUUUGUUAGCUUAAAACCAAACCUUUUUCAUUUAAACAUCUUUAUGUUUCUUUUAAAGCUAACCUUGAAAUGAAAAGGCACCAAUUCAGCUUUGAAUUGAUAUCAUUUGUGAAGUGAAAACCCAUCCCAGUGAACGAUCCUAGAGCCACUAUGCUAUAGUAGCUUUGUCUUUGCUACCCUAGUUCAUGGUGUAAUAGGUUAUAAAUUUUGUUGAUUACUCCCUCAAUCAAGGAGCACCAGCUGGACACGAAUCAGCUGAGACACCAAGUGGGCNNNNNNNGUUCAUGGUGUAUUAGGUUAUAAAUUUAGUUGUUUACUCCCUCAAUCAAGGAGCACCAGCUUGACACGAAUCAGCUGAGACACCAAGUGGGCACGAAUCAAAUGGCGCCAUUUGCUUCGUCCGUAGCAGUGGCAGUGGCAAUGGCACCAUUUGAUUCGAGGUUCAAUCCCAGGCAACGGCGCCAUUUGAUUCGUCCCUAGCAGUGGCAGUGGCAAUGGCACCAUUUGAUUCGAGGUUCAAUCCCCGGCAGCGGCGCCAUUUGAUUCGUGUCCACUUGGUGUCUCAGCUGAUUCGUGUCCAGCUGGUGCUCCUUGAUUGAGGGAGUAAUCAACAAAAUUUAUAACCUAUUACACCAUGAACUAGGGUAGCAAAGACAAAGCUACUAUAGCAUAGUGGCUCUAGGAUCGUUCACUGGGAUGGGUUUUCACUUCACAAAUGAUAUCAAUUCAAAGCUGAAUUGGUGCCUUUUCAUUUCAAGGUUAGCUUUAAAAGAAAACAUAAAGAUGUUUAAAUGAAAAAGGUUUGGUUUUAAGCUAACAAAAAAUAGUAACUAAUUUUAACUACAAAGAAAAGUGUUUCUUGGAGUUCAGAUCACUAGGCUCGUUCCUCAUACAAAAUGGAGAGUUCCGGUCACUUGUUUAUUUUCCUCGCAUUAGAGAAUUAACAUAUAGUUAAUUCUCUAACCGGUGUUGUACAGAUGCUUCCCAUUAAUGGGUUCAAUCACUAAAUCCCUCUCACUGAUGCAUCUUACAAUGACUCAUACCUCUCACCUAGCACUUGCCAUUCAAGGUGAUCUUUAACCUUGGAUUACCCGUCAAAAGCUUGCAAGAGAUAACUAAUGGAUGUCUCCUUGGAGUCCAAAAGCUUACCAAGUGUUGGCUAUUCUAGAAAAUCCUACCUUCAAGUCACCUCCCAAAGGCUCGCAAGGGGUAAACUAGUGCAUUUCCAUGGUUGGAAAUCACUUGCCUUACCAAGUGUUGGCCCAGGUGAUUUAAAGGCGUUUUAAGUUAACUAAAAACAUAGAAAUCACUAACGGGUCACACUUUCUCUUCAUUAAAAACUAAAACAACAAAACUUCCAAAUUAUGCAUGUGGAAACUUACCCGGCUUUCCUCACUCCAAGAGACAAAAAGCUUAGCCUCUCAUCCUCUGUGGAAAAAUCCUCAAAGUUUGGUUGGCUAGAAAUAAAAAUAAAUGAAAAAUGAAAGAGAAGGAAAAACAGAGCAAGGCUCUGUAUAUUCUAUAUAUGAUAUAUGAUUACAGUGGAUGCAAAGGAAUAUAUAUAGAGAUGUUUUUCCAACCUUCCUAACUAAGAAAUCUUAUGGUUCGUGGCUUACAAGGAGAAGAAUGGAAAUUUAUACAAAAAUAUCUGAAGAAAAAUAUCCAAAAGAGUCGGUGCAAAAAUAUCGGGAAGCUCCAGGAACAUUUCGCAGGUGAAAAUGGUGUCUGCGAGAUUUCGCAGACACUCAAGAGGGCUGCGAAAUAUUUUUGCAUCAACAAGUUAUUCUCGUAGGGCUGCGAAGUUGGCUUCCACCUUGAUGUUCUCAGCUUCCAGCUUGUGGCAUAUAUCGGGCAACUUCAGGAGGAAUUCCAUAGCACUGUACAAAAAGGCUGCGAAAUUCUCGCAACAAAAGGCUGAUUUCGCAACACUUUGGAGUGAUCUGCUUGCAAUGGCUGUAACUCCUUCGUUUCAACUCCGAAUCAUGCACCGUUUGAAGCAUUGGAUUCUUGACUUCCUGAGCUUUGAAAUGGUAUAUCGAAUGUAGAAAAUGGACUUCGGGAAGUGCUCCAAAAGUGUGAAAGAAGACUGCAGCUAGCUUUCCUCUGUUUUCUUCACUCUGUUUUUCCUCUCUCCAGUGCUCUUUCCUUGCAUACUUUGAACGACUUUGGCAAAGGGCUAUGGAGCUCCAAAGCUUGGUUCUUCAUGAAUUUGAGCUCUUCAUUGCUUUGCCAUGGAUUCCAAAUAACUCUCCUCAAUCUUGGAUUGUUUUGGUGAUCAAAUUACUAACAAAAACACCAAAACUUACACAAUUUGAUAAGAAAUGAUUGCAAGGGUCCUUAACAUGUUAAUUGGGUUAAAAGGCAAUAACUACUACUCAAAAGUGUUUAAAAGGAUUAAUUACAAGCUAUCAAAUAGCACUUUUUGAGUAGUAAUCACUCCCCCCAACCGACAUAUUGCUAGUCCCUUAGCAAUGAAGGAGAGAAAAAUAAAAAUAAACAAUACUAUAAUUUACAACAUCAUGCUGAUCAAAAAACAAUUUUCAAGUGGCAUGAUGAUCUAACUCUCACAUGGAACAUUAAAGAAAUAAAACUCAAACUUCAACAAGAGUUAUCAAAUAACUUGUCUAAUCACAAUUCUUAAAGAGAAGGCAUUAUGCAAAUUUAAGCUUUAAAAUCAUUUCCACUUCCAAAGGAUCAAACCUUACUCUUCCACAAAAAUCUAAGUGUUAUUUAUUAGCUUCCGAAUAUAGUAUGUUGAACUAAUCUCUCCCCCUCAACCUAGUUCUUUUUCAAAGCUUAGCAAACUAAUCAACCUCCAAUAGGCUAAGAACGCACCUCUUUUUUCAUAAUUUUUUUCAUUGUAGGAGUACAAGGCUUAAAGGUAUUCUUUUCUAAAUUGUCCAUGUAACGGGGGUCCAUCGAUGACUCCCAACCAAUUAAGGUUUAGGGCAUCAAGCUUUAAGGAUCUUUCAACCACUAACUCCUCGGAUUUUACCCCGGACUUUUGAGAAUGAAUUUUUAAUACCCAAGCACCUACAGUAUGUUAAACUCCACCUAUUCACCCUUGUAACGAGCAUUGAGGUCGGUGACUCCCAACCAAUGAAGGCUUAGGGCACCAGGUUUUAAAGAUUUUCACCAUAUACCCCUCAGACCUUGCUCGGGUUUCAAGGCAAGCAAACAUUUUUUUUUUUUUUUUUUCAAAGACUCAUUGGCCUUUUAUAAGGUGUCCCAACACUAUUAAAUGAGGUCAAAGGUACCAAGUCUAAAAUUUUCCUAAGUCAAGAGGGAAAUAGUUUUUCAUCUUAUACUCGGAACCUAUUGUGCACAGUGUGUGGAUAGCUUAAAGUGGAAGAACUAAGGUUGACUUCAAUAGAAGUUUCAACAAUUCAUCAACUUUAAUAAGCAUAAUACAAAAUCUAAGUCAAGUAAAAAGACAAAAAUUCAAUUUCUCCAAUUUUAGUUUGAAAAUUUUUCCUUAAUAACCAUGGAGAGUAGAAUAAAAACUUUAAAAUUUUUUUAAAUUAAGCAAAAAACAACUAAAUUACCAAAAUAACUUAGCAUUAUUAACAAUACUUACUUCCUCAACUCUCCCCCCAACCAAGCUGAACAUUGUCCUCAAUGUGACAAAAGCGAUUGAAAAAUAGGGAGGAAGUGGUACCUCUUGAGUGACAUGGAGUCUGAGUUGUAUAGGAGAAACCACAUGUUUCAAAGAAAACAUAAGAGUUAGUGAGUAGAAGAAAUAGAAAAAUGCCAAGUUUAAACAAAAAUGAUGUCUAUGUAUGAUGUAUCAUCAGUAACACAUCCAAUUCCAAAAUAUAAGACAUCAAAACAUGGAAUUAUCUAUACUAAUAUAAUAUGUAAAGACAAAAAUAAAGAGAUGAUCAAGCAAUGGUAAGGUCCUGUGGAGCUGAUGCAUCUAUGGUGGCCUCUUGAGUGGGUUGGAUAAGGACUUUGACCUCUGUUCUGGUAGUCUCCUUAGGUGGCAUAGUCUCCUCAACUGGAGCUCUCAGUUGGUAGCUAUGGGAUUUGAUGGUUUAAGGAGGUAAGAAAUGGAGUGAGAGGCUUGGUGUGUGUGAUCCCAGGGUAUGCAGGGCUCUCCUUUUCAGAUGCAUGUUUGCAGGGCUCUAUUGGCAUUUUAGUAACUUCCCUUGGCUUUGCAAAGUGUUUUUGCAAAUCACCCUCCAUUUCACAAGUCAAUUUUGCAAUUUAAAGUCCAUUUUGAAGCUUGGAGGUGAUUUCACAGCCCUUUCGAAGCUUGGAGAUCAUUUCGCAGAAAAGUGGCAUGUUCACUGACCAUUUUUGAAGCUUGGAGCAUUUUCGCAGCCAUUCUGAAGCUUGGAGAUCAUUUUGCAGAAAAGUGGCAUUUUCGCAGACCAUUUUUGAAGCUUGGAGCAUUUUCGCAGCCAUUUCGAAGUUUGGAGAUCAUUUCACAGGCAAUGGGCAAUUCCGCAGCCCAUUUCUGAAGCUUGGAGCAUUUUCGCAGCGGGGGGUGGAUUUCACAGAGGAGGGGAAUUCUCGCAGCCCAUUUCGUAGCUUAAAAGUAAUUUCAUAGCUCAAAGGUGAUUUCGCAGCCAUAUCGCAGCUUCAAAAUGAGGGGAACUGUGCUGCAAAUGGCACUCGUGUGCCAAAAAGUGGUUUCGUAGCUGCGAAACACCCUUCCAAAUGGCGUCUCGGCUGCGAAAUUCCCGUUCAGCUUUGCGCGCUUGUCUUCAAAUGACCAUAACUUCUUUAUUUCAAAUCCAAAUCGAGUACCGUUUGAAGCUAUGGACUCCUGACUUCCCAAGAUUUGAAACGAGAUAUCAUAUGCAUAAUUUGAGCUCCAGGAAGUGCUUCAAAAAUGUGUCCAACAGUAGCAAAAUUGAGGUGCGACAUUUCCGCUCAUGGUUUGCACAGUCAUCUUCAAACAGCCAUAACUUUUCUGUUUCAAAUCCAAAUCGAGCACCAUUUGAAGAUAUGGACUCCUGACUUCCCAAGCUUUCCAACGAGAUAUUGCAUGCAUAAUUUGAACUUCGGGAAGUGAUCGAGAUGUGCCCAACAAUUGCCAAAAUGAGGGUGCGGCUGUGAAAUUGGGAUUUUUCAAUUUUGGGUUUCGCAGCCAUUUUCGCAGCUGCGAAAUGGCACUCGUGUGCCAAAACCAGCUUCGCAAUUGCGAAAUACCCUGCGGAAUGGGGCUUUGGCUGCCAAAAAAAAUGAAUUUUUUUUUUUUUUUUUUUUUUGGUUUCGCAGCCAUUUUCGCAGCUGCGAAAUGAGGGUUACUGUGCUGCGAAAUGGCACUCGUGUGCCAAAAGUUGGCUUCGCAGCUGCCAAACACCCUUCCAAAUGGAGCUUUCCCUACGAAAUGGAGGAUUUCAUGCUUUGGUGGUUCGCAGCCGCUUUCGCAGCUGCGAAAUGGGGGCUCCUGUGCUGCGAAGUGGCACUCAUAUGCCAAAAUUGGUUUUGCAGCUGCCAAAAUUUUCGCAAAGAGGGCUAUUGGGUUGCGAACUGGUUUCGCAGCAAAAUUUCGAUUUCGUAGAGGCUGCGAUAUCUCGCAGACCCCUGUUUUUCCCCUAUUUCUCCCCUGUUUUCGCUCCGUUUGACUCCGAUUUUGCUCCGAUUUUUUUCCUUCAAUUUCUUUGCAAUUCCUCUUGAUUUUGAUCAUCCAAAAACCUAUAUUACAUCAAAACAAACUAGAAUUAAAACAUUUAAAUCAAAAUUAAAGCAUUGAAAUCAAAAUUAAAACAAGUAAAAAAAAAACAAAACAAAAAGAUAUGGACUAGCUAGUCUUUAAAAAGACUAAGUCCAUCAAAAAAUUUGCUCCUGAUUUAGCUUGCCCGGAUCCCAUAUGAAGCUUGCAUCUCUCACUUGGGGCUUUCUCUGUAUGAUUUUCUCAUACAAAGCUUGGAGAAAAGUUAGAGGCACGUGUUUCAUCAUCAAUUCUUCCUUGAUGACUAUCCUCUGUGGUUCUUCAUCUAUAUAGUCAUCUUUCUCUGUACUUUUCCCCUUUUUCUUUCCUUUGAUUUCCUCCCUCUUUUCUUUCUCUGUUUCACUAUCUACCUUAUGCUCUAGCUUGCAUGUGGGCAGAUCAACCUCUUUACCACUCCUCAGAGUGAUCACUUCUUCAAUUUCCUUCACCAUUGAAGAUUCUCCCUCUUUAGUCUCCAUUUCAUGGAUACUCAUGGAAUUUUGAUAAGGUUGAGAAGGAGAGUUUUCUUUCUCUUGCAUUGUUUUGAGGUUGGCAAACCUUGAGAUUGAAUCUUGGAGAAUAUCUAACUUCUGAGCCAUAUCAUUUUGCAUUACAUCCAUCCUUUAUUCAAAGUACUCUCCAUUCUGUCAAUUCUUUGAUUGAUUUGAGCAUUGAUGGCUUCUUGCUUUCCAAUAAAAUCUCCCACGACCUUGCAAAGAUUCACCAUAGCUUGUUCAAGGAUUGAGGCUUGCUGUGGUGCUUGAGCAGGUUGCUGAUACUGAGGUGGCUGUGGUUUCCAAGAGAAAUUUGGAUGGUCCCUCCAAUUGGAAUUGUGGGUGUUGCAAUCACCAAACAUUUCCCUCUCGGAUGGAAUGGUAGGACACUCAUCCACCAAGUGCUCAUAUGAUCGACAAAUGGCACAAGGCAUAGCUUGCAAUGGUGUUUAAAAGAUGGUUUGCACUUCUUGCAUCUGGUUCAUUUCUAGCUCAUCCAAUCUCCUUUCCAUAGCUGCAAUCUCUGCCUUCAUGUCCAUGCCGUCAUUCAAAAUAUACAUCUCACCCUUAGCUUUAGGUUGAGACGUCAUUCUUCCCAUAUCUCUAGCAUUUGGUUCAUCCCAUCCUCUUGAAAAUUCAGCCACAUAACUCAUGAAGUUCAUGGCUUCCUCUGCUAUGUGGUUCAAUAUGGCAUGCACAACUAGCAAUUUGUGAUUUAAAAACAGAGAACACAAAAGAAAACAAAAGAAAAACAAUUCAAAGAAAGAAAAUUAAGGUAAACUAAAGACUAAAUAAAAGGUAUACUAAAAUAUGAACAACAAAGAAAUAAAAAGGGUUAGUGAAAGGAAAAGAAAAGUCACCAAACUUGUGAUGAAGAUCACAAGUACUCUAGAAAGGUGCAUUGUAAAGUGGCACCAUCCCCGGCAACAGCGCCAUUUGAUUCGUGCCCACUUGGUGUCUCAGCUGAUUCGUGUCCAGCUGGUGCUCCUUGAUUGAGGGAGUAAUCAACAAAAUUUAUAACCUAUUACACCAUGAACUAGGGUAGCAAAGACAAAGCUACUAUAGCAUAGUGGCUCUAGGAUCGUUCACUGGGAUGGGUUUUCACUUCACAAAUGAUAUCAAUUCAAAGCUGAAUUGGUGCCUUUUCAUUUCAAGGUUAGCUUUAAAAGAAAACAUAAAGAUGUUUAAAUGAAAAAGGUUUGGUUUUAAGCUAACAAAAAAUAGUAACUAAUUUUAACUACAAAGAAAAGUGUUUCUUGGAGUUCAGAUCACUAGGCUCGUUCCUCAUACAAAAUGGAGAGUUCCGGUCACUUGUUUAUUUUCCUCGCAUUAGAGAAUUAACAUAUAGUUAAUUCUCUAACCGGUGUUGUACAGAUGCUUCCCAUUAAUGGGUUCAAUCACUAAAUCCCUCUCACUGAUGCAUCUUACAAUGACUCAUACCUCUCACCUAGCACUUGCCAUUCAAGGUGAUCUUUAACCUUGGAUUACCCGUCAAAAGCUUGCAAGAGAUAACUAAUGGAUGUCUCCUUGGAGUCCAAAAGCUUACCAAGUGUUGGCUAUUCUAGAAAAUCCUACCUUCAAGUCACCUCCCAAAGGCUCGCAAGGGGUAAACUAGUGCAUUUCCAUGGUUGGAAAUCACUUGCCUUACCAAGUGUUGGCCCAGGUGAUUUAAAGGCGUUUUAAGUUAACUAAAAACAUAGAAAUCACUAACGGGUCACACUUUCUCUUCAUUAAAAACUAAAACAACAAAACUUCCAAAUUAUGCAUGUGGAAACUUACCCGGCUUUCCUCACUCCAAGAGACAAAAAGCUUAGCCUCUCAUCCUCUGUGGAAAAAUCCUCAAAGUUUGGUUGGCUAGAAAUAAAAAUAAAUGAAAAAUGAAAGAGAAGGAAAAACAGAGCAAGACUCUGUAUAUUCUAUAUAUGAUAUAUGAUUACAGUGGAUGCAAAGGAAUUUAUAUAGAGAUGUUUUUCCAACCUUCCUAACUAAGAAAUCUUAUGGUUCGUGGCUUACAAGGAGAAGAAUGGAAAUUUAUACAAAAAUAUCUGAAGAAAAAUAUCCAAAAGAGUCGGUGCAAAAAUAUCGGGAAGCUCCAGGAACAUUUCGCAGGUGAAAAUGGUGUCUGCGAGAUUUCGCAGACACUCAAGAGGGCUGCGAAAUAUUUUCGCAUCAACAAGUUAUUCUCGUAGGGCUGUGAAGUUGGCUUCCACCUUGAUGUUCUCAGCUUCCAGCUUGCGGCAUAUAUCGGGCAACUUCAGGAGGAAUUCCAUAGCACUGUACAAAAAGGCUGUGAAAUUCUCGCAACAAAAGGCUGAUUUCGCAACACUUUGGAGUGAUCUGCUUGCAAUGGCUGUAACUCCUUCGUUUCAACUCCGAAUCACGCACCGUUUGAAGCAUUGGAUUCUUGACUUCCUGAUCUUUGAAAUGGUAUAUAGAAUGUAGAAAAUGGACUUCGGUAAGUUCUCCAAAAGUGUGAAAGAAGACUGCAGCUAGCUUUCCUCUGUUUUCUUCACUCUGUUUUUCCUCUCUCCAGUGCUCUUUCCUUGCAUACUUUGAACGACUUUGGCAAAGGGCUAUGGAGCUCCAAAGCUUGGUUCUUCAUGAAUUUGAGCUCUUCAUUGCUUUGCCAUGGAUUCCAAAUAACUCUCCUCAAUCUUGGAUUGUUUUGGUGAUCAAAUUACUAACAAAAACACCAAAACUUACACAAUUUGAUUAGAAAUGAUUGCAAGGGUCCUUAACAAGUUAAUUGGGUUAAAAGGCAAUAACUACUACUCAAAAGUGUUUAAAAGGAUUAAUUACAAGCUAUCAAAUAGCACUUUUUGAGUAGUAAUCACCUAUAAUUAGUGGUCGUUCUACCAUCAUUGUUCAUAAAUCGUGGUUACAAGCACAUCAUUAUCUAUUAGAGAAUACAACUAUCGUCCAACCAUACACUGAGUAAGAAAAACAUACCUUUAUCUUUUUAUAAUUUCAUAACAUAAUGAUGAAAUCCUAAGUUUGCAUUCCUUGUCUUUAACGUCAUAGGGAACACAUGAAUUGGUUGAGGUCUCAAUACCCUCGACAAUCUAAUAGACAAAUUUGGUUGCAAGAAGAACAUAUGAGUUGUUUUACAUAUUGGCUUAAAGAAACGGUAAUCUCUUAGUUUUUAGAAAAAUUUUCAAUAUGUUGAAAACAUCACAAGUUUUCAAUAUGUUUUGAUUAUACAUAGGUUGAAGAGGCUAUCCAUAAUGGGCAAGAUAUUCCCGACACACUUAGGUGGUUAGCACAUGGCCCUACUCUCCAGGUAGUCAAAUAUCCUAGAUAUAUCGUUAAUGAGUGUCGUUACCAUAUUAAGAAACGCGAUAUGACAUGCAUCACCCAAAAUAGUGGUGUUAGCAUUUUAGCAAGGACUAUGCAAAUUGCCAAUUCUAAGGAUAAGAACCUAGUUUGUGGUGAACUUUGCUUUUAUGGGGUCAUUAAUGAGAUAUGAAAUCUUGAUUACAACAUGUUCACAAUUCUAAUUUUCAAGUGUGAUUAGGUUGACAACAAGAAUGGUAUAAAAGUUGAUGAACUUAGGUUCACAUUAGUUGACUUCUCCAAAAUAGGUCACAAAUUGGAUCCAUUUAUUUUAGCAUCACAAGCCAAGCAAAUCUUCUAUGUUGAAGAUCAACUUGAUCCUAAAUGGUCAAUAGUUCUCUCAAUUCCUCCAAAAGAUUUCAAGAACAUAGAAGGACUAGAUGACUUCACCAAUAAUUGCAUGGAACAUCACCCCUUUAUAAGUUCAAUGCCAGAAUUUGAAUCAUUUGAUGCUAUGGAUGAAUCAUAGGCAAUACACAUGAGAGAAAACUGUGAGGGCAUAUGGAUUGAAAAUAAUUAAAUAACAUAUUGUACCCUUGAAUGAGAUAUAAUAAGGCAUUUCACUUAUUAGUUUUCAUGAGUUGCACAUUAACUUAGCUUCUAUAUAUUGCUCAUGAUAUAUCUAUAUAUAUUAAUCAUCCUAAAUUUCUUUCAUGCAUCAUAAACAUAUGUUAUUCAAAGGUACCACUUCAAUCUUCAUUCAACUAUCUUUUUGUUGUCCAUAGAACUAGAUUUAUAUUAUUUUUUAUUAUCAUGUUUUGAUUUUAUGCUCACAUAACUUGAAACUCUCAUUCCUAAAUUUCUUUUUCAUUAAAACUAUAAAUCAUAAUUGAAACUAUGCACUAAUUUAUUUUAUUAUUAUCCUCACAAAUAAAUUCUUCAUUAUUGAUAAGAAAUCAAAAAACAAGACAAACUUUGAAAGAAAAUUUCAAAAAAUAUAUUUGUGAAUGACCAAUUUAAUUAUAGAAAAUAUAUGCAAGGCUAUACUAAUCUUGCUUUUGAGUCAUUUUACAGGUUUGUUGGUGAAGUACUAGUUUGCACAUUUACUUGAUAUCUUCCACACAAAUAUGGAUCUAGAAGAAGGGGAAAUGCCAAAAAUAAAGCAUAGAGGUAGUGCAUUGAAACCAAAGAUUGCAAAAAAUCGAAGUAAAGGGAUAAAGCUCAAGAUUGAAUACAAUAGCCUUGGUAGUCACAUUGAGGAAAAUUCAGUUAAACUAAGUAGUUAUCUUAGUACAAUAACUAGUACCCAUGUGCCAAUAAUUAUUGAGAGUUGGAGGAAAGUCCCUAAAGAGACUAAGGAGAAGUUGUGGGAUUUGAUCACGGUAAGCCUAUCUAUAGCUUUAAUAUAUAAUUAUUGUAUACAUUCAUUAACAUGAGCUAACAUGGGUUGCUAUUUUGUAGACAAGCUUUAAUGUGAAUAAAAAAUCCAAGAGGAAUUGUUUCAUACUAAUGGGCAUCAGGUUUCGAACCUUUAAGUAUAAGUUGACAAAGAAAUAUAUAUUGUCUUUCAAGAAUGACCAAAAAAGCUGAAAAAGUCACCUCCUAUUUGCCCAUUCAUACAAGAGGAUCAUUGGAGACAGUUUGUUAAAGAUAGACUUUUUGAACAUUUUAACGUUAAGCAUUAUUUUUAUUACAUCUUCAAUUUUCACAUUUACAUAGUUUCAUUAUGUACUAAUUUUGUGUCUAUAUUUUGUAGGAAUAUCGCAAAGUUCAAAAAUCAAGAAGAGAUAAACACAUUUACAAUCAUUAUCUUGGAAGAAAAUGAUAUGCACGUUUUGAGCAAGAUAUAGUAAGUUAUCAAUAUCCAUAAAAAAAAUGGAGUAUAUAUUUUGUUUAUAGGAAAAUGAUUCUAGUUUUUAAAUAUCAUUUAUUAACUUGAUCAUGUUGAACUAAUGAGUUUUAUUGUUAAAAAUUUUAUAGCUACAAGCAGAAGGGGCUAUUGGUAGGGUUGAUAGAAGUGUUUAUGAAAGAAAACACGUGAGAAGAAAGGAAAGUUUAAUAAGAUUACAAAGCUAAUGAUUAACUAAGUUAGCAUAUUUAUCUCUUUUAGAGCCUAUAAUGUUAGUAUGUCUAUGUGAUUAUGGUUUAGGAUGAUAUCGUUAGGUGUUAAUAGGGAAGAGGCUUAAUGCUAUCAUUUUUAUGAGUAGUCAUGUUCUAUUAGUGCAAAUAUAGUAGCCUAAUUUGAAAAUUAAUUUUGAAACAAUAUACAUUAAUUUAUCUAUUAUCAUUUUUAUUAAAACAAUUCAUUUUCUAGCUACCUUGAAUUGGUCCUCUUGAAUUGGUUGUCUUUGAUUGAUAUGUUAAUCAUCUUCAUCAAAUUAUUACUAAUAUAUGUUUUGUUGUAGGAUGAAUUACUAGAAAAGGCAAGGAGACUGGACUACCUCCACCUGGUCCAAAUGACAUAUUAUGUCAGGCAUUGGGUAAGCUUGAUCAUCUAGGACGUGUGGUAGGUCAAGACCACUUGGUUAGGCCGAACUCAUACUUUCAUCAACCAUUUGAUGACAUGAAAAAAAAUAAUCAAAGAAGAAAUAUGGGAAAUGGUGUGAAAGGGGAUGCAAAAUGCUGUAACAAGACAAACUAUGUCUCCUCCCACACCCCAUUCUGAUAUAGGUAGUAAUAACAUGAGACAACAACUUGUUUUACAACUAGUUGUAGCAAAAAAACCAAUGUUUAAAAUGAUGGAAGAGCCCUAACCACCAGAACCACCACUGAAACGUAAGGUAUACAUUUACUUACUAAUAAUACAAGAUUAAUAUAAGUGAUAUAUAGCCUAUGUAAAUGAUAUUAUUUGUUGUAUUAAAGGUGAUUAAAUAUAAAUUAGCAGUGGAAUGAAAAUGAAAUGUUGUUGCAACCAGUACAUUAAUAGAAGAAAAUUGAUCAAAUGGGUUGGUCGUAAUAAAUGUUGCACACAAGCUAGAUGCUAGACUCCCAUUUCCAAAUCCAUAUGAGAUUAUCAAUGUUGGGGAUUCUAUUGGCCUUAAGCUUGACUGGCCAACAAGCCUUGUCAUACUUGAAACUAAACAUCCUCGGGUAUGUCAUUUUAUACUUGUAGUAAAUUUGAUUGUAACUUGGUAUUUUAUUGUUUAGGAGUAUAUAUUACUAACAUUCCUUCAUUUUUCAUAAGUGUUGGAUAAAGGAAAGAAGUAGAUAGUGAAUGCACCAAUUAUUCGAAAAUCUAAGCCUCAAAAUUAUUCGGUCAUUAAAAAUUUUCAGAAAUUUAUGGAUGGUUGUCUUAGUAAUGAGAAGACAUACCCAAUACAACUCCCCAUUUCACUAUUUGGUGUCGAAUUCCGAACAUAUAUAUCUAGAGAGGAUUGUGAAUACAUUAUUUCAUCUUCAGAGGUGUCAUCAAAAUGCAUCUCCUUCCACUUAUGGUGUGCACCUUUUAUUUUCAUUUGUUUUUAUUUUUUUAAUAUGAGUUGCCCAUGUUGAACAAGAUUGGAUAUGACUAAUGAUAAUUUUCUUUUGGUGUUUUGAUAAUAUAAUAGGUACAUGCAUGAUCAACUACAUAUUGCCAAAAAGGAAUCACAAUUUAUAUUUGUUAAUCCUUUUACAAUAUCAUGAGCAGGCUUUAGUAAUCCUCAAACAGAGAAAAGAACACAAUUGUUGUCAAAACACUUAAUAGAGUGCCAAGAUGUCGGAUAUGUUUUCAUGCCCUACAACCCCGAGUAAGUGACGAAUAUUAUACUUUAAUUUGAGGUUUUAUGAUUGAUUUAUAUUUAUAAUUAGAUGCUACUUUUGUUUUUAAUGUUUUAGCUUUCAUUGGGUCUUGGUAGUGAUUGAGCCAAGGAAAAUGAUAGUCCACUAUCUUGACCCUAUGCAUCACAAACCAUGUGAGGACUUAAAGGAUAUCGUAAACAUGUAAGUUCUUCCUAUUAUUUUUCAUAGUAUUAUUUUAAAAAAAAUUACAUUCACCUCAAACACAUUUUUUAUUGUUAUUUCUAUAUAUUAAAACAUAUAAUAUUUACCUAUUUUAAAAUUGUACCCAUUGAACUUAUUUACAUAGGGCUCUUUAAAUAUAUGCAAAGAAAAUAUCUAAGAGAGAGCCAUCUUGGCAACUAGUGCAAGUAACAUCCAAAAAUUUUCUUUACACAUUUAGCUUAUGCAUUUGCACCAUUUAUAUAUAUGAGUACUAAUGUUAUUUUAUAACUGAUCGAUUAGUGUCCAAGACAAGAAGGAGGGUUCAAAUGUGACUACUUUGUUAUGAGAUUCAUUAAAGAGAUAAUUUUUUAUCCUACAAUGAUUGCUUCAAAGGUAUUACUUAUUUAAUGACUUGUACAUAUUUUUAGGCUUCCAAAUGUUAUGCAUUUUAAUGUUAUUUUCUUAUUUGAUUUCAGUUUGGUGAUAAAAAAAACAUAUUAUCAAGUAGAAUUCAAUGAAAUUAGAGGAGAAUUGACUACUUUUGUGCUACAACUAAUCAUGAAUCAUGUUGAUGCAUCAUGAUCACCAUGCAUGGUGAGUCCCUUAGCUACUACAUGAAUUUUUCCAUAGAUUAUAGUAUUGCUUUUCUUUGAACAAUGUUUUUAUUUGAAAAAAAGAAAAAAAAAAGUUCUUAGAUUUGUUCAUUUAUGAUAACAUCGAUCCAUAUUUAUUUUCUUCAAUNNNNNNNNNNNNNNNNNNNNNNNNNNNNNNNNNNNNNNNNNNNNNNNNNNNNNNNNNNNNNNNNNNNNNNNNNNNNNNNNNNNNNNNNNNNNNNNNNNNNGGUAUACACUCUUAGGAGGGUGGAAUAGAGAAUAAAAAGAACAAAGAAGGCAACAAGAUUUUGGGUUUUUAAAUGCAGCUCGUAUGUCAUACAUUGUAGGACAUAAACGUUACUUUAAUUGGUAGUGAGAAUUUUAGAUUUUUAGAUGCUACUUUUAUGUCAUUUUAUAGUUAGUCGGUUUUAUGCUUAUGAAAUGAAGGUAUACAUGAAUCUUGGGAUGCUUAACAUUACUAGAUCAUGUUUUGGUAUGUAUUCACUCUUCUUUUUUAGUUUUGGUGGGUUUGAUAUAUUGGAUGUACUAUCUUUUUGUGAACAUUUGAUAUACAAAUAUUAUUAGAUGAUCAAUGUAUUACGAGUUAUUCCAUAAACAUUACUGAAAAAUGAGUUAAAUGUAAUAUGAUUGUUAUAUUUAUGGACAAAAUAUACACAGGUUAAUCCUAUUUGUUAAUUCAUAAGCAUUACAAAAAUCUACAACUAAAAGCAAUCAUAUCUUCCAUGAUAAUUUACAAUGAUGUGACACCAUAACUCAAAGGUGAUGCAUUUAAUGUGACAUCAUAACUCAAAGAUCAUGCAUUUAAUGCGACAUCCUAUCAUCACUAGAAAUAUAUGAUGUCACUUUCGAAUGCGUUACCAUUUAUCUACUUUGGUGUCACUUACAAAUACGUCACCAAUUGGUACCCUCUAUGGUGUCAGUGGAGAAGGUGACACUAUGUUGUAGUGACACCCUAUGUUUAUGGUGACUCGUUAUAAAUGUCACCAUAUAUCUUUUUUCUUGUAGUGCAAAUUACUUAUCUUACUAUGCAUUGGGCUUUGAUAUUAGCCAGAGACAGUAGUGGCUCCUAAUUUUUAUCCUUAACUGAAAUGAAAACGUUAAGCAGGUCCCCAGCCUCUUUUUCGCCAUUCUUCCACUAUUCUACUAUUUGGUCCAUGAUUGGAUCAUGGUACUUGUUAAUGGUGUUCAUAGCCUCCCAUAUAGUCUUUUCAUGGCCAUCUAAAUUCAGCACUCUCUGCCAUGGGAAGUAAUCAGAUAAAGAGAAUACAUAUAGAUGAGCAAGUAUAGUAAAGAAGGAUUCAACAUGUUGCUCCACUUCAACUCUAGGGCCUCCAUCUUUCUUUCGUUCGCCAAAGUAUCUUGUGUUGAGGAUCAUCUUUCAGAUGACAUUCCCGUUGUAUUGACGGACUUUAUUUCUGUCACACCCCAAAUACUAGGCAACCCAGAACUUGACUCGUGGCCCUAGGUCAAAGGUUUGACCCUAAGAGUUACUCUUAUCCAUGUUGGCAAUCAAUCAAAACACCCUAGAUUUUUUUUCUUUUCAAUAAAGCGUUUAAUCCUAAAUAAAUUUAUUAAGCUAAGAUUUACUAUAACAUAUCAUUUUAUUUUUCCAAAACUAACCAUCACAUUAUCUCCUGUUCACAAGUAUUAAAAAAAUAAAAUUCCACCAAUCAUCUUCCUACCCAAAAGCUCAAAUAUUUACAAUAAUCUCUAAGUCAAAAAGAAUAUUUCCAAAAAUGUUUUACAAACUAAUAAAAUAUAAUUUAACUUAAAAAGGUCCAUAUAACUCAAAUUAGUAGAUGUCAAAAAGGUAAUUAAAAAAAAACAACAACCAUUAUUAUGGUUUUUUUGCUUUUUAGAACACUUCAUGAUCUUCUUAUGGUCCCUUAGAAACUAUAUCUGCAUCUAAAAAUUUUAGAAAAUAAAGGGAUGCACAUUUCCACGUUACUCUUUAGACCUAGACGAGUUAGAAAUUCUAGGUCAAUAAAACACAACCAUAUGCCAAAAUAUAAUAUUACAUUUACAUUAUACACACUAAAAGAAACCUCAACCAUACAAAUUUAAAUCAAUCAAAAUUAUCAUUUUCCUUAUUUAAUCAUAUGUUUAGCAUAUCAAUAAUUUUAAAUUUACAAAAUAAAUAAGUCACUUUAGUCUUGAAUAAUAUAUUCAAACAUACACUUGAUAAAUAAUACAAAUCAUUUUUCCAAAUGCAACCAUGAUACAAAUGCUUACACACAAUCGCGCAAUGCAAUAUCGUUCUCGGGCUUUCACCGAAGGAUAUGCAUUUAUACCCAAAUACACUCCCCAUUCGGAGUCUUCCUGGGAUAAACUUUUGAGUAUUUCACCCUAAGGAUCUCACUCCCUUCUUAACUCACCAUCUCUAGGGUCAUUCAAUUUCUUAUUUUUCUUUUCUUUUCAUUUUUGCCAUUUUUGGGGUCUUUUCAUUCUCAUUUCCAUUUCACACAACCAUUUCUUUAAUUUUUCUUUUUCUUCACACAAUCAUGAUGCAUAUGAAAUGCAAUUGAAUCAUAUUUUAACAUACAUAAUUUUCCAAGACAUAAUUUUAUUUACUCCCAUUAUGUUUCAUAAUUUCCAAUAAUCCACACAACGAUUUUUCUUCACUUUAAUCGUCACAAACAUAAAAGAAAAUUCACAAUUAAUUUGUAUAGCAUCAAAACAUAGUUUUAAACAUUGACCACAUAAAUUCUAUUUAUUCCCGACAUGCUUAAUAAUUUCCAAAUCCAAUAUAACCAUUUUUUUUCAAUUAAAUAAUCACACAUAUCCAAGAAAAUUCUCGCUAAUACAAAUAUCAACGAAAAUGUAAUUUAUGUCAUAAUUUAUUUGUCUCCAAUAAUUUCAAAAAUUUUGACACCCAUAUGACAAAUUUCCACAAUUAAGCCACCCCAACAUUUGGGAAAAAUUUUCCAAUAAUUCAAAUAUCAACAAAAACCCAAUUUAUAUCAUCAUUUUAUUUAUUUUUAAAAGCAUUAAUAAUUUUAAUAAUCAAUACAACACUUUUCCACAAUUAAGCCACCACAACAUUCUGGGAAAAUUUUCCAAUAAUUCAAAUAUUAACAAAACACAAUUAUACCUUAGUUUUUCUUAUCUCCAACAACAUCAAUAAUUCUUAGUACUCAAUACAACUAUUUUUAUUUUUUCAUAUUUAAUCUUCUCAAACAUUACCAAAAUUCCAAGAAAAAUCUAUAAAUCACGAAAUAAAAUUAUUCACAAUAAUAAUCACACUUCAAAUACUACAAAUAACAUCUAUUAUAUUUCAACAACACAAUAUAUAAAUUUUUUUGAAAGAAAAUAUUAAAUCAAAGUUUUAGGGUUAAAUCACCCUACCUUAAAUUUGAAAAUUUUAACCAUUAAAACUAAAACGGGACACCGUAGGAGUGUUCCUUGCAUUGAAUAGAAUAUCCUUCCAAAAUUUCAUGCGAAAUGGACGUCAUUUGGUAGGUCCACCAGCAUCCUAAAGCUGGCGACCCAUUUUUCCCACUCUUUGCUGAUGACUCCCCUACAUCUCUCACUCGAUUUCCUUUCUUCAUUUUCUUUUCUUCUUCUUCUUUUAAACUCCCACGCCAAUUUCACUUUAUAUAUAUAUAUAUAUAUAUAUAUAUAUUAUUAAAACAAAUCCUAAAAUACCACGCACAUCCAUUUCUCAAUAAAUUAAAACCAUUAUUCUUAAAUUCAUCUUCCGUAAUUAUGAAUUAUACCAAACUUAUGAUUUUCCAUUUCACGAAAAAUACCACCGUAUUCGUAAUUUAAUUUACUACAAGUCUACUCUUCAAAAAGUAUAAUUUGAUUAUAAUUACAUGAAACAUUGUUUUUUUACUCUAAAAUUCAUUUAAAACAUGAUAUAAUUAACUAUUAAAAAAAUUUAAUUCCAUAAAAUAUUAAAAACAUAAAAUAAUUUUUUGGCAAUCAAGAAGUUGAAAUUUGUAAUAACCUUUAACCUGUUAAUUUUACCUAUAUUUAUUUACCAACAAAAAUUUAAAUAAUAUUCUAAAAUUUAAUUCCAUAAAUUAAUUAGUCAUUCAAUUUAUAAAAAUCAAAUUCUCUACCCUUUGGUAUAACUUUUAUUUAAUUUACUUCAUUUUUCAAAUUAUUCAAUCGCAUCAAAAUUUCAAAAGUUAAAUUCACUAAAUUCACAUUUAAUUAAUUUAUCCUUUUGUAUUUUUUUUUUCUAAAUUCGCAUAUCAUAAUUUAAUCUUAAUUUAAUUUUGAUUCAAUUUUGUUUUAUGUUUUCUAAUUUUAUGAGGUUUAAUUUCAAUUAUAAAAAUUAAAUUCAAUUUCUUUUUAAUUAUCCAUUAUCACAAUUUGAUAUAAUAUAAUUUUUUAUCAAGUUUUUCUUACUACGAUUUUUCUUAUAAUUAUCCAAUGAUAAUUAAAUUAAUUCUCAUAACAUAUUUAAUAUUCAAAUUUUAAAAACUUAAUCUCAAUUAUUUGAUGGUUAAUUUUUUUCUCAAAAUCUAAAUUUAAUUUAUGAAAUUCUCACUUCUUACAUCUGACGUGGCAAAAUUUUCAAACUAUUGACUUUUGACCAACUUUUCCUAAAUUUAUCCUAAUUAAAUACUAACACAUGGAUUUUCACCACUCUUUUUGACCUUUUGACCCACAAAUUUAUGAAAGACUUUAUGCUUGGAGAAUCUACAAAAACCUGGGUAUUACAAUUUCUCAGGUUGAUAACUGUCGUGGUUACGAAGCCACCACUUGAAUCCUCAGUCGCCAUUGUAAUGGGCCUGGAUGCAAAUAGUACAUCAUGUUUCUUCAAAAGUUCUCUGCUAAUCUCUGGGAAAGUCGUAGGGACGAAAUGAAAUAUUUCCCAAUUGAAUACAUGCAAUUUUAGUGUUCAUUUCUUUCAUAAAGCCAAUGUAUCCACCAGAAAGUUGGCUUUUUGUUGAGUAAAUGAGGUAGAUAUUGCACUAGUGGCCAUGGAGCUAAUCCUGGAGGAAGUUGUAUCGGCUUGCUUUUGGUACUUGUUUUGGAAUUUAAUUUAGUGAAGAUGAGAAAGAUUGAUGUGAUGAAAAGCAAUAAGAGGAAGUUGAGAUGAGACAACACAUCGUCUGUGGUAGUAGAAGAAAACAAGGUUGAGUUACUGCUACUACUCUCUGCAACAAAACCAUUUACACGUCUUUUAUAGCAAAACCAUGUUUGUCCUAUCUUGGGUCUGGAUGCACAUUUUUAAUAUUGGGGAUCAUGCAACCAAAUGUCACACACAAAGAGAGAGAAAAAAAUACGUUUUUUAGAACUUGAAAAGGUAAAAUGGGACAAAAAAUAUUAUCCAUUCUUGAACUCUAAAAGUAAAGUUAUAAAAAGCUUAGGUGGUGUUUGUUUUUUUACUUAAUUCUAAAUAGAACCUUAAUGCUUAAUAGUGUUAAAUAUUAGGUUGUUUGUUUUUGUAGUAUUUUAUUUCUAUUAAGUAUUAAAAAGUAAAAAAACCAAUAUGUUAUUUUUUCUAUUAAGAAAAAGUUACAUAUUUUGACUUUUUCUAUUUAGUAAAAAGUUUAUAAUAAGUCAUGAAAAAGUAGAAAAACAAACAACUUAAAUUUUAAAACUAAAUUGCUUUCAGCAAAAAGCCAAAAAAACAAACACCACCUUAGUUUUUUUUUUUUUUUUUUUUUGUUAUGUAUGAUUACAUGAUUUCCCCCUUUUAAGAUUUUAUCUCAUAAAAUUUUUUUUCUAGAAGGUUCAAAUAAGUUUGAUGAAUAUUGUUUAUUUUAGUAAUUUUAAUUUUGUGGGGUACUUAAAACAUUAGAAGUUCACAAAAAGCAACAUUUAUCAGCUACCUAUCUAAAAAGCUUGGCCUAAUCAUUGAAAUCCAAAAUAUAAAGUGACAACACACUUUUUAAAGCAAUUUUCAAAAUAGUUUUCAAAAACACAUUUAUUUAUGAUAUUUUUAAAAUAAAAAUCUCAAAAAUAACUUGUUUAUAUAGCGUUUUAUUAGACAAAUACUUGAUCUUUAUAAGAUCACCCUAAUUAUAGAUUUAUGAACAUGUAACACAACAAUUAUCUAUAUAUAUACUUAGAAUUAUUAUAUUUUAAGUUUUUAACUACAUAGGACAUCGUGAGUUUUUCCACCAUUUAUCUUAUAAAAAGUUUAUUUAAAUAUGAUAAAGGAUAUAUUAUCUCAUUUCUUAUUAUAUCUGAUGCUAUAUAUAUAUAUAUAUAUGUAACAGAUCAAAUACAAUUUAAAGAUUUUAAUUAACCAUCUAUUAGCAACAAAGCAAUCUCUUAAUCUCAUUCAUAAUAUUAGGAUAAUUUAGUAUUUCCUUUUAUAAAACACUAGCAUAUAAAUCAACACAAAUCAUAUUAAGGGUGUAUUUGGUGUUGAUUUUAGGAAGCGUUUUUAGUAUUUCUAAUACUUGAAAGAUAAAAAUUUUCAAGUUUUAGAAAGAUCAAAAGCGCUUUUUAGAAUGACUAUCAAAUACAUGCUAAAUAUUACUUUUGGAUACUUAUAUUUUUAAAUAACUCUUAAAACUUUUAAGGCAAGUCUCUACUAUUUAUAUAAAUCCCCUAUUAUUUUUAAUUUUUAGAAACAAAAAAUAAAGAAUAGAAACUCCAUUUAAACAUCACCUUAUUAUUUCCUAUUAUAAAAUAACACAAAUCAAAUGAAUUAUUUAAAAAUAAAUAAAUAUAAAAUCAAAGUUGAAGAGAAAAAACUCUUGUGCAUUAAAAAAACAUCAAAAUAAAUAAAUAAAUAAAACAUCAUCAAAUAAAUGUAAAAAUAAAUUAAUGUUAUGGAAAAAUGAGAAUAGGCAACAAGAAAAUAAGAACACAGAUUUACAUGAAAAAUGCUAGACGGGAAAAACCAUGGAUAGAGGAGAAGAAAAUCCACUAUAUUAAAAAUUUGGUAUAAAAUGUGAGAGAAUCAAGCGACUAUUGUAUAGGCAUAAUCACUAUGACCCUAAAUCCUAUACAUCAUCGCAUAUGUAUGGUGUAUGCGAUAAUAUUUGUGAUAAUAAAAAUAUUGUCACAUAAAAUAACUAUGGGAUGUAAUAUUUGUAAUAAUAUUCUUUACAAAAAAAUAUUUUUUCUUUGCUUUAUUCACUUUGAUCACAACUUGAAAUAAGACAAUAAAAAUAUUUUCUUAAUUUUUGAAAAUUAAUUGAGGACUUAGAGCUACUUGUUACUGAGUGAAUUUGCUGAAUGGUGAAGAAUGCGUGUAUAGUAGUUUUGCAAUUUUUCAAACUUGUAGACAUAUUUUGUGAAGUCUUUUUCUCUUUGUAAAGCCCCAUUUUCUAUGUGAAGUUAUUUUUUCAAUAUUCUCUUUGGAAGGAAUUUACCAUUAGUUAUAUAGGUAAGAUUAAGGAAUUAAAUUUGGAAUUCUUAAGAUUUGAUUACUUAAUUCAAAGAAUUUGGUUCAAGGGAAAUUUGCCAACAAAAUAAUAUUUAAUUUUAAUUCUAUGAUGACUUUAAUUAUUUGAUAUAAUUUUAUUUUGAAAGACUUGAUGUGGGGGACUCAUCACUUAUUGAGUCCAAAUUUUGUUGCACCCAAAUUUUUAUGAGCUAAGAAACCAUAAUUUUAAAGACCAAUUCAGUGGUAAGUAAAUCUGCUAAAAUCUUCUAUGUACAAAUGACCUCACUUCAAGGUGCAACACAUACAUGUAUUAUUAUGUGUAUGGGAUGAGUCUUGAAGUUAGUCUUCAUUCUUCUUUGAUUUUUUUUUCUUCAAAUAAAUAAAUAAAACAUCAUCAAAUAAAUGUAAAAAUAAAAUAUGUAUCAGUUAAUUGGAGAGGAGAGCUUUAAGGGCAUUUCUUCUAUGAAAUUCUAUGCUCCACGUACCAUAAAUUUGUACUCAACCAACAAAAUUACAGAAUGGGUCCAUGCACAAACAAAAAUAACCCAAAUGUGAAUAUCUAAAAAUGUAUGAAGUUCACAAUAGAUAUUCAAGCCCAAAUUUAAAUUUCAAAUUAGUCCAACAGAUUUCAUUAAUCAAAAUGGGUCCAAAUUAGCAAAUAUAACCCAACAAAAAUAUCUCAUAUGUCAUAGGCCCUAAUUUAAAAUUUUCAAAUUAAUAGCCAAAAUAUAAGUUCAAUUAAUCAAACCCAAAACAUGAUAAAUUAAAAUAAAUCUCAUUAGGCCUAAACUUAAUAUCCCAUAAUUCAAGCCUAAUUUAAUAUAUAAACCUAAAUCCACAAUCAAAAUCAACCCAAUUUAUGCUAAUCCCGAUUUACAAUCAAAAUCAAACAUAAUUUAAUAAGUAAAUAACUAAAUAAAUUAAGCAAACUCAAAACACCCAAACCACUACAACAUAAAUCAAACAAUAAUAAAUAUAAUGACAACAAUAAUAAUAAUAAAUAAAAUAAAAUAAAAUAAAAUAAAAAUAAAAAAUUUAACUCACGUCGGAGCCAGUUUGAAUGUCUUAGGAAAGAAAGAAAAUGAGAGAAAAGUGAGAGAUGAUUGACAACUGACAGUGGCUCACUAGCGGCAACUGGUUAGUGGUCCUACCGAUGGUAGUGAGGAUUGAUUGGUUUUUGGGAAAAAAAAUAAAAUGAAGAAAAGAAAAUGAGAAGUAAUAAAAAAAAUGGAGAAAUGAGAGGAAGGUGGGAGAAGAAUGGAGAGAGAGAACGUAGAAAAUGAGUGAAAAGAAAUGAGGCUAGUUGGAGGAGAAAGUGGUAGUGUGUGAGCUAAAGUGAAGAAUAAUAGAAGAAGAAAAUGGAGAAGAAUGGGGAAAAAAAAAUCCGUCUCCCUAAAUGAAGAAAGGUGGGUAGCCUAAAGAAGAAGAAAAAAUAAAAUAAAAUAAAAUGGGGAGAAAAUGAGAGGGGGUCGGUGGUCUUGCGAAUGAGGUGGUAUGCGUUAGAGAGAGAGAGAGUGGGUGGGGUUGUUGGGGUUGUUGGGGAAGGUAUGAGAGAGAGAGGAGAGAGAAAAGAAAAAAAAGAAAGAAAAGAAAAAAGAUAAUAUAAAAUAAUAAUAAUAAUAAUAAAAUAAAAUAAUAUACAAAAUAAUAAAAACUAAUAAUUAAAUAGUGAGUGGGCAAAAAAUAUCAUAUGUAAUCAAGAUUUAAUUUUAAGAGUAAAAUUGGGUUAAAAAUUAAUGUAAAAUAAAAUUGGGAUAAAUUUUGGGGUAUACAAAUAUGCACCUCUUCAAUAGAGUCCACGAGUAAAGCAAGUGUAUAUGUGAGCAAAACAAAGUGGGCUCUACUGAAAAAUAAGAAAGACCACCAAAUUUGUCUUAAUAUGACAUGAACUCUCCCAAAUAAAAAAAAUAAAAAAUCUAAAACCCUACAAAAAUGGCCAAAAUGGAAACUCCUAAGGUGCCUCUAAAGUUAUACUAUGGAUCUAGACUCCCUUAGAAAAGCCUCCAAAAAUGGCCCAAAAAUCGGUGCCAAAAUCGAGUAGCAAUCAGACCACUAAGGAGCACAUGAACGAAUGCAUACAAAGGGAAAAAAACCAUACGUGUACCAUACGAUGACAAAAGGCAUAAGGUAUCCAACAAUAUGACUGAUUCACGUGUUACGAGCUUAAAGAACUUUGUCAUGCACCAUGGAGGAAGGGAAACUCUAGAAUAAUGUGAUGAGGAAGUUAUUAGCACAAUGUAACAGAGUGAGGAAAAAAGUGAUGAGUGCAAAGCUGUGAGGACAAAGUGCACAAUGCUAAUGAAUAUGAAAUGAAUAGCACUAGGCUAUAAUGCAAUGAAUAGCUCAGGGUUGUACCAUAAUGAACAAGUCAAGGAUGUGUAAAGAUGAGGAACAACUCAAGGUUGUAAUGCAAUGAACAACUUAGGGCUAUGAAUGCAAUGAACAGCUCAGCUCAAUGAAUGAAAUGAAUAGCUCAGGGCUGUGAAUGCAAUGAACAACUCGACGUUGUGGAUGUAAUGAACAACUCAUGGUCAUGGAUGCAAUGAACAGCUCAGGGCUAUAGAUGAACAACUCGGGGUUGUGGAUGUCAUGAACAACUCAAGAAUAGGGGCACUAUACACCCAAAAUGGGAGAUCACGGUCUACGAUUCCAAGUCAAACCACUAAAGGGUGACCAAAAUGAGGGUGAUCAACUCACUAAAAAAGAUGAUCAAAAUGUCUUAAGGGAGAGGAGAUGCCCCAGAUGAAACUUAAAGGAAAUGAGUAGUGCUAAUGAAACUAAAAAAAGAAAAAAUGUCACAACUGAAAUUGAAAAAAUAGCAAACUUAGAUUAAAGUGCAAUGAACAACUUUGGGCUGUUGCGAUGAGUAGUACCGUGUUGUAAUGAAAUGAAUAACUUUAAGAUAUGGGCAUUGUACGCCUAAAGAGGGAGAUAGUGGUUUACGACUCCAAGUCAAACCACUAAAGGACGACUAAAAUAAGAUGAUCAACUUACUAUAAAUGAUAAUGCAACUAUCUCGAGAAAAAGGGUAUGCCCCAAAUGACACUCAACAGUAAAAGAAUGACACAAAUGAAACUAAAACAAGAGGAUGCCACAAAUGAAACUGAAAUGAUAACAGACUCAGUACUAAUGUGUAAUGAACAACUUUGGACUAUGGAUGCAAUGACUAGCACUGGGUUGUAAUGAAAUGAACAACUCUAAGAUGUGGGCACUAUACCCCUAAGAAAUGAGAUCAUAGUUUACGACUCUAAGUCAAACCGCUAAAGGGCGACUAGAAUAGGAUAAUCAACUCACUAAAAAUGAGGAUGCAACUAUCUCGAGAAAGGGGGUAUGCCCUAAAUGACACUCAAUAGUAUAAGAAUGACAUAAAUGAAACUAAAAUAAGAGGAUGCCACAAAUAAAACUAAAAUGAUAACAAACUCAAAACUAAUGUGCAAUGAAUAACUCUAGGUUGUGGAUGCAAUGAACAACAUUGGGCUGUAAUGAAAUGAACAACUCUAAGAUGUGGGCACUAUACGCCUAAAGAGGGAAAUCACGGUCUACGACUCCAAGUCAAACCACUAAAGGGCGACUAGAAUAGGAUGAUCAACUCACUAAGAAUGAGAAUGCAACUAUCUUGAGAAAAGCGGGAUGCCCUAAAUGACACUCAAUAGUUAAAGGAUGACACAAAUGAAACUAAAACGAAAUGAUACUACAAAUGAAACUGAAAUGAUAAUAAAUUGAUAACUAAAGUGCAAUGAACAACUCUAGGCCGUGGAUGCAAUGGACAGCUCAAGAAUAGGGGAACUGUUCGCCCAAAAUGGGAGAUCGUGGUAUGCGACUCUAAGUCAAACCACUAAAGGGUGGCUAAAAUCAAAAUGAUCAACUCACUAAAAAUGAGGAUCUGAACAUCUCAAGAAAGGGGUUAUGCCCCAAAUGAAACUGACAAUAGAGGGAUGCCUUAAACAGACUGAAGAAAGAAGGAUGCCCUAAACAAAUUAACGAAAAAUGGAUGCCCUAAACAAACUGACGGAAGUGAAAUGCCCUAAAUAAACUGACCAAAGAAGAAUGCACUAAACAAACUCUGAGAAAAAAAAAAAAAGAAGUAUGCAAUAUAGAAUCAAAAACACCUAAAGCAAAAACAAGAAACAAAGAAUGUGGUUUACAACUAGAAACACCCAAAAGAACCUUAAAGAAGUAACUGGGAUAAUGAACUUAAUGAAAAUGGGGUAUGCCACAGUAAAAGACUCGGAAGUAUCAGCAAAUGGGUCAAACGACCAUGAAAUCAAUAGGAGAUAUGAUGAACCCAAAAAGGGCAUAUGCCCCAACAAAAGAACACUAAAAGGGGGGUAUGCCCCGAUAUGACGACUCACAAUAAUUAAGAAAUGGAUCGAGUAAUGAGAAAAUCUGCAAAAUAUCCUAUGAACUCAAAGAUGGGGGUAUGCCCCAGUGUAAAAUAGUGACCAACAUAAGACACAGAAUGUCACCAUACAAUACACUCUGGGAUAUGCUCAAUGUCAAUGUAAUGAAAACAAUAGCCUCAAUCAACAAAUGUUCAAGCAAGACCAUGCAUCACAUAAACUAAAAUAAUAGGCUAAACAAAUGCUAACCAAGUCUCUCAAUCUGAAAUGUAAGCAAGUCAAGACAUGACAUGCCAACCAUCGACAUGAAAACAUCAUCACAAAUACAUCAACAAACUAAUAGUCCCUACUAUCAUGGAAGAUGUAGAACCUAACGUCCAAAGGCAUGUGAAAACUCAACCAGAAAGCUCAAGACUAGUUUGCAUCCUCCUCUAAUAAAAAGAAUGAGAUAAGGUCAUGUAGGAUGAUGAAAUAGGCAAGCUCAAUAUUCGUUAGGCUCUACCAAGAUGGAUGUAGGUAUAAUAGUGUCAAAGGUAGGAUGUCUAGAUUUCCAACGAAGGAAACUGGGUAUCCAAGUCAAACCAAGUAUGUUGAGGAAACUGAACCCAUAGGACAAUAACUUUAUGAUCCAUUGAAAAUAGCAAUCAUGAAUAGAAGGUCGAGUCUCGAUGUCAAAAUCAACAAGGUGGCAUUGCCCCAGUAUGAAUACAUCUUCUCAAAAUGGGUAAACCUUUAGUGCAAGAUAAUCUCUAGAAAGUGUGUGUCUAGUAUAAACUGUCAUCUCACAAAAUUUAUCACUGAUGAGUGGGCUAUACCCCAGUGUAAGCAUUUCCAAAUCAAACAUCGAUGAGAGGAGUACAACCAAUCAUACAUAAUAUGAUCAAAACAAAUCUCCACUCCUCAAAGUCAUCAUGGUAACGUGAAAAGAGUAUCUAACCUCAUUUAAAGAAAGAUCAUGUCCCAAUGUGAAAAAUAUCAAGCAAAGUGGUAUGUCUCAACAAAAAUGCACUCUAACAUGAUCAUGCCUAGAUGUAAGCUGGUAUCUUUAAGAUCAAUCACCAAUGAAAGGGUUAUGCCCCAGUAUAGGGCAAUCUCUUAAAUGACUAAAAUCCGCUACAAGCUCUCACAAGUGUCUAUGUCAUGAACCAAUCAUCUCAAAAAAUAAAUAAAUAAAUAAAUCUAUCAACAAUGAUGAGAAGGUUAUGCUCCUAUAAUCACACCAAGAAAAUCACCCGGUCAUAUCUUGUACUCCAAUGUGAAAGGAAAAUAUGAUCACCUCCAAAGAAUGGCUAUGCCCCAAAAUACAUCAUCGAUUGAGAAAUAUGCCCCUACGUAAAGUACAUCAACUGAAAUAUGCCAAUCAUGCCUCAUGCUCCAAUGUGAAAAAUGACGUAUAAUCUUCUUUGAGGGAUGGUCAUGACUCAAAUCCAUCAUCAGUUGAGAGAAGUAUGCCCCGACAUAAUGGUCAUCUAAAAAAUCAAUCCCCGACUAAGAAAUAUGUGCCUUGAUGUGAUGUAUCAAGCAAAAUGGCUGCAUACCCCAUAAAAAACUCUCUAAGGUGGCUAUGCUCCAAUGUUGGAUCAUACCACAACUCCUGGUCUAUCACAAUCAAAAUGCUGUCCAACCAAUCCCAAGUAUCGCCCACAUGAGAGCUAUCAAACACAAUGUGUGAUGUCAUGGCCUCAAGGUGGUCUUAAGAUUCGGAACGUAACGUAGGCUAGGGUAAUAAGGUAAAGAAAUGAAGGAAAACUAGGCUUAAUAAUCCUAAUGAUAAAACCCCAUACCUUAUGUAUAAAAUGCAAUAUGUGCAAAGAGUCUCAUAAACCAUGGAUCUAAGGACACCCAAUAUGAAUAUAUCAGUGAGGAAGAAAGAAUCUAAGAUGAAUAUAUCAAUGAUAACAGAGAAGAAAUGAAGAAUAUUAAACUGUUGAUGGGAUGUAUAAGAAUGAUGUAUGGAAAAUAUUGAACAUGGAAUGUAAAUUGAUAUGAACAAAGAACAAUGUAGGCAAGGCAAAUGUGAUAUCAUGAUAAGAACAAAUAAAUCGAAGAAAAAUGAAUGAACACUAAUCCACUCAAAUCAAGUCAUGGAGAAUAGUCAAAUCACCAACGUAUGUAAUGAUGGAGAAGACAAUGAUUCAAAGUCCCUAGGAAAAUGUCACUUGUUUGUCACACAUAAAAUACAUAACGAGAUAGACACAAAAAUAUGAGAGUCUUUUGAAAGUUCACAUACGAACUUUCAUAAGCAACUAACUCAAUAAAGCAACCUCAAUGACCAAUAUAUACACUCAAUAAAGGAUGACACUGUAUACAUGUGUUUAUUACUUUUUCUUUUCAUUUUGUUUUUCAUUUUUUUCAUUUUUGUUUUCAUUUUUUUUCUUUUACUCGCGCAUACUCUGAAUAUCAAUAAAUGAACUUCUCUGAGAAUACAUAAUGAAAUGGAUAUACUCUCAAACAAUGAUGUCAGCGAACUCUCUCUGACAAGAUGACCCUCUAAAUUAAGGAUUUUCGAACUAACGUCCAUGAGAUAGGAGUGGAAGGGGAUAUGACCAUCCUUCCUGCACCGAAAUGUGAAAAAUCAUCACUCAGGGCACAAAAAAAUGUGAUGAAAAAAAAUAAAAAAAUGAAACAAAAGAUAUAAACAAUGAAGUAUGAUGAAGACUGAUGUUGGGAAGACAAAAAAAAUUGUGAAGAAGGUGAGCCAAUAAGUCCUCAACUCAUGAAACUCUCGAAUAAAAUAUAUAUACACCAAAAAACCCUUAUCCCGGUGUAAAAUGUGAGCAAGGAUAUAAGAAAGAAAAAACUAUGGUGCUCAUGUGAGGUUCAAAGGGCUAGCAACGGUCCAAAUGUCAAUAAAGGUAAUAGGGUGUGAGCUAACCAAAAUGAAGGCCACCUAUGAUGGUCUGAAACAUCAUGCUCUUAAGCUUUCAAUGAUCAAUACUGAAAAUCGAUGUCAACCCUUUGGAAUUGUGCGCCAAACCAUACUCCAAAUGCUCCAUAAUAAUCUCAAAGAUAAUCCUCUCAAAGCAAAGUAAAUAGCGAUCUCAUAAGGCACAACUACUCAUCACAAGCCAACUCUCAUCAUGCAAGAUCAAUCUCUAUUUUCAUGGAAAAAUAAGUGACAAUCUCAUCAGGCAAUCGACGAAUCCUCACAUCGUAAACCAACCAAAGAUCAUAAGUCAUUCAUUGCCAUGCAAGAUCAAUCCCAGGCUCAAACUCCUCAUACUCUACCUGGUUGGAUUAGAGAAGAAAUGGGCAAAGCUAGAAAAACUGAAGAUGGAAAGGUCAUAUAAUGGUGUCAAGGGUGAUGUUGUGCAAAACUCACAAUGAAUGGAUGUAGGUCAAAGAAAAGUCAAUGUGUGAGAGUGAGUAAGGCACUACUCUGAUCAUAAGAAGAUGGGUCACAAUCUCAAACUCCUAAGGUCAAAUCUUCGAUCCUAGGCUAAUAAGCUCAACAUCCUCCAUGAUAGGUCAACCCCCAAGAUCACAAUGUGCAAAUGAAUAGAUGCCUCAAGUCAAAAGUACAACACAUCAUAUGAUAUAUGGUCCUACGAUGACAAUCUAAAACUGGAAAUAUGUUAGAAACUCUAAGGUCAUAAAGGUGUCCACUGUGAGAUGACUACAAAUGUGACUAAGGAAUCUUUAUCAAUAAUCCAAAAAAUGAAUGAGGUGUGAAAAACAACACUAUCAUGAGAUCGAUACCCCAUCAAUAACAAAAUAUCUCUAAUUCACUUUCAAUCUAAGCUCUAUAAAGAAAAACGAUAAGGUUAUAAAGGCAAACCUCUCAAAAAUGGUGUGAAUGUGAAAACAUGUCUUCACCUUUCUAUAAUGAAAAUAUCAUGUUGAAAAUAGAAAUAGGCAAAUCAACCAAAGAAUGAAGCACGGAGCCCAUGACAAGUGAAGAAUGUAAAAAGGUGAACAUGAUCAAUGAACAUAUCCCAAAACAUUAAGCAUAAAGUGACAACAAACCGAAAGAAUGUGUCAAUUUAAGAAAAGAAGACUAUCUGAAGCCCUAGGGAGAAAGUGUGCUAGACUCAACGAGCGACAAGAAGAAACUAAAACCAUAUAGCAAGGGGUGGUCCAACUGAUACUCAAACUCGUACCAAUAUCUAAGCACUCUCGACUGGAGACCAAAAGAUGGAGUAUUGGAUCCAUAUUGUGACUAAAGUGGCCUCGAAGGCUCUCAGAUGCACCCACGUGUAGGAAAGGAAAUCCUAAUGAAAAUAUCUAAGGCUUAACCUACAAGGUCAAGGCGGCUCUCAAAAGAAAAUUUGAGUAGACUUUAAAGGAUCCCUAGCAAAAGCGAUCAUACCCUCCGAUGGUACACAACCUCCUACACGUCUUGAAAUAUACGGGAGUGAUUCCAUGCAAGGUGGUCAUCACCUCCACACAUGCACUAUCUCGUAUCCUAGAGGGUUUCCUAAUGAUGAAGACUCUUACAUCUCUCAACACUUAGUGGUAAUCUAAGGUGCACAGUGAACGGUGUGGGUUCAUCCAAAAAUCCUAUCAAGCUAAGCAAAGAGAAAAAACAUUGGUCACACAAAUAUCCUGAAAUCUAGCUCUAACCUAUACAAGUCUUCAAAGAUUAGACUCCAAUUAGCAUUAAUGUUUCGACCUUCUCUAGAAUGCUCCCAAACAUAGAUAUAGUCCAUCACUAAACCCUACUCCGAAUCACUAGCUCGGUCAAAGAGCAAACAAAGUAAUAAGUCUCAUAUCAAAUACGAGAUCAAGGGGAACAUGGUCACCCGAGACUAGGGAAUUGAAGGUAAGGGGAUAGAUGUGUGUCCCGCAUAGAAAAGCAACAUGCAUCACACAGAAGAAGAAUAGUCAUGCAAUAGACAACCAAGCAAAGAACAGGUAUAUCAUUCAUAUCUACACACAAGCUAAACAAGAAAUAGGUAUUUAACAAGAAUAAACAAUAUGUUGAGAUAAACAAGAUAAUAUACGAUAAAGAGAAUCAAUCACACCAAUAUGAAUGAGAUAUACAAAAAUGAGAAUAUACAUGUCAAGGAGAGCAAGAUAAUCAUACAACAAGAAGAGUCUUAUGUUAAAGCAAGCAAGAGAAUCAAUCGAUGUAGUCAACAUGUCAAUAUCUCAAAUGAACAUAACAACCAAAUAUGCAUCAUAAAGAAAAAAUGGUAAUCAUGCAGCACACAGUCAUACAAAACAAAUACAGACAAACAUAAGCAAAUAAAUGUAAACACACAUGAUAACAAAAAUCAAUGUAUAGUAAGGCACAUGCAAUAUAUACAUAAAAUAAUCAUCAAGUCAACACUCAUAUACCUUAAAACAUGAAAAUAUACAAUAAAGACACAACGAGAGGGUAUUCACUGAUCGAUUAAUCAAACGCUACAUUUCCCUUAACUCGAGUUCAAGUUUGAUCCUUUAAAUAUCCCUAGUGAAGUCGCUAUUUUGUGGACCCACAUUUUUCAAAUACGUCCUUACACAACAGCGAGACUCAUUUUUUUUAUUUGGUGAAAAUUUGAUUUUUAGAAAAAAGACUUUGAGUCGUCACUUAUUUUUGUUUUUUUUUAAGGGAAAACAAAACAAGAAAGAAAACCUUGUGUGACUCCUUAUUUGGGAAAGACAUGUAUGCAAAAACCAAAUCUGGAUUCGGGGGUUAAGUUCCCUAUUGAGAAUGUACGAUGGUGAGCUGUAGCACCUCUCUAAGCUCAUAUACGUAUGGUCUCUACUAAACGAAUUAAGAGAAUUGUAGUAAUUAAUUAAUUAGUCAAGGAUACCAAGAAAAAGAAUCGCACAAAUGAGUACGUACAAAUCAUGAUAAAAAAAAUCAAAUUAUAAGAAUAGACAAAAUAAAUAACAAGAGAAUUGUGCAAAGUGAUUUAUUAAACUAAAUAAAAAAGAAGAUAUUAAAAAAAUUAGUUUUCAAGAAAUUUCAACGGAUUUUAUUAAAAUGAUUUUGAAUUAAUGAUUUUUAUUUAUUUAUUUACAAAAAAAGUGUCAAUUUAUUUUCUUCAAGUGAUUUGAUUCAAUUUCAUUUGUAUUCAAUUUUUUUUUUUUAAAAGUUAUUUACACUCAUGGUUGUUAAAAGAAUUAUUCACAAAAUUUCAAGUUGACAAUAAAAAUGAUUUUUACUUGCUUUUACUCAAAAACAAUGAAUUUUUACAAUUUUAUUAACAAAAGCAUUUCAAUUUAAGAAAAGUGACUUAAACAAAUUAUUAAAAAAAAUAUAACUUUAUCUGCAAAAGAAUUUUUAAUUAAAAAGAAAAAAUUUAAGUCAUCUAUUUCUAAAAAUGACUUUUAAUCCCAUUUUAAUUAAGGAAAAUUGAGUUAUCUAAAAAAACAUUUUUUGGACAAUUUGAAUAAAAAUUAAUUUUUGGGACAACUUUAUUUACAAAACAAUUUUUGGACAAUUAUUAUUAAAAACAAAAUUUCAAAUUCGAUUAAAAACAAUUUUUUGGAUUUUUCCAAACACAUUUUUAUGAAUUUUUAUUAAUAAAAAACUUUUUUUUAUUAAGAAGAAUAUUUUUUGAGCUAUUAUUUUAUUAAAACAUGUUUAUUGAAUUAUUCUUCUUCUUCAAACAAAAUUUUUAAUUUGUUCGAUAUCCAAUUCUGUACACAACAAGUAAAUAUAUACAAACAAAUAUUUAUAGAAACCAAUAAAAAUAAAACCAAAUAGAAGUGAGAAAUAAAACAUGUACUUAAACAAGCUUACAACAAGCUCAAUGUCUUCUUACGACUUUUCGAGUUUCACUUUCUUUCAUUAAAUUUUAUGCUCCACGUACCAUAAAUCCGUACUCAACCAAAAAAAUUGCAGAAUUGGCCCAUGCAAAAACAAAAAUAACACAAAUGUAUAAAGUUCACAAUAGAUAUUCAAACCCAAAUUCAAAUUUCAAAUUAGUCCAACAAAUUUCGUCAAUCAAAAUAGGUCUAAAUUAGCAAAUAUAGCCCAACAAAAAUAUCUCACAUGUCAUAGGCCUUAAUAUAAAAUUUCCAAAUUGAUAACCAAAAUAUAAGUUCAAUUAAUCAAACCCAAAACAUGAUACAUUAAAAUAAAUCUCAUUAGGCCUAAACUUAAUAUCUCAUAAUUCAAGCCUAAUUUAAAUAUAAACCUAAAUCCACAAUCAAAAUCAACUCACUUUAUGCUAAUCCCAAUUUACAAUCAAAAUCAAACAUAAUUUAAUAAGUAAAUAACUAAAUAAAUUAAGCAAACUCAAAACUCUCAAACCACUAUUGCAUAAUAUCAAACAAUAAUAAAUAUAAUGACAACAAUAUUAAUAAUAAAAUAAAAUAAAAAAAUUUAACUCACGUUGGAGCCAGUUUGAGUGUCGUGGGAAAGAAAGAAAAUGAGAGAAAAGUGGGAGAUGAUCGUUAGCUGGUAGUGGCUCGCCGACAGCGACUGGUCGAUAGUCCUACUGGCGGUAGUGAGGAUUGAUGAGUUUUUGGGAAAGGAAAAAAAAAAAAAAGAGGAGUAAUAAAAAAAAAAUGGAAAAAUGAGAGGAAGGUGGGAUAAGAGGGGAGAGAGAGAAUGAAGAAAAUAGGGGAAAAGAAAUGAGGCCGGCUGGAGGAGGAAGUGGUAGUGUGUGUGAGCUAAAGUGAAGAAGAAUGAAAGAAGAAGAAGGAGAAAAAUGGGAAAGAAGGGGAAAAAAAUUCGAGCCCUCUAAAUGAAGAAAGGUGAGUAGCUUAAAGAAGAAAAAAAAAUAAAAUAAAAAAAGAAAAAAUGAGGAGAAAAUGAGAGGGCCAGUAGUCUUGGGAAUGGGGUGGUAUAAGUGAGAGAGAGUGGGCGAGGUUGUUGGGGAAGGUAUGGGAGAGAGAGGAGAGAUAAAAGAAAGAGAAAAAAAAACAUAAUAAUAAUAAUAAUAAUCAUAAAUAAUAUAUAAAUUAAUAAAAAUUAAUAUUUAAAUGAUGAGUGUGUCAAAAAUAUUAUAUGUAAUUGGGAUUUAAUUUUAAGAGUAAAAUUGGACUAAAACUUAAUGUAAAAAUAAAAUUUGAACAAAUUUUAGAAUCUACAAAUACAUUCUUUAAUCUUUCCACAACAUCAAUCUGAUCUAAAUGAAAUGCAAUAAAUUCUAAAAAUGAUACAAUCUUUAAUCAAUCCACAACAUCAACCCGAUCAAAACUCAAUGCAAUAUUGCUUAAUGGAGAGAAUCGUAAAAUCCUUUUAUGAGAGGAAAACAAAACCCUUAACAGACCUUUAUGAGAGGAAAAUAGGAAAACAUAGAACUAAAAACCCUUAACGUAUUCAUGAGAAUAAAAAAAUCCUUAACACCUUAAUAAGAGGAAAACAAAGAAUUUGAACAAUCCUUAAUCCAUCAAAAGCUCUUAAUAUGAACGAGGGGAAAACAUAACCUUUAUUUUUCAUAUCGUUGAAUACAGAAUCUAAAGAGAUAGAAUUUUUAGUUAUUAAGGAUUUUUUAUAGAUGUCUAUUGAAAGUUCAAGAACUUUUAUGGAUAAGUGUUAAUUAAGAGACUGAAAGGGUACUUAGGAUUUUCAACUAAAAAAGUUAUAACAAUAUGAAUCGUAAGAACUUAAAAACAUCACCCAUCCAUAAGAGGAAUAUGGAAUGAGAGGUUAUAUUUUUACUUAUACAACAAUAAACUUUUUUGGAAGAGGUUUUUCUAAGUACAAAAAGUUAUGAAUAAAAAACCAUUGUUACGAUGAGUUAACUAAAAUAGAAUUAAUUUAGAAAAUAUCAAUAAAGUUGCAUGAAUUAUUAUCAUGAGUUAACUUAAUAAGAAUAAAUAGUAAUAAAGUUAAUGAGGUGAAUUUGGAUUGGCAGAUAUAUUUGAUGAUAAGAUUUUUUUAAUAAUAAAAAAUUAUUAUGGCAGGAAAAAUAGGACAAAAUUGACCUUAUGAUAAGAUUUUUUUAAUAAUAAAAACAUUAUUAUGGUAUGAAAAAAAGGGACAAAAUUGGCCUUNNNNNNNNNNNNNNNNNNNNNNNNNNNNNNNNNNNNNNNNNNNNNNNNNNNNNNNNNNNNNNNNNNNNNNNNNNNNNNNNNNNNNNNNNNNNNNNNNNNNUUUUCUAAGUACAAAAAGAGUUAUGAAAUAAAAACCCCAUUUGUUACGAUGAGUAACUAAAAAUAGAAUUAAUUUAGAAAAAUAUCAUAAAGUUGCAUGAAUUAUUAUCAUGAGUAACUUAAUAAGAAUAAAUAGUAAUAAAGUUAAUGAGGUGAAUUUGGAUUGGCAGAUAUAUUUGAUGAUAAGAUUUUUUUAAUAAUAAAAAAUUAUUAUGGCAGGAAAAAUAGGACAAAAUUGACCUUAUGAUAAGAUUUUUUUAAUAAUAAAAACAUUAUUAUGGUAUGAAAAAAAGGGACAAAAUUGGCCUUUCCUUAAUUGUACCGGUUAAUGGAAUAAUGGGACAUGCGGUGGUUACAAGCCACCCCAAAAGGUAGGAAGAAUCUCCAACCCCCAUUCUCGGCUCCCUUAUCUUUUCCCUUACAACCAAAAAUCAACAACUAUCUUAGAAUGUCCUUCAGUCCAUCAAAAUUCAACAACAACAAUUAUACAUUACAAUAAUGAAAACAAAAUUGAUUGAUCACCAGCUAACAUUAGGAGAUUAUAAGAUAAGGAUGUAAUUGCAAUUAUUGAAAUCACUUAAAGAGUAAAAGUUAGGAACAUGCUCACAAUAAAUAAAAUCACCUUAGAAUUAAAAAUUAGGGACAUGAUUAUGAUGAUUAAAAUCACUCGAGAACUAAAAUGUUUUAGAGAUACAAUAAUUGAAAUCAACUGAAAAAUAAAUUCGGGAUGUGAUCGCAAUUAAUGUAUAUAUAAACAACCAAAUGUUGAAAGGAAAAACUAAUGAAAUUAAUAUGAUUUUCUUUUAGAUUUCUCUUGACACCAAACAAAUGUAAGGAAGUUUAUAAAGGAAAAUUAGGUUUUGAUUCACUAAAUUAAAAUAAUAUAGAAAAAAGAUCUUCAAAUUUUAUAUACCAGUUUUAUUUUUAUUUAUUUAAAAAUAUUUUAAAAUACAUAUAUUUUUUCAUAACUCAAAUAGUCAUUCCUCAAAUGCUAGUUUUACUUGUUAUGUUAAUAACACUAGUUAAUAAUUUUUUAUUGUGAGAACGAUUUAAGAUUAAUAAAAUAAGAAAUUUUUAAAACUAAAAAGACAUUUAAAACUUUAAAAUUAAAAAUAUAAAAAUAAAACAAUAAUUUUUCAUUUAGUAAAACACGCCAGUAGAAAAUAUAGAUAUAGAGAAAGAGUUGGAAAUAAAAUAAGAGUUAAUAUUUUAUUUUUAAAAUUUUAUGUUUUUUAUUUUAAUUGUAUUUAAUUUUAUGUAUUUUAGUUGUAAUUAUAUUUUUAAUUUUUAAUUUUUUUUUAUUUUAUUGUUGAUGUAAACUAAUAAAUUUUUUGUUCAAUUAUAUAUAUAUAUAUAUAUAUAUAUAUAUAUAUAUAUAUAUAUAUAUAUUUUAAAAUUAGUGAGUAAAAACCCACUUUUUCUAAUUUAUAAUAUAUUUAUGGGAUUUUAUAAUAUAAGCAAUUUUUUUUUUUUUGAGAAAGAGGAAAAAUCAACUUUUCAAUUUCCCUUAAUAAUUAUUAUUAUUAUUAUCCAAUUUGGCUGAUUAUGAGAUUAGUUCGUAUCAUUACUAUAUCCAUUUGUUCUUAACCCUUCAUUAGAAUAGUAUUAGGAGUUGAACGUCAGUUGGAAUACAGGCUUAUGGAAACAAAUCUAUCCGAUUAGUAGGUUCUUAUUAUUUUCAAUAUAGCCCCAUAAAAUAAAUAGGAGAUGGGCAGCCCGUCCCUUUUGUCUGGAGGCCAUCCUCCCAACUUAUUAAAGGUGAUAUGAGAUAAGACAGUGACAAAAUUGUCGGUUACUUCCCGACACCUGGCUCUCCACAAGCAAACCCAGUGAUCCAGAAAUUAAUUGGUACCUGGACACGUGACUAACAAACCUUCGCUCAUCUACCAAACCCAUGGCCUCAUGCCUUAUAUAUUUCCACAAACCUAGCUCAAUUUUCAUAGCCACCUUCACUAUCCUAUACUCACUAAGCCAUGGCCAUAGAUACAAGCCUCUUGCUUGAGUUUGCUGCAGCAACUCUACUCUUCUUCAUCACCCGCUUCUUCAUUCGUUCUCUCCUUCCCAAACCUUCCCGGAAGCUCCCCCCUGGCCCCAGAGGGUGGCCGCUCCUCGGCGCUCUUCCUCUUCUAGGUAACAUGCCUCAUGUUGCAUUAGCAAAGAUGGCCAAAAGAUACGGGCCUGUCAUGUUCUUGAAAAUGGGCACUAACAGCAUGGUGGUGGCCUCAACUCCCGAGGCGGCUCGGGCUUUCCUUAAAACGCUAGACAUUAAUUUCUCUAACCGCCCGCCUAAUGCCGGUGCCACACUCUUGGCCUAUCAUGCCCAAGACAUGGUUUUUGCGGAUUAUGGGGCAAGGUGGAAGCUACUGAGAAAGCUAAGCAACUUACACAUGCUUGGUGGGAAAGCUCUUGAGGACUGGUCUCAGGUCCGAGCUGUUGAGCUAGGCCACAUGCUUCGAGCCAUGCUUGAGUUAAGCCAGCGAGCGGAGCCGGUGGUGGUGCCGGAGAUGUUAACUUUUUCCAUGGCCAACAUGAUAGGUCAAGUGAUUCUAAGCCGCCGGGUGUUUGAAACAAAAGGGUCGGAGUCAAAUGAGUUCAAGGACAUGGUGGUGGAGCUCAUGACCACUGCUGGGUACUUCAAUAUUGGCGACUUUAUUCCGUCCAUCGCAUGGCUGGACAUCCAAGGGAUCCAGCGCGGGAUGAAGCAUUUACAUAGGAAGUUCGACCGGUUAUUAACAAAGAUGAUGGAGGAGCACACGGCGUCAGCCCAUGAGCGAAAGGGAAACCCAGAUUUUCUGGACGUAAUCAUGGCAAACCAAGAAAAUUCUACAGGGGAGAAGCUCACUAUUACCAACAUUAAAGCACUCCUCCUGGUAUGCAUAGUUAAAGCUCGUCUUCAAUUUUGUUUUCCGAUAUUUUCUUUCCGGAAACAGCACUUUUAUUGCUUUUAGAUAUGUACGUUUUUAUCAGGUAGCCAUUUUAGGGGCACAUCACUAUUCUUUAUUUUUGGACUAUUUUUUUCUUUUUCCACUUGCAUGGUUGUUUUCAUAUGCUCAGCUGCAUGGCACAAGAAAAUUGUGAAAAAUGAUUGGUUCUCUGAUCAGACCUUCAGCACCAAAACACGCUUUUCUCUAUGUUAUAAAAUCGGUUUACAUGAUUUUUCAACCAGCUUCCUUGAACUUGAACUUUUGCUAGGGCUAAUGCAAAAAAUGAUUGAUCUCAAUUUUCAAUAGCGUUUGAUUACAUAAAUUUCAAGUAUGUGAACAUAUUUUUGUUUCCUUGGCUAGAAUUUAUUUACUGCAGGAACAGACACUUCAUCGAGCGUAAUCGAGUGGUCUCUGGCUGAGAUGUUGAAAAACCCGAGCAUCCUCAAGCGUGCUCACGAAGAAAUGGAUCAAGUGAUUGGAAGGAGCCGGCGGCUCGUGGAGUCUGACUUGCCAAAACUUCCAUACCUACAAGCCAUAUGCAAGGAAAGCUUCCGGAAGCACCCAUCCACACCACUGAACCUUCCUCGUGUCUCAACCCAGGCAUGUGAAGUGAACGGCUACUACAUCCCAAAGAACACUAGACUUAGUGUGAACAUAUGGGCAAUCGGGCGAGACCCUGAUGUCUGGGAAAGCCCGGAAGAAUUCAGGCCAGAAAGGUUUUUAAGUGGAAGAAAUGAAAAAAUUGAUCCUCGUGGAAAUGAUUUUGAGUUGAUCCCGUUUGGGGCUGGACGAAGGAUUUGCGCUGGCACUAGAAUGGGAAUAGUGCUGGUUGAGUACAUUUUAGGGACGUUGGUACAUUCAUUUGACUGGAAAAUGCCGGAUGGAGUUGAGAUCAACAUGGACGAAGCUUUCGGGCUUGCGCUGCAGAAGGCAGUUUCUCUUUCGGCCAUGGUGACACCAAGGCUUCACCAGAGUGCGUAUGCAGUCUGAGCUCAAACCGCUCAGACCAAAACCCAGGCCUCGCUGCUAUAUGGCAUGGAUGCAGUUAAGUAGAAAAUAUUUUGGGAUUUUUGCCUGUGGCUUAGUAUAAGAUGUAUUAGCUCAAAGAUGGUCGUUUCAUUCUACCACCAAGCCAUAUGCAUCUAUGCAUAAUCUAUUGAUUUAGGCUCGAUUUGGUUAUAGUUUUUGUUUUUUUGUCUUCCAAAUCAGUAAAUAGUAGGGGUAUUUUUGUCCUAUGUAGUGAUUCUUUUUGUUUGAUUGAUUAUAUUUGGAUCCUUCAAAAAUAUACGGUCAGAGCCAUCUCCAUCUUUUCACUUCUUGUGCUGCAGAAUGGGAUUGGCUUAGAUCGUUAGUCUAAUGUUAACCCCCUUCAAAUCUAAUUAUUCAUACUCAAUUUUGACACGAAAGAGCCAUUGUCAUGAAAGGGGGACCAGGGACCUCAGCACCCUUGGUUCAUCAUUUUGGUACGAUGCCAACUCUACCACAUAACCACCAUUUAGAUAUCUAUCCUUUUAUUUUUGGCAUGUGAACUUAUAGUGGGUGGCUGACCUUGAAUCCAAUAGUUAUCAUGAUAUAUAUGGCUGAAAUUAACCAUCAUUUAGAUAUCUAUCCUUUUAUUUUUGGCAUGCGAACUUAUAGUAAGUCCGAUUUAUGUCCAAGGGUCAAAUUUAAAUCUCUCUUCAAUCUAAUGGCUAAGAACUUCCCAACUUUAUUUAAUACUUAAUGUAUCCAAUAAUUGUAAUCGAGUAAUCCAAUGACAAGUACCUUCAAUGAUUAUUUUGGCAAAAGAAAUAAUAUAAGUUUGUUAUUUUAUGAUAUAAUAAAUUUAUUAAUACUUUCCUUUUUCAAAAUAUGUAAUUAGUUGUAAUUUCAUUAUAUAAUAUAUAAAUUAAGUUAUUUGCAAUUUUAAAAUAUGCUCAUUUUGUAUUUUUUUAAGUGUUAAUUAAAAAUUAUACAAUUUUGUUUUAUAAAAAGUAUUUAGUACUUUUAAUUUUAUAAAUUACAAGCAUUAAUUUAUACUAUUUUCUUAAAAUAUUUAGUUUAGUAUGCAUAUUAUUAGUUGUUUUCUUACAUCACUACUACAAAAAUAAUAUAUGAUGUCACUAUUUAUAGUGUCGCAUUUAAAAUAAUGACACCAUUGAACUUAAAAUUUAUAAAGGUGACACAUCAUUUAAAAAAUCUUCAAUUAGGAUAGUUAGAUUAUGCUAAUUUCAGAUUUACGGUGUCAUUUUUUGGAAGUGACACCAUAUGAAAUAAAAAGUUUUAAAUUUUAUAACUCAAUGGGCCUUUUUUAAAAAUAGUGAGUAGGAACAAUUUAUGAAAAGUCUAUUGUUUCCAUAUAUACAUUAACUAAUAUAAAAGAUCUUGUUGCUUGACCCUAACCAUCGUUUUCUUCUCCUUCUUCUCACACCCAUGGUCAGCACACCCAUAAUUGAUAUUCUUUGCUUCGUAAAAUCUCGGGUAAGUCAAAAUCUCUUAUCUAUCAUCUUUAUUUUUUUUAUUAAUGCAAAAAACUUUGUUAGUAUAAUUGUUUUAUAUCUCUUGAUUUAGUAUAUCUAUGAUGUGGGUUUUGUAAAUGGUGUUUUUUAUCGAGUUCUAAGGAAGUAAAAACUAAGUUUAACAUUCUAACAUAUUUUUUGUUUCAUUGCUAAUAAGCCCCAAAACAAAUGAAAACAAGAAAAAUGAAUUAUUUUUAAAAAAUUUGUCUAAUUGAGAAUGAGAGAUACACUAGUUUGUAGUAAUUUUUCGCAUGAAAUAGUAUUUUAUUGAAGACUUGACUAUAUUUGAUACUUUUUUCCACCGUGCUAGGAGCUUUUUGGUGAAGUCUAACAAUAGAGAUUGAUAUCUGCUACAAGAUGAUACUCAAUUAAACCAAAAGCACUUAAGUUAUUUAGGGUUUUCUUCGGUUAACCUAAGAAAACAUUCCCACUUUCUUUGUAUUGAGUCAUCUAAAUAGAAUAGAAUAUUGGGUAUCAGAGUCGUAAAUGGUAUUAUAAAUAUGACUUUUUUUUUAGAGUCACCUACAUGGAAUGAAUUAUUGGUAGGUGAACAAAAUAUUGGGGUGAUUGUAAUAGUUGAAUUAGUAAAUGGAAGAUAAGUGUAUGUUGCUUUGUUUAUUCUAUAAAAACAAUAAUUUUAGUAGUUGAAAUUUACAUGCUUUGUUGUUUUAUAAAAACAAUAAUUUUAGUAUUUGAAAUUUUAAAAUGUGAAUGAAAUGCCUGAAAAUAUAUUUUGAAAAAUAGGAUAGUAAUAAAUGGAAAAUAACUCAUUUCCUAAAAAUAUUUUGAUAAAUUAAAAUAAUAUGUGGUUAAAAUAUAUUUUUGUGAAAGUAUUUAAAAAUGAAUCAAAAUAUAAAUAAUUGUUAUUUUUUUUUAAAAUAAUUUAGGAAUAUAAAAUAAUAUUGGGGAUAAUUUUUGAGUUUAAAUUGUGUUAUAAAUGGUUAAUUUUUUUAGGACUGUCCUUUUUGAAAAUAAUCCAAUGAUAAUUUUUUUAAAUAAGAAUGUUGAAACUAAUUUUAAAAAUAAAAUUUUGUUGGCAAUGAUUUUUCUAAAAGUAUUUUAGGCAUAAAUGGAAAUUUCUUGUAUGAAAAUAAGAGAAUUUAUAUAUAUAUAAUAGACAUAAAAAUAGAUUUCUUUGAUAUUUAAUAAACAAGUGAAUUUUUCUCUAAAAAAAGAAUAAAAUAAGAAUUUCUCUAUAUAAUAAAAUAAUUUAUAUAUGAGAUAGUUUUCAAUAAGAAAGUUUUGAAAAUAAAUUUGGGAUAAAAUAUUUUUUAGUAAGUUUUGUUUAGAUAAUUCAAGAAUAAAGUGGUUUAUUAACUUUUCUUAAAAAAUAACAUUCUUCUUUCUUUUUUGAAUUGAUCAAUAGUUUGGAAAUAAAAUUGUUAGAUUCUAUUUUUUGUAAAUGUUUAAGAUAUUCUAAAAAAUUCUUUAAAAAUGAAAUGACCUUUCUACCACAUUCCUUUAAUAAAUAAUUGUAUUUUUAUACAUAUUGUAAAGUAAAAAAAAAAGUCUUUAUUUAGUUAACCUAAGAAGACAUUCCUACUUUUCUUUGUGUUGAGAGUCACCUAAAUGGAAUAAAAUAUUCAAUAUCAUAGGAGAGUAAAAAGUAUUGUAGAAAUGAUUUUGUUGAGAGAGUUAUCUAAAUGGAAUGAGAUAUUGGUAGGUGAAUAAAAUAUUAUGGUGAUUGUAAUAGUUGACUUAGUGAGUGGAGGAGAAGUGUAUGCUUCUUUGUUUAUUCUAUAAAAACAAUAAUUUUAGUAGUUGAAAACGUGUAUGAAAUGACUGAAAAUAUUUUUUGAAAAAUAAGAAAAUAAUAAAUGGAUAAUAGCUCAUUUCCUAAAAAUCUUUUGAUAAAUUAAAAUAACUUGUAGUUAAAAUAUAUUCUUAUGAAAGUAUUUAAAAAUAAACCAAUAUAUUAAUAAUUGUUAUUUUGUUUAAAAAUAAUUUAAUAGUAAAAAAAUAAUACUGAGUUCAAAUAUGACUACUUUGUUAUGAGAUUCAUUAAAGAAAUAAUUGUUGAUUUUACAGUUAUUGCAUCAAAGGUUUUACUCGUUUAAUGAAUUGUACAUAAUUUCAUACUUUCAAUUAUUAUGAUAUUAAUGUUAUUCUCAUUUGAUUUCAGUUUGAUUACAAAUAAAACAUAUUCUCAAGUAGAAUUUGAUGAAAUUAGAGAAAAAUAGAUUACUUUUGUGUUAUAACUAAUCAUGAAUCAUAUUGAUGUAUCGUGAUCAUUCAUGGUAAGUCCCUUAGUUGUUAUAUGAUUGAAUUUUCCAUUGAUAUUGUAUAACAUUACUUAUUCUUUACGAACUAUUUUUAUACCAAAAUGAGAAAAAGGAAAAAGAAAAAGAAAACAUUAGUACUUAGAUUUGUUUAUUGUUUAUAACAUCACAUUUUUAUUUUCAAUAAGAACUCUAAAACUCAUUAAUCUAUGAAAUGCAGGUAUACACUCUUGGGAGGACAAUAUGAAGAAUAAAAAGAAAGGAGAAAGAGACAACAAGAUUUAGGUUGUUAGAUAUGACUCUUAUGUCAUACAUUAUAGGACAUAAAUGUUACUUUAUUUGGAAUUGAGAAUUUUGGGUUUUUGGAUGCAACUCUUGUGUCAUUUUAUGGUUAGCCGGUUUUAUACAUAUGAAAUGCAAGUAUACAUGAAUGUUGGGAAACUUAACAUUUCUAAAUCAUGUUUUAAUGUGUAUUCACUUUUCUUUUUUAGUUUUGGUGGGUUUGAUGUGUUUGAUGUACUAUCAUUUUGUGAACAUUUGAUAUACAAAUAUUAUUGGAUGAUGUAAUAUGUUACAAAUUAAUUCAUAAGCAUUAUGAAAAUAUAAGUUAAAUGUAAUAUGAUUAUUAUAUUUAUGGACAAUUUACACAGGUUAGUCUUAUUUAUUAAUAAGCAUUACAAAAAUCUACAAACUAAUCAACAAAAAACAACCAUAUCUUCCAUAAUCAUUUACAAUGAUGUGACACCAUAAAUUAAAGGUGAUACAUUUAACGUGACACCAUAACUCAAAGAUGAUGCAUUUAAUAUGACACCUUAUAUAUCUCAUACAACUCUAUAUCAAAUUAAGCAUCACUAAAAAUAUAUGGUGUCUCUUCUGAAUGUGUCACCAUUUAUCUGCUUUGGUGUCGCUUCCAAAUACGUCACCAAUUGAUACCCUCUAUGGUGUCAGUGGAUAAGGUGACGCUAUGUUGUAGUGACACCCUAUGUUUAUAGUGACUUAUUAUAAAUGUCACCAUAUAUCUUUUUCCUUGUAGUGCAUCUCAAGUUUCAAUCAAAAAAAUAUUUAUGAUUUGUUUUUAUUAAUUUGUGUCUUGUUUUCAAUUUAAUUAAUGAAAAUUUAUUUGAUCAAAAAGUUCAUUACAAACCAAUUUUAAAAAUCUAAUCCUUUAUUAUAUUUUGAUAUCGUUUUGAUAAAAAUGUCUUUAUUAUUAUUAUUAUUUUUUUUUUUAUAAAAAUAAAUUUUUUUAUAAAUAUAUUGUAAAUAUUUAAAAUAAUUAAAAAUAUUUAGAUCAAAAAUCGAUUAUUUUUCAAACAAAUAUAUGAAAGUGAUAAAUUUGCAAAUAUGGGGAAUAUUUAAUCCUUUUAAUCGAUUAUUUCAUUAAUGAAGUGGGUAUAAUGAUGAACGCAUACUUGGUUUUACUAGGGCAUGCAGAGGUUUUGCAAGAGAGAGAGAUCAUUUCUCGACUCUGAGAAAUCAAUCUCCUUUUGGCCCGGUGGCGGACUCCAAGUAAAGCCUUGAAGGAGCCUUGCUAACAUCCCUGCACACCCACGCCUUCCAGUACUGAAGGAAAUGAAGCGAAGGUUUGGCUCGUUCAACUCCACUGCUUGAACUGUACUAGCAUUCAGAUGCCGCUCUGGAUUGAAAUUUAGCGGUUCUUCCCAGAUUCUAGGGUUCCGGCCCAGCCCCAGACGGCUCAGAAGGACAUGACUGCCUUUGGGGAUAGAGUACCCAGCAACACUAGUCGGAUUCCUGAACUCGUCUAUCCUUUCCAACCACUCCAUCAAUUUCUUCACUGCUUUGCUCAAAAUCCCUGGUUGCUUGAUCAUUGCCUACUCAAUUGCAUUUGAUGGACUAUCGACGCCUGCAAGCAUCAACUCCUGCAAAUUAUGGAAGGAUCAUAAUCUGAUGAUUGAUCAAGUUAUUUGCUGGCUAGGAAAUGAUCAUCAUGCAAUGUAGAUCAAAAGGUAAGCACAACACUACUACAAAAAUAAUUUAUGGUGUCAUUUUUAAAAUAAUGACACCAUAGGGUUUAUAAUUAAUAAAGGUGAUACAUCAUAUGAAAAUUCUUCAAUUAAGGUAGUUAGAUUAUGUUAGUUUUAUAUUUAUAGUGUUAUUUUUUGGGAAGUAACAUCAUAUAAAAUAAAUUUUUUUUUAAGUAUUAUAACUUAAUGAGCCCACUUUUAUAAUUAAUAAUGAGGGAUAAUGUAUAAAAAGCCCAUUGUUUCCACAUGCCACCCAUAAUCCAAAAAAUCUCAGUAUACAAACCUUAUAUAUAAAACCAUAAUCUUCUUCUACCUUUUCUCUUACCUAUAGUCAAUACACUUACAACCGACAUUUUCUACUUUGUGGACUCCUGGGUAAUCCAAAUUCUCUUAGAUCUAUCAUAUUUUUUUUUCUUUUAUUAAUAUAAUUAUAUUGAUUGUUUCACCAUCUUUGUAUUAUGGUUUUUGUAAACUGCGUUUUCUUGAGUUGUAGGGAAGAAAAACUUAGGUUUAAACUUCUAGCAUAGACGAAGAAACUUGUAGAUUAAUUGAUUUUUUAAUAUGAACCAAACACAUGACUGACUUCUUAAAAACAAGAAAAAAUGAAUGAUUUUUAAUAUGUAUUUAUGUGAGAAUGACAGGUACAAAAUUUUGUUGAGAUAUACUGUCACAUAAUCUUCAUCCCUUCCCUAAAACAAGAGAGAGAGAGAGAAAAAAAAAAAGGAAUGAUUUUUUUUGUGUGUAUCUAAGUGGGAAUGAGAUAUAUAGAAUUUUGUUGAGAUGCCACAUGAUCUUUAUCCUCCAUUAAACCCAACAUAUUAAAUCCACUAACUCUCCCCAAAAACGAGUAAAAAAAAAGGGAAAAAAGUAUGAGUUAAAAAACAAAAACGGAAAAUAUGAUUUAUUUUUUUUUAAUGUGUUUCUAAGGAAAAUGAGAGACACAAAUUUUUGUUAAGAUGCAUUGCCACGUGUUCUUCAUCCUCUCCAUUAAGCCUAAUAUAUUAAACCUAAUAGCUCUCUCUUUUAACUUUCCAGUGAAGUGCCUACAGUAUCCAACUCAAAAUAAGACAACUUAAGCCCCAUUAGCCAACAACCCAUAUUUUGUGUACAUCUUGAUGAGAUUAUUUUGUGAGAAAAUGUCAUGAAACAAUCCCAAUUUGAUAAUCUAGGCAUGUAUUUGAGUUAAAAAUAAAUUUCUAUUCUAUAGAUCAAAUAAUAAAAUCAUGUUUGAAAAUUAUUUUUAAAAACUUAUUUAGAGCAAAAAUAGUUUUCUAACAUAAAAAUAAUUUUUUAACUGAGAAAAUAUAUUUGAAAUUAUUUGAUAGAAAAUUGGGCAUGUAUUUGACUUAAAAACAAAUUUCUAUUCUAUAGCUCAAAUAAUAAAAUCAUGUUUGAAAAUUAUUCUUAAAAGCUUAUUUAGAGCAAAAAUGGUUUUCUAACAUUAAAAUAAUUUUUUAAUUUAGAAAAUAUAUUUGGAAACAUUUGAUAGAAAACUAGGCAUGUAUUUGACUUAAAAAUAAAUUAUUAUUCUAUAGAUCAAAGGAUAAAAUCAUGUUUGAAAAAUAUUCUUAAAAACUUAUUUAGAGUAAAAACAGUUUUCUAACAUAAAAAUAAAUUUUUAACUUAGAAAAUAUAUUUGAAAACAUUUGAUAGAAAACUUUUUUUUUAAUGUCAAUAAGUUGUCUUUUUGUUAAUUUAAUUGUAAUCAAUUUGCUUAUACGCAUUUAAAAGUAUAUAUUAUCAUAUUUAGUAAUAUUUUGAUUGUUAGGCAAAUUAUCAUUUUUGAGAGGAAUUUUUGUAGCUCUCAUAAUUAUAAUUGUAUUUUAAUAACCAUUUCCAAUAAAAAAGAAAAAGAAAAAAGAAGUUAGACAAUUAUCAAAAUCUGAUUUUUAGGAUUUUAAAAAAAUCUACAAGCCAAAACUAUCUAUAAUUUUGAUCAUGUGAGAACACUUCUUUUUUAAUACUUUGAAUUAUUUUGUUUUUUUUUUUCUUAGUAUCUGAAAGUAUAAAAGAAUUUCUCUUAUUAUAUUAUUAUAUUAUAUAUGUGCAUGUGUGUUCUCAUGGUUUCUUUAUGUCAUGUCUUAUUAAAGAAUAAAGUGAUGAAAUUUCCUUUGAGUAGAAGGUUUUAGUCCACGCUAGUGAGUGGACACGGUAUGAAUAGUUUGGGUGGGUUGUAUCUAUGGUAAAAAAUAAUAAAAGAUACCUUUUGCAAGUCUCCAAGUUGGUUGAGAUACAUGGCAUCAUGUUGACUAAACCUUGACUUUUGCAAGUCUCCUAGUUUCCAACUUUUUUUUUUCUUUUUUUUUUAAUAUUAAGGUGUGGGGCCAUGAACUCCUUUCUUUCCUUUUUAAAUAACAAAAAGGAAGAUAAUUUUAUUGUGAGAAGGCUAUUUCUAUCAAUUGUGUUCACGUCGAGAAUUUUUUAAUUUAUGGAGGCCAAAUAUAUAUUUAUGUCUAAUUUAGGAGGGUAAUUUGGGUUUGUUUAAUCUAUUCCAUUUAAUCAUACUAUACAAUCAUUUUUUUAUUUGGAUUAUUUUUGUAUUAAAUUUCUUCAACCCAAAUUUUGUUGAAAAAUUACAAUGUAUUAUUAAAAAUAUGACUUGAUAGUUGAUUAUGGACAUGUGUCAUUUUUAGUAAAAAAAAAAAUCUAUAACAUUUUAUAUUGAUAAUAUAUUAUUCUUGUAACAGGUUCGAAUAGUAAGCAAGUCAUUAUCAAAGAAGUUAUUGAAAGUAUAAGUGUACGUUUAUUUAUUGCAUGCUCUUAUAUUGUAUCAAUUGUAAGGAAGAUAAAAUUACCUUGUAAAGGUAAUUAAAUCUUUCUAUAUUUUAAAAACUUUUUUCCUAUAUACUAUGCUUUUGAAGCUUGUUUAAUUAAACAUAUUAGUUAUUUGACAAACUUUUCACAAAUGUUUUGUAUACUUAUGUGUUCUAUUUUGUUCCAUAGUUUUAUCGCAUAAUACUAAUGUAUAUUUUUUCACAAACUUUUUACAACUAUUUUGUGUACUAAUGCAUAUUAAGUUUUGUUCUUGCCUAUAUAAGCUACAUUUAGUUAUUUAAAUAUAUCCAAUAUUAUGUUGAAGAAAGAUGUACUUAACUUUUUUUAUUCUAAAUAUUAACAAGUUUUAUAGUUCUCUUGUCUUGAGAUUGAAUGUCAAAAGAUAGAAGGUCAGUUGAGUAUGAUGAAAGAGUUGAAAACUUUAUCAAUUUUGCAUUAGCACAUUCAAUCAACCAUUCCCCUAUAAAAUGCCCAUGCUUACGUUGUGCAAAUCUAUUAUGUCAAACUCUUCAAGUCAUUACAGAGCAUUUGUUCUUUAAUGGAAUAGAUCUCAGUUAUCGAGUAUGGUAUUGGCAUGGAGAAAAUGGACCCAGUGGAGGAUUUUCAAAUGUCUCACAACAACAUUAUGACAAAUGCAAGUAUAAUGAUGUUGUUGACACAAUAGAUAUGGUUAAUGCUGCACAAGUUAAUUGUGUGAAUGAUCCCUAAGUGUUUGGAAGGUUACUUGAAGACGCAAAAAAACCUUUAUAUCUUGGAUGCAUGAAAUACACAAAGUUGUCAGCAUUGGUAAAACUUUACGACUUAAAAGCACGUUAUGGUUGGUCUGACAAAGGAUUCUCAAAAUUGCGUCAGUUGCUUGGAGAUAUGUUGCCAUUGAAUAAUGAGAUGUCAUUGUCCAUGUAUGAAGCUAAAAAGACUUUCAGUGCACUUGGGAUGAAUAUCAAAAAAUUCAUGCAUGUUCUAAUGAUUGUAUUUGGUAUAGAAACCAGUAUAAGGAUGCUAUUGCAUGCCUAACUUGUGGAAAGUCAAGGUGGAAGAUAAACAAUGAGGGGAAAAAGAUUAAGAAGGGGCUUCCUUCAAAGGUUUUGUGGUAUUUCCCACCAAUCCCUAGAUUCAAAAGGAUGUUCCAAUCCUCAAAAAUCGUUAAACAUCUUAUGUGGCAUGCCAAGGAUAAAGAAUAUGACGGUAAACUAUGCCACCCAUCAGACUCCUCAGCGUGGAAACUAGUUGACCAUAUGUGGCUUGAUUUUGCUUCUGAACCGAGAACCUUAGACUAGCACUCUCAACAGAUGGUACAAAUCUUCAUAAGUCUAUAAGCAAUAGACAUAGUUGUUGGCCUGUUAUACUGAUCAUAUACAACCUUCCUCCUUGGUUGUGCAUGAAAAAGAAGUUUAUGAUGCUAUCAUUAUUGAUCUCAGGACCACGACAACCUGGUAAAAAUAUAGAUGUUUACUUGAGUCCAUUGGUAGAUGACCUUAAAACUUUGUGGGAAAAAAAAGUUGAGACUUAUGAUGCACACUUGCUUGAGGUUUUUACUUUAAAGGUCAUCAUUUUAUGGACAAUCAAUUAUUUCCCUACAUAUGGAAACUUGGCCAAUUGCACCGUGAAAGGAUAUUAUGCAUGUCCAAUAUGUGGAGAAGGAACAUAUUCCCAAAGAUUAAAGUAUGGUAGGAAGAACUUGUAUAUGGGUCACCGACGAUUUCUUCCACGUAACCAUCCCUAUUGGAGACAAAAGAAGGCAUUCAAUGGUGAACAAGAUUUUAGAAUUCCUCCUAAAAUUUUGAGUGGAGAAGAAAUACUUGAAAAAGUUGAUCUCAUUCCUAUUUCUUGGGGAAAAAUGAAGAUAAAAUCUCUUGAACUGAUGUGAACACAAAUUAUUGGAAAAAAAAGUCCAUAUUUUUUGAGUUAGAAUAUUGGAAAUAUCUUCAUAUCCUUCACAACUUAGAUGUCAUGCACAUCGAAAAGAAUGUCUGUGAGAGUAUUAUUGGUACUUUGUUUAACAUCCCAGGAAAACAAAAAGAUGGACUUAAUGCUCAACUUGACCUAGUUGAAAUGGGUUUAAGGUCUGAACUUUUCCCAAGAGUUGACUUGAAGCGGACCUAUCUUCCCCCUGCAUGUUAUUCACUAUCCAAACAUAUAUGACAAAAAAUUAGUUUGUCAAACAUUGUCUAAUUUGAAGGUCCCUGAGGGGUAUUGCUCAAAUUUUAGAAAUCUUGUCUCCUUAAAGGAAUUGAAGUUAUUUGGUUUAAGAUCCCAUGACUACCAUGCACUUAUGCAACAACUAUUGCUAGUGGCAUUACGUUUUGUUUUGCUAAAGCAUGUGAGAUAUACUAUAUCAAGAUUGUGUAUCUUCUUCAAUCAAUUAUGUACAAAAAUGGUUGAUGUGCCAAAAUUGGAUGAAGUACACAAUGAGUUAGUGGUCACGCUGUGCUUACUUGAAAAGUAUUUUUCACCUUCAUUUUUUGAUAUUAUGCUUCAUCUAGUAGUGCAUUUGAUAAGGGAGGUGUGACUAUGUGGUUCAGUUUACUUUAGGUGGAUCUACCCAUUUGGGAGGUAUAUGAAAGUUCUUAAAGAAUUGUUCGCAAUCAUAAUUGGCUUGAAGGAUGCAUUACUAAGUGCUAUUUAACAGAAAAAGCUAUUGAAUUUUGUACUGAAUAUUUAUUAGGGACUCAUGCAAUUGGAAUUCCAAAAGCAACAAUUAUGACAACAAAUUUGGUAGACCUAUAAUUGGUGGUCGUUCUACCAUCAUUGAUCAUAAAUUGUGGUUACAAGCACAUCAUUAUCUAUUAGAGAAUACAACUAUCGUCCAACCAUACACUGAGUAAGAAAAACAUACCUUUAUCUUUUUAUAAUUUCAUAACAUAAUGAUGAAAUCCUAAGUUUGCAUUCCUUGUCUUUAACGUCAUAAGGAACACAUGAAUUGGUUGAGGUCUCAAUACCCUCGACAAUCUAAUAGACAAAUUUGGUUGCAAGAAGAACAUAUGAGUUGUUUUACAUAUUGGCUUAAAGAAAAGGUAAUCUCUUAGUUUUUAGAAAAUUUUUCAAUAUGUUGAAAACAUCACAAGUUUCCAAUAUGUUUUGAUUAUACAUAGGUUGAAGAGGCUAUCCAUAAUGGGCAAGAUAUUCCCGACACACUUAGGUGGUUAGCACAUGGCCCUACUCUCCAGGUAGUCAAAUAUCCUGGAUAUAUCAUUAAUGAGUGUUGUUACCAUAUUAAGAAACGCGAUAUGACAUGCAUCACCCAAAAUAGUGGUGUUUUUAGCAAGACUAUGCAAAUUGCUAGUUCUAAGGAUAAGAACCUAGUUUGUGGUGAACUUUGCUUUUAUGGGGUCAUUAAUGAGAUAUGAAAUCUUGAUUACAACAUGUUCACAAUUCUAAUUUGCAAGUGUGAUUAGGUUGACAACAAGAAUGGUAUAAAAGUUGAUGAACUCAGGUUCACAUUAGUUGACUUCUCCAAAAUAGGUCACAAAUUGGAUCCAUUUAUUUUAGCAUCACAAGCCAAGCAAAUCUUCUAUGUUGAAGAUCAACUUGAUCCUAAAUGGUCAAUAGUUCUCUCAAUUCCUCCAAAAGAUUUCAAGAACAUAGAAGGACUAGAUGACUUCACCGAUAAUUGCAUGGAACAUCACCCCUUUAUAAGUUCAAUGCCAGAAUUUGAAUCAUUUGAUGCUAUGGAUGAAUCAUAGGCAAUACACAUGAGAGAAAACUGUGAGGGCAUAUGGAUUGAAAAGAAUUAAAUAACAUAUUGUACCCUUGAAUGAGAUAUAAUAAGGCAUUUCACUUAUUAGUUUUCAUGAGUUGCACAUUAACUUAGCUUCUAUAUAUUGCUCAUGAUAUAUCUAUAUAUAUUAAUCAUCCUAAAUUUCUUUCAUGCAUCAUAAACAUAUGUUAUUCAAAGGUACCACUUCAAUCUUCAUUCAACUAUCUUUUUGUUGUCCAUAGAACUAGAUUUAUAUUAUUUUUUAUUAUCAUGUUUUGAUUUUAUGCUCACAUAACUUGAAACUCUCAUUCCUAAAUUUCUUUUUCAUUAAAACUAUAAAUCAUAAUUGAAACUAUGCACUAAUUUAUUUUAUUAUUAUCCUCACAAAUAAAUUCUUCAUUAUUGAUAAGAAAUCAAAAAACAAGACAAACUUUGAAAGAAAAUUUCAAAAAAUAUAUUUGUGAAUGACCAAUUUAAUUAUAGAAAAUAUAUGCAAGGCUAUACUAAUCUUGCUUUUGAGUCAUUUUACAGGUUUGUUGGUGAAGUACUAGUUUGCACAUUUACUUGAUAUCUUCCACACAAAUAUGGAUCUAGAAGAAGGGGAAAUGCCAAAAAUAAAGCAUAGAUGUAGUGCAUUGAAACCAAAGAUUGCAAAAAAUCAAAGUAAAGGGAUAAAACUCAAGAUUGAAUACAAUAGCCUUGGUAGUCCCAUUAAGGAAAAUUCAGUUAAACUAAGUAGUUAUCUUAGUACAAUAACUAGAACCCAUGUGCUAAUAAUUAUUGAGAGUUGGAGGAAAGUCCCUAAAGAGACUAAGGAGAAGUUGUGGGAUUUGAUCACAGUAAGCCUAUCUAUAGCUUUAAUAUAUAAUUAUUGUAUACAUUCAUUAACAUGAGCUAAUAUGGGUUGUUAUUUUGUAGACAAGCUUUAAUGUGAAUAAAAAAUCCAAGAGGAAUUGUUUCAUACUAAUGGGCAUCAGGUUUCGAACCUUUAAGUACAAGUUGACAAAGAAAUAUAUAUUGUCUUUCAAGAAUGACCAAAAAAGCUGAAAAAGUCACCUCCUAUUUACCCAUUCAUACAAGAGGAUCAUUGGAGACAGUUUGUUAAAGAUAGACUUUUUGAACAUUUUAAUGUUAAGCAUUAUUUUUAUUACAUCUUCAAUUUUCACAUUUACGUAGUUUCAUUAUGUACUAAUUUUGUGUCUAUAUUUUGUAGGAAUAUCGCAAAGUUUAGAAAUCAAGAAGAGAUAAACACAUUUACAAUCAUUAUCUUGGAAGAAAAUGAUAUGCACGUUUUGAGCAAGAUAUAGUAAGUUAUCAAUAUCCAUAAAAAAAAUGGAGUAUAUAUUUUGUUUAUAGGAAAAUGAUUCUAGUUUUUAAAUAUCAUUUAUUAACUUGAUCAUGUUGAACUAAUGAGUUUUAUUGUUAAAAUUUUUAUAGCUACAAGCAGAAGGGGCUAUUGGUAGGGUUGAUAGAAGUGUUUAUGAAAGAAAACACGUGAGAAGAAAGGAAAGUUUAAUAAGAUUACAAAGCUAAUGAUUAACUAAGUUAGCAUAUUUAUGCCUUUUAGAGCCUAUAGUGUUAGUAUGUCUAUGUGAUUAUGGUUUGGGAUGAUAUCGUUAGGUGUUAAUAGGGAAGAGGCUUAAUGCUAUCAUUUUUAUGAGUAGUCAUGUUAUAUUAGUGCAAAUAUAGUAGCCUAAUUUGAAAAUUAAUUUUGAAACAAUAUACAUUAAUUUAUCUAUUAUCAUUUUUAUUAAAACAAUUCAUUUUCUAGCUACCUUGAAUUGGUCCUCUUGAAUUGGUUGUCUUUGAUUGAUAUGUUAAUCAUCUUCAUCAAAUUAUUACUAAUAUAUGUUUUGUUGUAGGAUGAAUUACUAGAAAAGGCAAGGAGACUGGACUACCUCCACUUGGUCCAAAUGACAUAUUAUGUCAGGCAUUGGGUAAGCUUGAUCAUCUAGGACGUGUGGUAGGUCAAGACCGCUUGGUUAGGUCGAACUCAUACUUUCAUCAACCAUUUGAUGACAUGAAAAAAAAAAUCAAAGAAGAAAUAUGGGAAAUGGUGUGAAAGGGGAUGCAAGAUGCUGUAACAAGACAAACUAUGUCUCCUCCCACACCCCAUUCUGAUAUAGGUAGUAAUAACAUGAGACAACAACUUGUUUUACAACUAGUUGUAGCAAAAAAACCAAUGUUUAAAAUGAUGGAAGAGCCCCAACCACCAGAACCACCACUGAAACGUAAGGUAUACAUUUACUUACUAAUAAUACAAGAUUAAUAUAAGUGAUAUAUAGCCUAUGUAAAUGAUAUUAUUUGUUGUAUUAAAGGUGAUUAAAUAUAAAUUAGCAGUGGAAUGAAAAUGAAAUGUUGUUGCAACUGGUACAUUAAUAGAAGAAAAUUGAUCAAAUGGGUUGGUCGUAAUAAAUGUUGCACACAAGCUAGAUGCUAGACUUCCAUUUCCAAAUCCAUAUGAGAUUAUCAAUGUUGGGGAUGCUAUUGGCUUUAAGCUUGACUGGCCAACAAGCCUUGUCAUACUUGAAACUAAACAUCCUCGGGUAUGUCAUUUUAUACUUGUAGUAAAUUUGAUUGUAACUUGGUAUUUUAUUGUUUAGGAGUAUAUAUUACUAACAUUCCUUCAUUUUUCAUAGGUGUUGGAUAAAGGAAAGAAGUAGAUAGUGAAUGCACCAAUUAUUCGAAAAUCUAAGCCUCAAAAUUAUUCGGUCAUUAAAAAUUUUCAGAAAUUUAUGGAUGGUUGUCUUAGUAAUGAGAAGACAUACCCAAUACAGCUCCCCAUUUCACUAUUUGGUGUCGAAUUCCGAACAUAUAUAUCUAGAGAGGAUUGUGAAUACAUUAUUUCAUCUUCAGAGGUGUUAUCAAAAUGCAUCUCCUUCCAUUUAUGGUGUGCACCUUUUAUUUUCAUUUGUUUUUAUUUUUUUAAUAUGAGUUGCCCCUGUUGAACAAGAUUGGAUAUGACUAAUGAUAAUUUUCUUUUGGUGUUUUGAUAAUAUAAUAGGUACAUGCAUGAUCAACUACAUAUUGCCAAAAAGGAAUCACAAUUUAUAUUUGUUAAUCCUUUUACAAUAUCAUGAGCAGGCUUUAGUAAUCCUCAAAUAGAGAAAAGAACACAAUUGUUGUCAAAACACUUAAUAGAGUGCCAAGAUGUCAGAUAUGUUUUCAUGCCCUACAACCCCGAGUAAGUGACGAAUAUUAUACUUUAAUUUGAGGUUUUAUGAUUGAUUUAUAUUUCUAAUUAGAUGCUACUUUUGUUUUUAAUGUUUUAGCUUUCAUUGGGUCUUGGUAGUGAUUGAGCCAAGGAAAAUGAUAGUCCACUAUCUUGACCCUGUGCAUCACAAACCAUGUGAGGACUUAAAGGAUAUCGUAAACAUGUAAGUUCUUCCUAUUAUUUUUCAUAGUAUUAUUUAAAAAAAAAAAUUACAUUCACCUCAAACACAUUUUUUAUUGUUAUUUCUAUAUAUUAAAACAUAUAACAUUUACCUAUUUUAAAAUUGUACCCAUUGAACUUAUUUACAUAGGGCUCUUUAAAUAUUUGCAAAGAAAACAUCUAAGAGAGAGCCAUCUUGGCAACUAGUGCAAGUGACAUCCAAAAAUUUUCUUUAAACAUUUAGCUUAUGCAUUUGCACCAUUUAUAUAUAUGAGUACUAAUGUUAUUUAUAACUGAUCCAUUAGUGUCCAAGACAAGAAGGAGGGUUCGAAUGUGGCUACUUUGUUAUAAAAUUCAUUAAAGAGAUAAUUUUUUAUCCUACAAUGAUUGCUUCAAAGGUAUUACUUAUUUAAUGAAUUGUACAUAUUUUUAGGCUUCCAAAUGUUAUGCAUUUUAAUGUUAUUUUCUUAUUUGAUUUUAGUUUGGUGAUAAAAAAACAUAUUCUCAAGUAGAAUUCAAUGAAAUUAAAGGAGAAUUGACUACUUUUGUGCUACAACUAAUCAUGAAUCAUGUUGAUGCAUCAUGAUCACCAUGCAUGGUGAGUCCCUUAGCUACUACAUGAAUUUUUCCAUAGAUAUUGUAUAGUAUUGCUUUUCUUUGAACAAUGUUUUUAUUUGAAAAAAAGAAAAAAAAAGUUCUUAGAUUUGUUCAUUUAUGAUAACAUCGAUCCAUAUUUAUUUUCUUCAAUGAAAUCUAUAAAACUCAUUAAACUAUGAAAUGCAGGUAUACACUCUUAGGAGGGUGGAAUAGAGAAUAAAAAGAACAAAGAAGGCAACAAGAUUUUGGGUUUUUAAAUACAGCUUGUAUGUCAUACGUUGAAGGACAUAAACGUUACUUUAAUUGGUAGUGAGAAUUUUAGAUUUUUAGAUGCUACUUUUAUGUCAUUUUCUUGUAGUGCAAAUUACUUAUCUUACUAUGCAUUGGGCUUUGAUAUUAGCCAAAGAUAGUAGUGGCUCCUAAUUUUUAUCCUUAACUGAAAUGAAAACAUCAAGCAGGUCCCCAGCCUCUUUUUCGCCAUUCUUCCACUAUUCUACUAUUUGGUCCAUGAUUGGAUCAUGGUACUUGUUAAUGGUGUUCAUAGCCUCCCUUAUAGUUUUUUCAUGGCCAUCUAAAUUCAGCACUCUCUGCCAUGGGAAGUAAUCAGAUAAAGAGAAUACAUAUAGAUGAGCAAGUAUAGUAAAGAAGGAUUCAACAUGUUGCUCCACUUCAACUCCAGGGCCUCCAUCUUUCUUUCGUUGGCCAAAGUAUCUUGUGUUGAGGAUCAUCUUUCAGAUGACAUUCCCGUUGUAUUGACGGACUUUAUUUCUGUCACACCCCAAAUACUAGGCAACCCAGAACUUGACUCGUGACCCUAGGUCAAAUGUUUGACCCUAAGAGUUACUCUUAUCCAUGUUGGCAAUCAAUCAAAACACCCUGGAUUUUUUUUCUUUUCAAUAAAGCGUUUAAUCCUAAAUAAAUUUAUUAAGCUAAGAUUUACUAUAACAUAUCAUUUUAUUUUUCCAAAACUAACCAUCACAUUAUCUCCUGUUCACAAGUAUUAAAAAAAAAAAAAAUUCCACCAAUCAUCUUCUUACCCAAAAUCUCAAAUAUUUACUAUAAUCUCUAAGUCAAAAAGAAUAUUUCCAAAAAUGUUUUACAAACUAAUAAAAUAUAAUUUAACUUAAAAAAGUCCAUAUAACUCAAAUUAGUAGAUGUCAAAAAGGUAAUUAAAAAAAAACAACCAUUAUUAUGGUUUUUUUGCUUUUUAGAACACUUCAUGAUCUUCUUAUGGUCCCUUAGAAACUAUAUCUGCAUCUAAAAAUUUUAGAAAAUAAAGGGAUGCACAUUUCCACGUUACUCUUUAGACCUAAAUGGGUUAGAAAUUCUAAGUCAAUAAAACACAACCAUAUGCCAAAAUAUAAUAUUACAUUUACAUUAUACACACUAAAAGAAACCUCAACCAUACAAAUUUAAAUCAAUCAAAAUUAUCAUUUUCCUUAUUUAAUCAUAUGUUUAGCAUAUCAAUAAUUUUAAAUUUACAAAAUAAAUAAGUCACUUUAGUCUUGAAUAAUAUAUUCAAACAUAUACUUGAUAAAUAAUACAAAUCAUUUUUCCAAAUGCAACCAUGAUACAAAUGCUUACACACAAUCACGCAAUGCAAUAUCGUUCUCGAGCUUUCACCGAAGGAUAUGCAUUUAUACCCAAAUACACUCCCCAUUCGGAGUCUUCCUGGGAUAAAAUUUUGAGUCUUUCACCCUAAGGAUCUCACUCCCUUCUUAACUCACCAUCUCUAGGGUCAUUCAAUUUCUUAUUUUUCUUUUCUUUUCAUUUUUGCCAUUUUUGGGGUCUUUUCAUUCUCAUUUCCAUUUCACACAACCAUUUCUUCAAUUUUUAUUUUUCUUCACACAAUCAUGAUGCAUAUGAAAUGCAACUGAAUCAUAUUUUAACAUCCAUAAUUUUCCAAGACAUAAUUUUAUUUACUCCCAUUAUGUUUCAUAAUUUCCAAUAAUCCACACAACGAUUUUUCUUCACUUUAAUCGUCACAAACAUAAAAGAAAAUUCACAAUUAAUUUGUAUAGCAUCAAAACAUAGUUUUAAACAUUGACCACAUAAAUUCUAUUUAUUCCCGACAUGCUUAAUAAUUUCCAAAUCCAAUAUAACCAUUUUUUUUUCAAUUAAAUAAUCACACAUAUCCAAGAAAAUUCUCGCUAAUACAAAUAUCAACAAAAAUGUAAUUUAUGUCAUAAUUUAUUUGUCUCCAAUAAUUUCAAAAAUUUUGACACCCAUAUGACAAAUUUCCACAAUUAAGCCACCCCAAUAUUUGGGAAAAAUUUUCCAAUAAUUCAAAUAUCAACAAAAACCCAAUUUAUAUCAUCAUUUUAUUUAUUUUUAAAAGCAUUAAUAAUUUUAAUAAUCAAUACAACACUUUUCCACAAUUAAGCCACCACAAAAUUUUGGGAAAAUUUUCCAAUAAUUCAAAUAUUAACAAAACACAAUUAUACCUUAAUUUUUCUUAUCUCUGACAACAUCAAUAAUUCUUAGUACUCAAUACAACUAUUUUUAUUUUUUCAUAUUUAAUCUUCUCAAACAUUACCAAAAUUCCAAGAAAAAUUUAUAAAUCACGAAAUAAAAUUAUUCACAAUAAUAAUCACACUUCAAAUACUACAAAUAACAUCUAUUAUAUUUCAACAACACAAUAUAUAAUUUUUUUUGAAAGAAAAUAUUAAAUCAAAGUUUUAGGGUUAAAUCACCCUACCUUAAAUUUGAAAAAUUUAACCAUUAAAACUAAAACGGGACACCGUAGGAGUGUUCCUCGCAUUGAAUAGAAUAUCCUUCCAAAAUUUUAUGUGAAAUGGACGUCAUUUGGUAGGUCCACCAGCAUCCUAAAGCUGGCGACCCAUUUUUCCCACUCUUUGCCGACGACUUCCCUACAUCUCUUACUCGAUUUCCUUUCUUCAUUUUCUUUUCUUCUUCUUCUUUUCUUCUUCUUCUUUUAAACUCCCACGCCAAUUUCACUUUAUAUAUAUAUAUAUAUAUAUAUAUAUAUAUAUAUAUGUAUGUAUGUAUGUAUUAUUAAAACAAAUCCUAAAAUACCACGCACAUCCAUUUCUCAAUAAAUUAAAACCAUUAUUCUUAAAUUCACCUUCCGUAAUUAUGAAUUAUACCAAACUUAUGAUUUUCCAUUUCACGAAAAAUACCACCGUAUUCGUAAUUUAAUUUACUACAAGUCUACUCUUCAAAAAGUAUAAUUUGAUUAUAAUUACAUGAAACAUUGUUUUUUUACUCUAAAAUUCAUUUAAAACAUGAUAUAAUUAACUAUUAACAAAAUUCAAUUCCAUAAAAUAUUAAAAACAUAAAAUAAUUUUUUGGCAAUCAAGAAGUUGAAAUUUGUAAUAACCCUAAACCCGUUAAUUUUACCUAUAUUUAUUUACCAAAAAAAAUUUAAAUAAUAUUCUAAAAUUUAAUUCCAUAAAUUAAUUAGUCAUUCAAUUUAUAAAAAUCAAAUUCUCUACCCUUUGGUAUAACUUUUAUUUAAUUUACUUCAUUUUUCAAAUUAUUCAAUCGCAUCAAAAUUUCAAAAGUUAAAUUCACUAAAUUCACAUUUAAUUAAUUUAUCAUUUUGUAUUUUUUUUUUUUCUAAAUUCGCAUAUCAUAAUUUAAUCUUAAUUUAAUUUUGAUUCAAUUUUGUUUUAGGUUUUCUAAUUUUAUGAGGUUUAAUUUCAAUUAUAAAAAUUAAAUUCAAUUUCUUUUUAAUUAUCCAUUAUCACAAUUUGAUAUAAUAUAAUUUUUUAUCAAGUUUUUCUUACUACGAUUUUUCUUAUAAUUAUCCAAUAAUAAUUAAAUUAAUUCUCGUAACAUAUUUAAUAUUCAAAUUUUAAAAACUUAAUCUCAAUUAUUUGAUGGUUAUUUUUUUUUUCUCAAAAUCUAAAUUUAAUUUAUGAAAUUCUCACUUCUUACAUCUGACGUGGCAAAAUUUUCAAACUAUUGACUUUUGACCAACUUUUCCUAAAUUUAUCCUAAUUAAAUACUAACACAUGGAUUUUCACCACUCUUUUUGAUCUUUUGACCCACAAAUUUAUGAAAGACUUUAUACUUGGAGAAUCUACAAAAACCUGGGUAUUACAAUUUCUCAGGUUGAUAACUGUCGUGGUUACGAAGCCACCACUUGAAUACUCAAUCGCCAUUGUAAUGGGCCUAGAUGCAAAUAGUACAUCAUGUUUCUUCAAAAGUUCUCUGCUAAUCUCUGGGAAAGUCGUAGGGACAAGAUGAAAUAUUUCCCAAUUGAAUACAUGCAAUUUCAGUGUUCAUUUCUUUCAUAAAGCCAAUGUAUCCACCAGAAAGUUGGCUUUUUGUUGAGUAAAUGAGGUAGAUAUUGCACUAGUGGCCAUGGAGCUAAUCCUGGAGGAAGUUGUAUCGGCUUGCUUUUGGUACUUGUUUUGGAUUUUAAUUUAGUGAAGAUGAGAAAGAUUGAUGUGAUGAAAAGCAGUAAGAGGAAGUUGAAAUGAGACAACACAUCGUCUGUGGUAGUAGAAGAAAACAAGGUUGAGUUACUGCUACUACUCUCUGCAACAAAGCCAUUUACACGUCUUUUAUGGCAAAACCAUGUUUGUCCUAUCUUGGGUCUGGAUGCACAUUUUUAAUAUUGGGGAAAUCAUGCAACCAAAUGUCACACACAAAGAGAGAGAAAAAAAUACGUUUUUUAGAACUUGAAAAGGUAAAGUGGGACAAAAAAUAUUAUCCAUUCUUGAACUCUAAAAGUAAAGUUAUAAAAAGCUUAGUUUUUUUUUUUUUGUUAUGUAUGAUUGCAUGAUUUCCCCCUUUUAAGAUUUUAUCUCAUAAAAUUUUUUUCUAGAAGGUUCAAAUAAGUUUGAUGAAUAUUGUUUAUUUUAGUAAUUUUAAUUUUAUGGGGUACUUAAAACAUUAGAAGUUCACAAAAAGCAACAUUUAUCAGCUACCUAUCUAAAAAGCUUGGCCUAAUCAUUGAAAUCCAAAAUAUAAAGUGACAACACACUUUUUAAAGCAAUUUUCAAAAUAGUUUUUAAAAACACAUUUAUUUAUGAUAUUUUUAAAAUAAAAAUCUCAAAAAUAACUUGUUUAUAUUACUUUUUAUUAGACAAAUACUUGAUCUUUAUAAGAUCACCCUAAUUAUAGAUUUAUGAACAUGUAACACAGCAAUUAUCUAUAUAUAUACUUAGAAUUAUUAUAUUUUAAGUUUUUAACUACAUAGGACAUCAUGAGUUUUUCCACCAUUUAUCUUAUAAUAAGUUUAUUUAAAUAUGAUAAAGGAUAUAUUAUCUCAUUUCUUAUUAUAUCUGAUGCUAUAUAUAUAUAUAUAUAUAUAUAUAUAUGUAACAAAUCAAAUACAAUUUAAAGAUUUUAAUUAACCAUCUAUUAGCAACAAAGCAAUCUCUUAAUCUCAUUCAUAAUAUUAGGAUAAUUUAGUAUUUCCUUUUAUAAAACACUAGCAUAUAAAUCAGCACAAAUCAUAUUAAGGGUGUAUUUGGUGUUGAUUUUAGAAAGCGUUUUUAGUAUUUCUAAUACUUGAAAGAUAAAAAUUUUCAAGUUUUAGAAAGAUCAAAAGCGCUUUUUAGAAUGACUAUCAAAUACAUGCUAAAUAUUACUUUUGGAUACUUAUAUUUUUAAAUAACUCUUAAAACUUUUAAGGCAAGUCUCUACUAUUCAUAUAAACCCCCUAUUAUUUUUAAUUCUUAGAAACAAAAAAUAAAGAAUAAAAACUCCAUUUAAACAUCACCUUAUUAUUUCCUAUUAUAAAAUAACACAAAUCAAAUGAAUUAUUUAAAAAUAAAUAAAUAUAAAAUCAAAGUUGAAGAGAAAAAACUCUUGUGCAUUAAAAAAACAUCAAAAUAAAUAAAUAAAUAAAUAAAUAAAACAUCAUCAAAUAAAUGUAAAAAUAAAUUAAUGUUAUGGAAAAAUGAGAAUAGGCAACAAGAAAAUAAGAACACAGAUUUACAUGAAAAAUGCUAGAUGGGAAAAACCAUGGAUAGAGGAGAAGAAAAUCCACUAUAUUAAAAAUUUGGUAUAAAAUGUGACAGAAUCAAGUGAGUAUUGUAUAGGCAUAAUCACUAUGACCCUAAAUCCUAUACAUCAUCGCAUAUGUAUGGUGUAUGCGAUAAUAUUUGUGAUAAUAAAAAUAUUGUCGCAUAAAAUAACUAUGGGAUGUAAUAUUUGUAAUAAUAUUCUUUACAAAAAAAAUAUUUUUUCUUUGCUUUAUUCACUUUGAUCACAACUUGAAAUAAGACAAUAAAAAUAUUUUCUUAAUUUUUGAAAAUUAAUUGAGGACUUAGAGCUACUUGUUACUGAGUGAAUUUGCUGAAUGGUGAAGAAUGUGUGUAUAGUAGUUUUGCAAUUUUUCAAACUUGUAGACAUAUUUUGUGAAGUCUUUUUCUCUUUGUAAAGCCCCAUUUUCUUUGUGUAGUUAUUUUUUCAAUAUUCUCUUUGGAAGGAAUUUACCAUUAGUUAUAUAGGUAAGAUUAAGGAAUUAAAUUUGGAAUUCUUAAGAUUUGAUUGCUUAAUUCAAAGAAUUUGGUUCAAGGGAAAUUUGCCAACAAAAUAAUAUUUAUUUUUAAUUCUAUGAUGACUUUAAUUAUUUGAUAUAAUUUUAUUUUGAAAGACUUGAUGUGGGGGACUCAUCACUUAUUGAGUCCAAAUUUUGUUGCACCCAAAUUUUUAUGAGCUAAGAAACCAUAAUUUUAAAGACCAAUUCAGUGGUAAGUGAAUCUGCUAAAAUCUUCUAUGUACAAAUGACCUCACUUCAAGGUGCAACACAUACAUGUAUUAUUAUGUGUAUGGGAUGAGUCUUGAAGUUAGUCUUCAUUCUUCUUUGAUUUUUUUUUCUUCAAAUAAAUAAAUAAAACAUCAUCAAAUAAAUGUAAAAAUAAAAUAUGUAUCGGUUAAUUGGAGAGGAGAGCUUUAAGGGCAUUUCUUCUAUGAAAUUCUAUGCUCCACGUACCAUAAAUUUGUACUCAACCAACAAAAUUACAGAAUGGGUCCAUGCACAAACAAAAAUAACUCAAAUGUAAAUAUCUAAAAAUGUAUAAAGUUCACAAUAGAUAUUCAAGCCCAAAUUUAAAUUUCAAAUUAGUCCAAUAGAUUUCAUCAAUCAAAAUGGGUCCAAAUUAGCAAAUAUAACCCAACAAAAAUAUCUCAUAUGUCAUAGGCCCUAAUUUAAAAUUUUCAAAUUAAUAGCCAAAAUAUAAGUUCAAUUAAUCAAACCCAAAACAUGAUAAAUUAAAAUAAAUCUCAUUAGGCCUAUACUUAAUAUCCCAUAAUUCAAGCCUAAUUUAAUAUAUAAACCUAAAUCCACAAUCAAAAUCAACCCAAUUUAUGCUAAUCCCGAUUUACAAUCAAAAUCAAACAUAAUUUAAUAAGUAAAUAACUAAAUAAAUUAAGCAAACUCAAAACACCCAAACCACUACAACAUAAAUCAAACAAUAAUAAAUAUAAUGACAAUAAUAAUAAUAAUAAUAAUAAUAAUAAUAAUAAUAAAAUAAAAUAAAAUAAAAUAAAAAAAUUUAACUCAUGUCGGAGCCAGUUUGAAUGUCUUGGGAAAGAAAGAAAAUGAGAGAAAAGUGAGAGAUGAUUGACAACUGACAGUGGCUCACUGGCGACGACUGGCUAGUGGUCCUACCGAUGGUAGUGAGGAUUGAUUGGUUUUUGGGAAAAAAAAUAAAAUGAAGAAAAGAAAAUGAGGUGUAAUAAAAAAAUGGAGAAUUGAGAGGAAGGUGGGAGAAGAAUGGAGAGAGAGAACAUAGAAAAUGAGUGAAAAGAAAUGAGGCUAGUUGGAGGAGGAAGUGGUAGUGUGUGAGCUAAAGUGAAGAAGAAUAGAAGAAGAAAAUGGAGAAGAAUGGGGAAAAAAAAUCCGCCUCCUUAAAUGAAGAGAGGUGGGUAGCCUAAAGAAGAAGAAAAAAUAAAAUAAAAUAAAAUGGGGAGAAAAUGAGAGGGGGUCGGUGGUCUUGUGAAUGAGGUGGUAUGCGUUAGAGAGAGAGAGUGGGUGGGGUUGUUGGGGAAGGUAUGAGAGAGAGAGGAGAGAGAAAAGAAAAAAAAGAAAGAAAAGAAAAAAGAUAAUAUAAAAUAAUAAUAAUAAUAAAAUAAAAUAAUAUACAAAAUAAUAAAAACUAAUAAUUAAAUAGUGAGUGGGCAAAAAAUAUCAUAUGUAAUCGGGAUUUAAUUUUAAGAGUAAAAUUGGGUUAAAAAUUAAUGUAAAAUAAAAUUAGGACAAAUUUUGGGGUAUACAAAUAUGCGCCUCUUCGGUAGAGUCCACGAGUAAAGCAAGUGUAUAUGUGAGCAAAACAAAGUGGGCUCUACUGAAAAACAAGACAAACCACCAAAUUUGUCUUAAUAUGACAUGAACUCUCCCAAAAAAAAAAAAAAAAAAAAAAUCUAAAACCCUACAAAAAUGGCCAAAACGGAAACUCCUAAGGUGCCUUUAAAGUUAUACUAUGGAUCUAGACUCCCUUAGAAAAGCCUCCAAAAAUGGCCCAAAAAUCGGUGUCAAAAUCGAGUAGCAAUCAGACCACUAAGGAGCACAUGAACGAAUGCAUACAAAGGGAAAAAAACCAUACGUGUACCAUACGAUGACAAAAGGCAUAAGGUAUCCAACAAUAUGACUGAUUCACGUGUUACGAGCUCAAAGAACUUUGUCAUGCACCAUGGAGGAAGGGAAACUCUAGAAUAAUGUGAUGAGGAAGUUAUUAGCACAAUGUAAUAGAGUGAGGAAAAAAGUGAUGAGUGCAAAGCUGUGAGGACAAGGUGCACAAUGCUAAUGAAUAUGAAAUGAAUAGCACUAGGCUAUAAUGCAAUGAAUAGCUCAGGGUUGUACCAUAAUGAACAAGUCAAGGAUGUGUAAAGAUGAGGAACAACUCAAGGUUGUAAUGCAAUGAACAACUUAGGGUUGUGAAUGCAAUGAACAGCUCAGCGCAAUGAAUGAAAUGAAUAGCUCAGGGCUGUGAAUGCAAUGAACAACUCGAGGUUGUGGAUGUAAUGAACAACUCAUGGUCAUGGAUGCAAUGAACAGCUCAGGGCUGUAGAUGAACAACUCAGGGUUGUGGAUGUCAUGAACAACUCAAGAAUAGGGGCACUGUACACCCAAAAUGGGAGAUCACGGUCUACGAUUCCAAGUCAAACCACUAAAGGGUGACCAAAAUGAGGGUGAUCAACUCACUAAAAAAGAUGAUCAAAAUGUCUUAAGGGAGAGGAGAUGCCCCAGAUGAAACUUAAAGGAAGUGAGUAGUGCUAAUGAAACUAAAAAAAGAAAAAAUGUCACAACUGAAAUUGAAAAAAUAGCAAACUUAGAUUAAAGUGCAAUGAACAACUUUGGGUUGUGGAUGCGAUGAACAGUACCUUGUUGUAAUGAAAUGAAUAACUCUAAGAUAUGGGCAUUGUACGCCUAAAGAGGGAGAUCGUGGUUUACGACUCCAAGUCAAACCACUAAAGGACGACUAAAAUAAGAUGAUCAACUUACGAUAAAUGAGAAUGCAACUAUCUCGAGAAAAAGGGUAUGCCCCAAAUGACACUCAAUAGUAAAAGAAUGACACAAAUGAAACUAAAACAAGAGGAUGCCACAAAUGAAACUGAAAUGAUAACAGACUCAGUACUAAUGUGUAAUGAACAACUUUGGACUAUGGAUGCAAUGAAUAGCACUGGGUUGUAAUGAAAUGAACAACUCUAAGAUGUGGGCACUAUACGCCUAAGAAAUGAGAUCAUAGUUUACGACUCUAAGUCAAACCGCUAAAGGGCGACUAGAAUAGGAUAAUCAACUCACUAAAAAUGAGGAUGCAACUAUCUCGAGAAAGGGGGUAUGCCCUAAAUGACACUCAACAGUAUAAGAAUGACAUAAAUGAAACUAAAAUAAGAGGAUGCCACAAAUAAAACUAAAAUGAUAACAAACUCAAAACUAAUGUGCAAUGAAUAACUCUAGGUUGUGGAUGCAAUGAACAACACUGGGCUGUAAUGAAAUGAACAACUCUAAGAUGUGGGCACUAUACGCCUAAAGAGGGAAAUCACGGUCUACGACUCCAAGUCAAACCACUAAAGGGCGACUAGAAUAGGAUGAUCAACUCACUAAAAAUGAGAAUGCAACUAUCUCGAGAAAAGAGGGAUGCCCUAAAUGACACUCAAUAGUUAAAGGAUGACACAAAUGAAACUAAAACGAAAUGAUACUACAAAUGAAACUGAAAUGAUAACAAACUGAUAACUAAAGUGCAAUGAACAACUCUAGGCCGUGGAUGCAAUGGACAGCUCAAGAAUAGGGGAACUAUUCGCCCAAAAUGGGAGAUCGUGGUCUGCGACUCUAAGUCAAACCACUAAAGGGUGGCUAAAAUCAAAAUGAUCAAUUCACUAAAAAUGAGGAUCUGAACAUCUCAAGAAAGGGGUUAUGCCCCAAAUGAAACUGACAAUAGAGGGAUGCCCUAAACAGACUGAAAAAAGGAGGAUGCCUUAAACAAACUAACGAAAAAUGGAUGCCCUAAACAAAUUGACGGAAGUGAAAUGCCCUAAAUAAACUGACCAAAGAAGAAUGCACUAAACAAACUCCAAGAAAAAAAAAGAAGAAGUAUGCGAUAUAGAAUCAAAAACACCUAAAACAAAAACAAGAAACAAAGAAUGUGGUUUACAACUAGAAACACCCAAAAGAACCUUAAAGAAGUGACUGGGAUAAUGAACUUAAUGAAAAUGGGGUAUGCCACAGUAAAAGACUCGGAAGUAUCAGCAAAUGGAUCAAACGACCAUGAAAUCAAUAGGAGAUAUGAUGAACCCAAAAAGGGCGUAUGCCCCAACAAAAGAACACUAAAAGGGGGGUAUGCCUUGAUAUGACGACUCACAAUAAUUAAGAAAUGGAUCGAGUAAUGAGAAAAUCUGCAAAAUAUCUUAUGAACUCAAAGAUGGGGGUAUGCCCCAGUGUAAAAUAGUGACCAACAUAAGACACAGAAUGUCACCAUACAAUACACUCUGGGAUAUGCUCAAUGACAAUGUAAUGAAAACAAUAGCCUCAAUCAACAAAUGUUCAAGCAAGACCAUGCAUCACAUAAACUAAAAUAAUAGGCUAAACAAAUGCUAACCAAGUCUCUCAAUCUGAAAUGUAAGCAAGUCAAGACAUGACAUGUCAACCAUCGACAUGAAAACAUCAUCACAAAUACAUCAACAAACUAAUAGUCCCUACUAUCAUGGAAGAUGUAGAACCUAACGUCCAAAGGCAUGUGAAAACUCAACCAAAAAGCUCAAGACUAGUUUGCAUCCUCCUCUAAUAAAAAGAAUGAGAUAAGGUCAUGUAGGAUGAUGAAAUAGGCAAGCUCAAUAUUCGUUAGGCUCUACCAAGAUGGAUGUAGGUAUAAUAGUGUCAAAGGUAGGAUGUCUAGAUGUCCAACGAAGGAAACUGGGUAUCCAAGUCAAACCAAGUAUGUUGAGGAAACUGAAGCCAUAGGACAAUAACUUUAUGAUCCAUUGAAAAUAGCAAUCAUGAAUAGAAGGUCGAGUCUCGAUGUCAAAAUCAACAAGGUGGCAUUGCCCCAGUAUGAAUACAUCUUCUCAAAAUGGGUAAACCCUCAGUGCAAGAUAAUCUCUAGAUAGUAUGUGUCUAGUAUAAACUGUCAUCUCACAAAAUCUAUCACUGAUGAGUGGGCUAUACCCCAGUGUAAGCAUUUCCAAAUCAAACAUCGAUGAGAGGAGUACAACCAAUCAUACAUAAUAUGAUCAAAACAAAUCUCCACUCCUCAAAGUCAUCAUGGUAACGUGAAGAGAGUAUCUAACCUCAUUUAAAGAAAGAUCAUGUCCCAAUGUGAAAAAUAUCAAGCAAAGUGGUAUGUCUCAACAAAAAUGCACUCUAACAUGAUCAUGCCUAGAUGUAAGCUGGUAUCUUUAAGAUCAAUCACCAAUGAAAGGGUUAUGCCCCAGUAUAGGGCAAUCUCUGAAAUGACUAAAAUCCGCUACAAGCUCUCACAAGUGUCUAUGUCAUGAACCAAUCAUCUCAAAAAAUAAAUAAAUAAAUAAAUAAAUCUAUCAACAAUGAUGAGAAGGUUAUGCUAUAAUCACAUCAAGAAAAUCACUCGGUCAUAUCUUGUACUCCAAUGUGAAAGGAAAAUAUGAUCACCUCUAAAGAAUGGCUAUGCCCCAAAAUACAUCAUCGAUUGAGAAAUAUGCCCCUACGUAAAGUACAUCAACUGAAAUAUGCCAAUCAUGCCUCAUGUUCCAAUGUGAAAAAUGACAUAUAAUAUUCUUUGAGGGAUGGUCAUGACUCAAAAUCCAUCAUCAGUUGAGAGAAGUAUGCCCCGACAUAAUGGUCAUCUAAAAAAUCAAUCUCCGACUAAGAAAUGUGUGCCUUGAUGUGAUGUAUCAAGCAAACUGGCUGCAUACCCCAUAAAAAACUCUCUAAGGUGGCUAUGCUCCAAUGUUGGAUCAUACCACAACUCCUGGUCUAUCACAAUCAAAAUGCUCUCCAACCAAUCCCAAGUAUCGCCCACAUGAGAGCUAUCAAACACAAUGUGUGAUGUCAUGGCCUCAAGGUGGUCUUAAGAUUCAGGACGUAACGUAGGCUAGGGUAAUAAGGUGAAGAAAUGAAGGAAAACUAGGCUUAAUAAUCCUAAUGAUAAAACCCCAUACCCUUAUGUAUAAAAUGCAAUAUGUGCAAAGAGUCUUAUAAACCAUGGAUCUAAGGACACCCAAUAUGAAUAUAUCAGUGAGGAAGAAAGAAUCUAAGAUGAAUAUAUCAAUGAUAAAAGAGAAGAAAUGAAGAAUAUCAAACUGCUGAUGGGAUGUAUAAGAAUGAUGUGUGGAAAAUAUUGAACAUGGAAUGUAAAUUGAUAUGAACAAAGAACAAUGUAGGCAAGGCAAAUGCGAUAUCAUGAUAAGAACAAAUAAAUCGAAGAAAAAUGAAUGAACACUAAUCCACUCAAAUCAAGUCAUGGAGAAUAGUCAAAUCACCAACGUAUGUAAUGAUGGAGAAGACAAUGAUUCGAAGUCCCUAGGAAAAUGUCACUUGUUUGUCACACAUAAAAUACAUAACGAGAUAGACACAAAAAUAUGAGAGUUUUUUGAAAGUUCACAUACGAACUUUCAUAAGCAACUAACUCAAUAAAGCAACCUCAAUGACCAAUAUAUACACUCAAUAAAGGAUGACACUGUAUACAUGUGUUUAUUACUUUUUCUUUUUCAUUUUUUUCAUUUUUGUUUUUAUUUUUUUUCUUUUGCUCGCGCAUACUCUGAAUAUCAAUAAAUGAACUUCUCUGAGAAUACAUAAUGAAAUGGAUAUACUCUCAAACAAUGAUGUAAGCGAACUCUCUCUGACAAGAUGACCCUCUAAAUUAAGGAUUUUCAAACUAACGUCCAUGAGAUAGGAGUGGAAGGGGAUAUGACCAUCCUCCCUGCACCGAAAUGUGAAAAAUCAUCACUCAGGGCACAAAAAAAUGUGAUGAAAAAAAAUAAAAAAUGAAACAAAAGAUAUAAACAAUGAAGUAUGAUGAAGACUGAUGUUGGGAAGACAAAAAAAUAGUGAAGAAUGUGAGCCAAUAAGUCCACAACUCAUGAAACUCUCGAAUAAAAUAUAUAUAUACACCAAAAGACCCUUAUCCCGGUGUAAAAUGUGAGCAAGGAUAUAAGAAAGAAAAGACUAUGGUGCUCAUGUGAGGUUCAAAGGGCUAGCAACGGUCCAAAUGUCAAUAAAGGUAAUAGGGUGUGAGCUAACCAAAAUGAAGGCCACCUAUGAUGGUCUGAAACAUCAUGCUCUUAAGCUUUCAAUGAUCAAUACUGAAAAUCGAUGUCCAUUUGAUAUAAACACGUCAACCCUUUGGAAUUGUGCGCCAAACCAUACUCCAAAUGCUCCAUAAUAAUCUCAAAGAUAAUCCUCUCAAAGCAAAGUAAAUAGCGAUCUCAUAAGGCACAACUACUCAUCACAAGCCAACUCUCAUCAUGCAAGAUCAAUCUCUAUUUUCAUGGAAAAAUAAGUGACAAUCUCAUCAGGUAAUCGACGAAUCCUCACAUCAUAAACCAACCAAAGAUCAUAAGUCAUUCAUUGCCAUGCAAGAUCAAUCCCAGACUCAAACUCCUCAUACUCUACCUGGUUGGAUUAGAGAAGAAAUGGGCAAAACUAGAAAAACUGAAGAUGGAAAGGUCAUAUAAUGGUGUCAAGGGUGAUGUUGUGCAAAACUCACAAUGGAUGGAUGUAGGUCAAAGCAAAGUCAAUGUGUGAGAGUGAGUAAGGCACUACUCUGAUCAUAAGAAGAUGGGUCACAAUCUCAAACUCCUAAGGUCAAAUCUCCGAUCCUAGGCUAAUAAGCUCAACAUCCUCCAUGAUAGGUCAACCCCCAAGAUCACAAUGUGCAAAUGAAUAGAUGCCUCAAGUCAAAAGUACAACACAUCAUAUGAUAUAUGGUCCUACGAUGACAAUCUAAAACUGGAAAUAUGUUAGAAACUCUAAGGUCAUAAACGUGUCCACUGUGAGAUGACUAUAAAUGUGACUAAGGAAUCUUUAUCAAUAAUCCAAAAAAUGAAUGAAGUGUGAAAAACAACACUAUCAUGAGAUCGAUACCCCAUCAAUAACAAAAUAUCUCUAAUUCACUUUCAAUCUAAACUCUAUAAAGAAAAACGAUAAGGUUAUAAAGGCAAACCUCUCAAAAAUGGUGUGAAUGUGAAAACAUGUCUUCACCUUUCUAUAAUGAAAAUAUCAUGUUGAAAAUAGAAAUAGGCAAAUCGACCAAAGAAUGAAGUACGGAGCCCAUGACAAGUGAAGAAUGUAAAAAGGUGAACAUGAUCAAUGAACAUAUCCCAAAACAUCAAGCAUAAAGUGACAACAAACCAAAAGAAUGUGUCAACUUAAGAAAAGAAGACUAUCUGAAGCCCCAGGGAAAAAGUGUGCUAGACUCAACGAGCGACAAGAAGAAACUAAAACCAUAUAGCAAGAGGUGGUCCAACUGAUACUCAAACUCGUACCAAUAUCUAAGCACUCUCGACUGGAGACCAAAAGAUGGAGUAUUGGAUCCAUAUUGUGACUAAAGUGGCCUCGAAGGCUCUCAGAUGCACCCACGUGUAGGAAAGGAAAUCCUAGUAAAAAUAUCUAAGGCUUAACCUACAAGGUCAAGGCGGCUCUAAAAAGAAAAAUUGAGUGGACUUUAAAGGAUUCCUAGCAAAAGCGAUCAUACCCUCCGAUGGUACGCAACCUCCUACACGUCUUGAAAUAUAUGGGAGUGAUUCCAUGCAAGGUGGUCAUCACCUCCACACAUGCACUAUCUCAUAUCCUAGAGGGUUUCCUAAUGAUGAAGACUCUUACAUCUCUCAACACUUAGUGGUAAUCUAAGGUGCACAGUGAAUGGUGUGGGUUCAUCCAAAAAUCCUAUCAAGCUAAGCAAAGAGAAAACACAUUGGUCACACAAAUAUCUUGAAAUAUAGCUCUAACCUAUACAAGUCUUCAAAGAUUGGACUCCAAUUAGCAUUAAUGUUUCGACCUUCUCCAGAAUGCUCCCAAACAUAGAUAUAGUCCAUCACUAAAUCCUACUCCGAAUCACUAGCUCGGUCGAAGAGCAAACAAAGUAAUAAGUCUCAUAUCAAAUAUGAGAUCAAGGGGAACAUGGUCACCCAAGACUAGGGAAUUGAAGUAAGGGGAUAGAUGUGUGUCCCACAUAGAAAAGCAACAUGCAUCACACAGAAGAAGAAUAGUCAUGCAAUAGACAACCAAGCAAAGAACAGGUAUAUCAUUCAUAUCUACACACAAGCUAAACAAGAAAUAGGUAUUUAACAAGAAUAAACAAUAUGUUGAGAUAAACAAGAUAAUAUACAAUAAAGAGAAUCAAUCACACCAAUAUGAAUGAGAUAUACAAAAAUGAGAAUAUACAUGUCAAGGAGAACAAGAUAAUCAUACAACAAGAAGAGUCUUAUGUUAAAGCAAGCAAGAGAAUCAAUCGAUGUAGUCAACAUGUCAAUAUCGCAAAUGAACAUAACAACCAAAUAUGCAUCAUAAAGAAAAAAUGGUAAUCAUGCAGCACACAGUCAUACAAAACAAAUACAAACAAACAUAAGCAAAUAAAUGUAAACACACAUGAUAACAAAAAUCAAUGUAUAGUAAGGCACAUGCAAUAUAUACAUAAAAUAAUCAUCAAGUCAACACUCAUAUACCUUAAAACAUGAAAAUAUACAAUAAAGACACAACGAGAGGGUAUUCACUGAUCGAUUAAUCAAACACUACAUUUCCCUUAACUCAAGUUCAAGUUUGAUCCUUUAAAUAUCCCUAGUGGAGUCGCUAUUUUGUGGACCCACAUUUUUCAAAUGCGUCCUUACACAACAGCGAGACUCAUUUUUUUUAUUUGGUGAAAAUUUGAUUUUGAGAAAAAAGACUUUGAGUUGUCACUUAUUUUUGUUUUUUUUUAAGGGAAAACAAAACAAGAAAGAAAACCUUGUGUGACUCCUUAUUUGGGAAAGACAUGUAUGCAAAAACCAAAUCUGGAUUCGGGGGUCAAGUUACCUAUUGGGAAUGUACGAUGGUGAGCUGUAGCACCUCUCUAAGCUCAUAUACGUACGGUCUCUACUAAACGAAUUAAGAGAAUUGUAGUAAUUAAUUAAUUAGUCAAGGAUACCAAGAAAAAGAAUCGCACAAAUGAGUACAUACAAAUCAUGAUAAAAAAAAUCAAAUUAUAAGAAUAGACAAAAUAAAUAACAAGAGAAUUGUGCAAAGUGAUUUAUUAAACUAAAUAAAAAAGAAGAUAUUAAAAAAAUUAGUUUUCAAGAAAUUUCAAAGGAUUUUAUUAAAAUGAUUUUGAAUUAAUGAUUUUAAUUUAUUUAUUUACAAAAAAAAGUCAAUUUAUUUUCUUCAAUUGAUUUGAUUCAAUUUCAUUUGUAUUCAAUUUUUUUUUUAAAAAAAAAAAGUUAUUUACACUCAUGGUUGUUAAAAGAAUUAUUAACAAAAUUUCAAGUUGACAAUAAAAAUGAUUUUUACUUGCUUUUACUCGAAAACAAUGAAUUUUUACAAUUUUAUUAACAAAAGCAUUUCAAUUUAAGAAAAGUGACUUAAACAAAUUAUUAAAAAAAUAUAACUUUAUCUGCAAAAGAAUUUUUAAUUAAAAAGAAAAAAUUUAAAUCAUCUAUUUCUAAAAAUGACUUUUAAUCCCAUUUUAAUUAAGAAAAUUUGAGUUAUUUAAAAAAACAUUUUUUGGACAAUUUGAAUAAAAAUUAAUUUUUGGGACAACUUUAUUUACAAAAAAAAUUUUGGACAAUUAUUAUUAAAAACAAAAUUUCAAAUUCUAUUAAAAACAAUUUUUUGGAUUUUUCCAAACACAUUUUUAUGAAUUUUUAUUAAUAAAAAACUUUUUUUUAUUAAGAAGAAUAUUUUUUGAGCUAUUAUUUUAUUAAAACAUGUUUAUUGAAUUAUUCUUCUUAUUCAAACAAAAUUUUUAAUUUGUUCAAUAUCUAAUUCUGUACACAACAAGUAAAUAUAUACAAACAAAUAUUUAUAAAAACCAAUAAAAAUAAAACCAAAUAGAAGUGAGAAAUAAAACAUGUUCUUAAACAAGCUUACAACAAGCUCAAUGUCUUCUUACGACUUUUCGAGUCUCACUUUCUUUCAUUAAAUUUUAUGCUCCACGUACCAUAAAUCCGUACUCAACCAAAAAAAUUGCAGAAUUGGCCCAUGCAAAAACAAAAAUAACACAAAUGUAAAUAUCUAAAAAUGAAUAAAGUUCACAAUAGAUAUUCAAGUCCAAAUUCAAAUUUCAAAUUAGUCCAACAAAUUUCGUCAAUCAAAAUAAGUCUAAAUUAGCAAAUAUAGCCCAACAAAAAUAUCUCACAUGUCAUAGGCCUUAAUAUAAAAUUUCCAAAUUAAUAACCAAAAUAUAAGUUCAAUUAAUCAAACCCAAAACAUGAUACAUUAAAAUAAAUCUCAUUAGGCCUAAACUUAAUAUCUCAUAAUUCAAGCCUAAUUUAAUAUAUAAACCUAAAUCCACAAUCAAAAUCAACUCACUUUAUGCUAAUCCCAAUUUAUAAUCAAAAUCAAACAUAAUUUAAUAAGUAAAUAACUAAAUAAAUUAAGCAAACUCAAAACUCUCAAACCACUAUUGCAUAAUAUCAAACAAUAAUAAAUAUAAUGACAACAAUAAUAAUAAUAAAAUAAAAUAAAAAAAUUUAACUCACGUUGGAGCCAGUUUGAGUGUCGUGGGAAAGAAAAAAAAUGAGAGAAAAGUGGGAGAUGAUCGUUAGCUGGUAGUGGCUUGCCGGCGGCGACUGGUCGAUAGUCCUACUGGCGGUAGUGAGGAUUGAUGAGUUUUUGGGAAAGGAAAAAAAAAGAGGAGUAAUAAAAAAAAAAAAAGAGAAAUGAGAGGAAGGUGGGAUAAGAGGGGAGAGAGAGAAUGAAGAAAAUAGGGGAAAAUAAAUGAGGCCGGCCGGAGGAGGAAGUGGUAGUGUGUGUGAGCUAAAGUGAAGAAGAAUGAAAGAAGAAGAAGGAGAAAAAUGGGAAAAAAAUUCGAGCCCUCUAAAUGAAGAAAGGUGAGUAGCUUAAAGAAGAAAAAUAAAAAUAAAAAAAGAAAAAAUGAGGAGAAAAUGAGAGGGCCAGUAGUCUUGGGAAUGGGGUGGUAUAGGUGAGAGAGAGUGGGCGAGGUUGUUGGGGAAGGUAUGGGAGAGAGAGGAGAGAUAAAAGAAAGAGAAAAAAAAACAUAAUAAUAAUAAUAAUCAUAAAUAAUAUAUAAAAUAAUAAAAAUUAAUAUUUAAAUGAUGAGUGUGUCAAAAAUAUUAUAUGUAAUUGGGAUUUAAUUUUAAGAGUAAAAUUGAACUAAAAAUUAAUGUAAAAAUAAAAUUUGAACAAAUUUUAGAAUCUACAAAUACAUUCUUUAAUCUUUCCACAACAUCAAUCUGAUCUAAAUGAAAUGCAAUAAAUUCUAAAAAUGAUACAAUCUUUAAUCAAUCCACAACAUCAACCCGAUCAAAACUCAAUGCAAUAUUGCUUAAUGGAGAGAAUCGUAAAAUCCUUUUAUGAGAGGAAAAAAAAACCCUUAACAGACCUUUAUGAGAGGAAAAUAGGAAAACAUAGAACUAAAAACCCUUAACGUAUUCAUGAGAAUAAAAAAAUCCUUAACACCUUAAUAAGAGGAAAACAAAGAAUUUGAACAAUCCUUAAUCCAUCAAAAGCUCUUAAUAUGAACGAGGGGAAAACAUAACCUUUAUUUUUCAUAUCAUUGAAUACAGAAUCUAAAGAGAUAGAAUUUUUAGUUAUUAAGGAUUUUUUUAUAAAUGUCUAUUGAAAGUUUAAGAACUUUUAUGGAUAAGUGUUAAUUAAGAGACUGAAAGGGUACUUAGGAUUUUCAACUAAAAAAGUUAUAACAAUAUGAAUCGUAAGAACUUAAAAACAUCACCCAUCCAUAAGAGGAAUAUGGAAUGAGAGGUUAUUUUUUUACUUAUACAACAAUAAACUUUUUUGGAAGAGGUUUUUCUAAGUACAAAAAGUUAUGAAUAAAAAACCAUUGUUACGAUGAGUUAACUAAAAUAGAAUUAAUUUAGAAAAUAUCAAUAAAGUUGCAUGAAUUAUUAUCAUGAGUUAACUUAAUAAGAAUAAAUAGUAAUAAAGUUAAUGAAGUGAAUUUGGAUUGGCAGAUAUAUUUGAUGAUAAGAUUUUUUUAAUAAUAAAAAAUUAUUAUGGCAGGAAAAAUAGGACAAAAUUGACCUUAUGAUAAGAUUUUUUUAAUAAUAAAAACAUUAUUAUGGUAUGAAAAAAAGGGACAAAAUUGGCCUUUCCUUAAUUGUACCGGUUAAUGGAAUAAUGGGACAUGCGGUGGUUACAAGCCACCCCAAAAGGUAGGAAGAAUCUCCAACCCCCAUUCUCGGCUCCCUUAUCUUUUCCCUUACAACCAAAAAUCAACAACUAUCUUAGAAUGUCCUUCAGUCCACCAAAAUUCAACAACAACAUUACAAUAAUGAAAACAAAAUUGAUUGAUCACCAGCUAACAUUAGGAGAUUAUAAGAUAAGGAUGUAAUUGCAAUUAUUGAAAUCACUUAAAGAGUAAAAGUUAGGAACAUGCUCACAAUAAAUAAAAUCACCUUAGAAUUAAAAAUUAGGGACAUGAUUAUGAUGAUUAAAAUCACUCGAGAACUAAAAUGUUUUAGAGAUACAAUAAUUGAAAUCAACUGAAAAAUAAAUUCGGGAUGUGAUCGCAAUUAAUGUAUAUAUAAACAACCAAAUGUUGAAAGGAAAAACUAAUGAAAUUAAUAUGAUUUUCUUUUAGAUUUCUCUUGACACCAAACAAAUGUAAGGAAGUUUAUAAAGGAAAAUUAGGUUUUGAUUCACUAAAUUAAAAUAAUAUAGAAAAAAGAUCUUCAAAUUUUAUAUAUCAGUUUUAUUUUUAUUUAUUUAAAAAUAUUUUAAAAUACAUAUAUUUUUUCAUAACUCAAAUAGUCAUUCCUCAAAUGCUAGUUUUACUUGUUAUGUUAAUAACACUAGUUAAUAAUUUUUUAUUGUGAGAACGAUUUAAGAUUAAUAAAAUAAGAAAAUUUUAAAACUAAAAAGACAUUUAAAACUUUAAAAUUAAAAAUAUAAAAAUAAAACAAUAAUUUUUCAUUUAGUAAAACACGCCAGUAGAAAAUAUAGAUAUAGAGAAAGAGUUGGAAAUAAAAUAAGAGUUAAUAUUUUAUUUUUAAAAUUUUAUGUUUUUUAUUUUAAUUGUAUUUAAUUUUAUGUAUUUUAGUUGUAAUUAUAUUUUUAAUUUUUAAAUUUUUUUUUAUUUUAUUGUUGAUGUAAACUAAUAAAUUUUUUGUUCAAUUAUAUAUAUAUAUAUAUAUAUAUAUAUAUAUAUAUAUUUAAAUUAGUGAGUAAAAACCCACUUUUUCUAAUUUAUAAUAUAUUUAUGGGAUUUUAUAAUAUAAGAAAUUUUUUUUUAGAAAGAGGAAAAAUCAACAUUUCAAUUUCCCUUCAUUAUUAUUAUUAUUAUCCAAUUUGGUUGAUUAUGAGAUUAGUUGGUAUCAUUACUAUAUCCAUUUGUCCUUAACCCUUCAUUAGAAUAGUAUUAGGAGUUGAACGUCAGUUGGAAUACAGGCUAUGGAAACAAAUCUAUCCGAUUAGUAGGUUCUUGUUAUUUUCAAUAUAGACCCCAUAAAAUAAAUAGGAGAUAUGAGAUAAGACUGUGACAAAAUUGGCGGUUACUUCCCGACACCUGGCUCUCCACAAACAAACCCAGUGAUCCAGAAAUUAAUUGGUACCUGGACACGUGACUACCAAACGUUCGCUCACCCACCAUACCCAUGGCCUCAUGCCCCAUAUAUUUCCACAAACCUAGCUCAAUUUUCAUAGCCACCUUCACUGUCCUACACUCACUAAGCCAUGGCCAUAGAUACAAGCCUCUUGCUUGAGUUUGCUGCAGCAACUCUACUCUUCUUCAUCACCCGCUUCUUCAUUCGUUCUAUCCUUCCCAAACCUUCCCGGAAGCUCCCCCCUGGCCCCAAAGGGUGGCCGCUCCUCGGCGCUCUUCCUCUCGUAGGUAACAUGCCUCAUGUUGCAUUAGCAAAGAUGGCCAAAAGAUACGGGCCUGUCAUGUUCUUGAAAAUGGGCACUAACAGCAUGGUGGUGGCCUCAACUCCCGAGGCGGCUCGGGCUUUCCUUAAAACGCUAGACAUUAAUUUCUCUAGCCGCCCGCCUAAUGCCGGUGCCACACUCUUGGCCUAUCAUGCCCAAGACAUGGUUUUUGCGGAUUAUGGGGCAAGGUGGAAGCUACUGAGAAAGCUAAGCAACUUACACAUGCUUGGUGGAAGGCUCUUGAGGACUGGUCUCAGGUCCGAGCUGUUGAGCUAGGCCACAUGCUUCGAGCCAUGCUUGAGUUGAGCCAGCGAGCGGAGCCGGUGGUGGUGCCGGAGAUGUUAACUUUUUCCAUGGCCAACAUGAUAGGGCAAGUGAUACUAAGCCGCCGGGUGUUUGAAACAAAAGGGUCGGAGUCAAAUGAGUUCAAGGACAUGGUGGUGGAGCUCAUGACCACUGCUGGGUACUUCAAUAUUGGCGAUUUUAUUCCGUCCAUCGCAUGGCUGGACAUCCAAGGGAUCGAGCGCGGGAUGAAGCAUUUACAUAAGAAGUUCGACAAGUUAUUGACAAGGAUGAUAGAGGAGCACACGGCAUCAGCCCAUGAGCGCAAGGGAAACCCAGAUUUUCUGGACGUAGUCAUGGGCCAUCAAGGAAAUUCUACAGGGGAGAAGCUCACCCUUACCAACAUUAAGGCGCUCCUCCUGGUAUGCAUAGUUAAAGCUUGUCUUUAAUUUUGUUUUCCGAUAUUUUCUUUCCGGAAACAGCACUUUUAUUGCUUUUAUAUCAGGUAGCCAUUUUAGGGGCACAUCACUGUUCUUUAUUUGCAUUUUUUUUUGUCUUUUUUCACUUGCAUGGUUGUUUUCAUAUGCUCAGCUGCAUGGCACAGGAAAAUUGGGAAAAAUGAUUGGUUCUCUGAUCAGACCUUCUGCACCAAAACACACUUCUCUCUAUUUUAUAAAAUCAAGAACAUUUAUGGUUUACAUGAAUUUUCGAACUUGAACUUUUGCUAGGGCUAAUGCAUGGAUCUCAAUUUUCAAUUGCGUUUGAUUACAUAAAUUUCAAGUAUGUCACCACAUUUUUGUUUCCUUGGCUAGAAUUUAUUUACUGCAGGAACAGACACUUCAUCAAGCGUAAUCGAGUGGUCUCUGGCUGAGAUGUUGAAAAACCCGAGCAUCCUCAAGCGUGCUCACGAAGAAAUGGAUCAAGUGAUUGGAAGGAGCCGGCGGCUCGUGGAGUCUGACUUACCAAAACUUCCAUACCUACAAGCCAUAUGCAAGGAAAGCUUCCGGAAGCACCCAUCCACCCCAUUGAACCUUCCUCGUGUCUCAACCCAGGCAUGUGAAGUGAACGGCUACUACAUCCCAAAGAACACUAGACUUAGCGUGAACAUAUGGGCAAUCGGGCGAGACC